rnacentral:lncRNA from 1 species
GGACACUAUGGGACAAGGGGAGGAGGGGUUAACAAUCACUAUGGAACAGAGGAAAGGGGGGUUAAAAUAACUAUGGGACAGGGGAGGGGGGUUAAAGAUCAUUAUGGGACAGGAGAGUGGGUGGUAAGGAACAAAAAAUUCCUUAAAAAAAAAAAAAUAUUCUGAACAAACUGUCCCAUAGUAAGAAACACUAUGGAACAGUUCAGAAUAUUUUUUUUUUCUGGGUCUCCUCCUCUAAAAACUAGGUGCGUCUUAUGGUGAGGUGCGUCUUAUGGAGCGAAAAAUACGGUACAUCCAGGCUAUCUUUCAAUUUACAGGCCAGGUACUGCUCAAAUAAAUCAUAUAACUUGUUUUGUUAGGGUCCACACGCUUCUAAAGAUAAUGCAUAACAUACAGCUGAGCAGUGUUCUUAGUCACUCAAAUUUUUUAUGCAUUUCUGCAUAUUCAUUAUUAUUGCAAUUUUUAUUGAUUAUUAUGACUGUAAGGAAUUUGGACUCUGUAUAUAGUAACUAGAACUCAAUGAAAAACCUGCUGAAAUGUAAGCAUAUAUCCUUGCUCUUUAUAAGGUUUUAAGGACAUACAGAAUACACAAUAUAUUUAAUUAUUAGCCUCUAAAGAUGUUAAUAAUAAAUCCUUUACAUAACUUGCUUUGUACUAACACCAUAUGAGAGGUGCUGACAACAUGGAAUAUACUCUCUAGUUUUUGUCACUAAUUCAUAUUAUUACCUAACAUAUAAUUUCUGCAUGUGUUUGUUUUGAAACAAGCAGUUUUUAAGUAUGUCAGUUAUUUCAUUUGUAGCAUUUUUUUUUUUUUUAAACCAUAAAACACAGGAAAUGUUAUAAAACAUAUUUAUAGUUAUACAAAUCAGUGAAGCUGAAACCAGAAGGGAGGUAGUUGAAAACUGACCUGAAAACACCCUCAGGAAAUGCCCUAACCUUGCAGGAGAGUGGAGAUAAUACUUAAGUCGUUAGUCUCUCACUCACACAAUUUUCCUCUUGGCUAUAUAUUUUAACACUAAGUGUAGCAUAGUAACACAUUGAAGAGACGCUCAAAGCUGCAUAACAACAUCAGGUGUUCAGUUCCUUUAAGGAAACUGACAUUCAUUUAAUGCACAACUGAAAUGUGACUAUUUGUGGGCUUUACACUCUGUGAGAUUUUUAGAUAUAGUUGUGAUAUUAGUAAUGGCAAAAUUAAAAACAAAAAACAAGUUCUUAGAAUAAGCAUACACACUGAAAUUCCACUUAUCUUUGUGUGCGGAUGAGGCUUUUUUGGUCAAUUUAUAGUAGAUCUUUACUAAUGAAUCCUGCAACAAAAUGGGCAGAUAAUAUAACAAGUGAUGAAGCAAAAUGUGAUUAUUUGCUAUUAAGCACAAUAUUCUAGAGUGUCUUGAAAACACAAUAUGACAGAGCUGCUGUGAAUGGAAAAUUUGUGUGUUCUUUAUUGUAGUAAAGUAUAUGUGAAAAUGUACUUAAAUCAGUGUGGUAUGGUUAUUAUAUUAUCUAGCCACAACAUCAAUAAGGCUUAGCUUGGAAAUUAAAUGUUUUGUGGUAUAAUCCACUUUUAAUACGGAUAAAACAUAUUUAAUAUUACAACCCUAUUAUUCAGUUUGUUGGAGGAGAUUCCGUGUGAUAUUGGACAUUUUAUUUAACACCAGGUUUAUCACAACUUUAGCAGACAUGUUCAUAAGGGACAUGCAAAUCUUAAGUGUAUGACUGUAAAAUAGUUCAUAUAAAUUUAUGGUAAGGGUGAUACCUGAGGGUGCAAUUGCAGGCUACAUAUAAACGUAAAGGCAGAGUCACUGUUAGGAUUGAUUUCACUCAGUUUUGACACAGGAUACAGUUAUGUGGAACAUAGCAGCAGGAAUAGCAGCAUUGGUUAUAUUCAAACAUUUUGGGGGUUUUGGUGACUUUUAUAUUUAUACAAAAGGAAGGCCCUUAGAUAUUUGUAGGAUCUCUUGGCUCCUAAUCGUCUUAAUUACUCCCUUUGAUCAGCAAUUUUAUUACAGCUUUGGGUACCAAGAGUCAAUUUAACAAUACGUCAUACUAUAUAUUUUUGCAUACUGCUUUGUCUUGAUGAGACACAUUUUCACAAAGUAGAAAUAUAUAUAUAAAAAAAAUGAAUAGCCAUCUCCUUAUUCAGGCUUUUGAACCAACAACCACUAUUGAAAUUCUAUCAUUAAUGUAAACUUCUACUCCUGCUAAUUACUGUGAAAAAAGAAUGAAUAAGGUAAUUUUUUUUCUAAACUGUCAUUGAUUCAAUAUAUUUCUGUCUUGUAGUUAGAGAAAAGCUCACAAAUGUUUACAAUCAGACAUUGUAAGCAGGAGGCUAAUCCAUGUCAGCAUCACCUAUGGGUUAAGCUCCUUCCUCUCAGCUGAUAGGACAGGAAUCUUAAAAUAAUGUUAUAUAAGAGAGUCACCUCCCCAUAACCAGCAGUCUUUUUUCCUGUCCUCCAGCUGUUAGAAAUUAGUUUUUCAUUAUGGCACAUAUGGGGAGUUCAGCCUCUCUCCCCAGGGAAGAACCCAGAUACAGCCCAAGCACUGUGGGACUCCUUGGGUUCAAAUUGCUAUGUUAGUGCAUAGUAAUUGAAGAUAUUGGACCUCUCUGGACAUCCAAAGUGUACUAUAGGAUGGGUAAAGAUUCAGUUUCAAUAAACCUUUCUAACUUGUUAGAAGUUUUACAAAAGGGAAUAGAAAAAUGAUUGAGUCUCAGCUCCCUGAAGGUUCAAUUAUCUGCCUUCUCGGUCAUAUCUAAUGUCCAAUGGGCUCUAGAUCCUACAGUCAAGCAAUUUCUAAAGGGGACCAUGAAAAUCAGACCACCAAUUAAAAAUUUCAAUCCAGCAUGGGAUCUACCAACAGUGCUACACAGUUUAACUAGUGCACCAUUUGAAUCCCUAUGGGAUUUGACUUUGAAAAAAUUAUUUCUAAUUGCUAUCACGCCUGCUUGAAGGGCUUCUGAACUCCAACCCCUUUUGUCUGAACAUCCAUUCACUCAAAUCUUGGAAGAUAAGGCAGUUCUAAGAUUGGUUCUGGAAUUUACUCCUAAAGUCCUCUCAAAAUUCCAUCUGAAUCAAGAAAUUAUUUUGCCUUUCUUCUAUAAGAAUCCUUCAUCUGAAGAAGAAUCCAUUUGGCACACCUUGGAUGUGAUCAGAUCGCUACAUGUAUAUCUGCUGCCUGGUCUUCCUCCAACACAUUUGUGAGGCAUUACCGUUUAGACGUUACAGGCUCCUCUGUCUCCUCUUUUGGGAGGAAAGUCCUUGAUGCUGCCAUUACUGUUUACAUUAAAAUUAGAUUUUCAUUGAAUUCGUGCAUUUUUUUAUUUAUUACCCUCCCUCCCGUUUGUACAUUCUGGAAAUCCCAUAGGUGAUUCUGACAUGGAUUAGCCAGGAUAAUAGAAAAGUGUAUCCAUACUUACCGUAAUUUUCUUUUCCUGGUUAUUAUCCAUGCCAGCAUAAACGAUCCCUUCCACUGUCUGGACUGACUUAAUUAUGAGGCUGCUGGAUAUGUGGAGGUCAGCUGAGAGGGAGGAGCUUAACCCAUAGGUGAUGCUGACAUGCAGGGACGUUUUAGCCGUGAGGCAAACAAGGCAUUUGCCUUGGGCGGCAUUUUCCAGGGGGCUGCAAAAAAAGCUGCCCCCAAAUGCCCAGGGCAAAUGCUUUGUUAGCCUUGUGGCUAACAGUCCAGGCGGGCGGGCGGCGCUGGCGAGGGUGCACUUUUUAUUUGACGUCAUAUUCCGGCUCCCGGCAUCACUCUGCGGGCGGCGCGCGAGGGAGCUGAGCAGACAGCUCAGGGGAAAGUGCACCCUCGCCAGCACCGCCCGCACGGCAGCCCCAGGGAAAGGGAGAAACCCCCCCAGGAUUCCCAAAUGUAAGGAGGCUGGUGGGGUUAAAUAAUUAAAAAAAAGUGAGUGUGUUAAUGUGAGUGAGUGUCUGUUAGUGUGUGUGUCUGUAUGUGUGAGUGAGUGUGUGUGUCUGUUAGUGUGUGUGUGUCAGUUAGUGUGUGUGUCUGUUACUGAGUGAAUGUGUGUCUGUGUUUGUCUGUUAGUGAAUGUGUGUUUGUCUGUUAGCUAGUGUAUGCGUAUCUGUCAGUGAAUGUGUGUGUGUGUGUGUGUGUGUGUGUGUAUUUAGAAGGCAGGGCAGGCGGGGAAGGGUUGGGUGGGGGGAAGGGGGACCCCUGAGUUUUGUCCUGCCUAGGGCAGCUCAAACCCAGGAUACACCACUGCUGACAUGGAUAAUAGCCAGGAAAAGAAACUUACGGUAAGUAUGGCAACAAUUUUCUGUUUUACCAUAAGUCCUCAUUACAAUCAGUUGAAAGCAUCUGUAAGGAAAUGACUGAUAUAUACAGUCAACAUGGUUUUACUAUAUGUGUGUAUGGCUUGCAUUUCACCUUCAUCUAGCAAUAACACAGCUUUAAAGGAACACUCCCAGGUCACAACAAAUUAAGCUUAUUUAAGUUUUUAUGGGACAGGAAUACUUCUCUCCGCUGGUCUAUGUGAGGAAGGGGUAGCUGGGCAGCUGCUGAUAGGCUAAGCAAAUCAGCUGAAACUCUCAACCUAUCAACUGGCACCAAAUGAAAUUUGUACAUGCUAUUUUUCUCAAUGGGCACCCAUUGAUAUGCUGAGAACAUCAACUGACACUCUGCCUAUCAGCAGCCAACUGGCUAUCCCUUCCCUGUACUAGCCAGAAGAGUGGAACAGAAGCCAGGAGACAGAAGUUUGCCACAGAACAACUUAAAUAAAUGUAAGAUGUUAUGGUGGUGGAAGUACUCAUUUUUUCAUAUUUGCAUAAUUGAUUGCUUUCUUCAAAUGACGGGAAUAAUAUUGUUCUAAAUCCCAUCUUUCGCAGAUUUGGAUUGGUAGACUCAUUAAUGUCACUGAUGCUGCAGUGCCAUCAUGCUCAGCAGCAAAUAUUAAAUUAAUUCCAGAGGGCAUAUAUUGCCCAUUCCAGCCUGCCUUGUAGUUUUGUCCAAAGCUUCACAUUCCUAUCCAAUGUUGAGUGGGUGUGGACCCUUUUGAACGUUCUCUUUGGCACUGGGAUCCAGACAAGCACACUCCCCUUGCAGUUCACAGUUUGCUGGGAAAGGUGUCACCUAGAGACAAACAAUAAUACUAUUUUUAAUGUUUCAGUCUUGUAUAACUAAAAUAAAAAUCAGAAAUACACUGACAUGAUAUUAGCUUUAUUUUAUUUAUUUGUUUUAGCUUUUUUUUUUUUAGCAAAUUAUCCCCUUAACGCCGUUACGGCGUUCUAUGCCGUCCCGCAUUAAAAGGGCUUUAAAGCCGUUGCGGCUGCAUAGAACGCCGUAACGGCUUUCUGCCCCUGGAGGUCCACGGUACUCACCUCCGCCGUGAUCCUCUUCUGGAGGGCUGCCUGACAGCCCAGACAGCCCUCCCCCGCCAAAUAUGACCCCCUAUAGCUGGCUGUGGAUCUGCCAGCAGGGGGACUGUGUGAAAUGUCAGACAGUCCCCCUGCUGGUGGAAAGUAAAAAAAAAAAAAAAUAUUAAACAUGUUUAAAUUACAAUAGAUUAUAUAUAUAUAUAUAUAUAUAUAUAUAUAUAUAUAUAUAUAUAUAUAUAUAUAUAUAUAUAUAUAUGUAUAUAUAUAUAUAUAUAUAAUAACACAUAAUAUAUAUAUAUAUGUAACGUCAUACAAAGUGUAUUUUAAUAUUAAUAGAAGUACAUAUAUUAGUAUUAAAAUACACUUAGAAUGAUGUUUAUAUAUAUAUAUAUAUAUAUAUAUAUAGUAUAAUUAUAAUAAUAAAUAAAAUAUUGAAACAAUUUAAUAUACAUUAUAUAUUCAUAUGUAAUUUCAUUCUAACUGUAUUUUGUUAUUAAUAUAUAUAUAUAAAAAACAAAAUACACUUAGAAUGACAUUCUAUAUAUAUAUAUAUAUAUAUAUAUAUAUAUAUAUAUAUAUAUAUAUAUAUAUAUAUAUACAUAUACAUAUAAUUACAUAAAAGAUUACAUUAGUAUACACAUAAAAUUUAAAUACCUAUAAAUGCAUAUAUAUUAAACUUCUACGUGUAUAUUUAAGUAAUCUUUUAACAUAAUUAUGUCAUUUGAUUAAUUAAAAUUUUAUUGACAUGCCUGACAACACAGGGAGAAAGUGCAGAGAAUUUAAUCCGCAAGCACUAUAUUUGACUCUGUAACUCUCCAAGACACCAUAAAACCUGUACAUAGGGGGUACUGUUUUACUCGGGAGACUUUGCUGAACUCAAAUAUUAGUGUUUCAAACUGGUAAAUUGUAUUACAAUGAUGAUAUUUUAAGUAAAAGUGAAAUUUUUUGCAUUUUUUACAAACAAACGGCACUUUUAUGGACUAUAUUAUUGUUGUAAUAUGUUUUACGGCUUAAAACACUAAUAUUUGUGUUACGUGAAGUCUCCCGAGAAUAACAGUACCCCCCAUGUACAGGUUUUAUGGUGUUUUGGAAAGUUAGAGAGUCACAUAUAAGGCUUGCAUUUCAUUUUUUUGACAUUGAAAUUUGCCAGAUUGGUUAUGUUGCCUUUGAGAGCGUAUGGUAGCCCAGGAAUGAGAAUUACCCCAAUGAUGGCAUACCAUUUGCAAAAGUAGACAACCCAAGGUAUUGCAAGUGGGGUAUGUCCAGUCUUUCUUAGUAGCCACUUAGUCACAAACACUGGCCAAAUAUUAGUUUUUUGCUUUUUUCACACAAAAACAAAUAUGAACGCUAACUUUGGCCAGUGUUUGUGACUAAGUGGCUACUAAAAAAGACUAAACAUACCCCACUUUCAAUACCUUGGGUUGUCUACUUUUUUAAAUGGUAUGCCAUUAUGGGGGUAAUUCUCAUUCCUGGGCUACCACACCGUCUCAAAGGUAGCAUUACUAAUCUGGCAAAUUUCAAUUUGAAAAUGGAACGUUCUAUAUUUGACCCUGUAACUUUCCAAAACACCAUAAAACCUGUUAAAGGACCACUCUAGGCACCCAGACCACUUCAGCUUAAUGAAAUGGUCUGGGUGCCUGGUCCUUCUAGGGUUAACCCAUUUUUUCAUAAACAUAGCAGUUUCAGAGAAACUGCUAUGUUUAUGAAUGGGUUAAGCCUUCCCCUAUUUCCUCUAGUGGCUGUCUCAUUGACAGCCACUAGAGGCGCUUGCGUGCUUCUCACUGUGAUUUUCACAGUGAGAGCACGCCAGCGUCCAUAGGAAAGCAUUAUGAAUGCUUUCCUAUGUGACCGGCUGAAUGCGCGCGCAGCUCUUGCCGCGUGCGCAUUCAGCCGACAAGGAAGAGGAGGAUCGGAGGAGGAGAGCUCCCCGCCCAGCACUGGAAAAGGGUAAGUUUUAACCCCCUUCCAGAGCCGGACGGGAGGGGGUCCCUGAGGGUGGGGGCACCCUCAGGGCACUAUAGUGCCAGGAAAACGAGUAUGUUUUCCUGGCACUAUAGUGGUCCUUUAAUGGGGGGUACUGUUGUACUCGUGAGACAUCGCUGAUUACAAAUUUUUUUGCAAUAAAAUCUAACAGUAUUAUGACAUUCACAACUAAAAUGUCAGACGGAAAUACAAAUUUAAAAAAAAUCUUGUUUUCUCACAUUUUUUUAAAUUUUAUUCAUAAUAAAUUAUGUUCCAUAUAUGAAUAGUUAAUGAUAAAUUAAAGUCCUGUUUCUCCUGAACAAAAUAAUAUAUAAUAAGUGUGGGUGCACUUAAUGUGACAGCAGUGAAUUACGGUUGAACAGACAUAUAGCGCAAAUUCCAGUUUUUGUUUAUAUUUUGUUUGGAUCAGAACGUGCACUAUUGACGCCGUACUGAAGGGGUCAAUAGUACACAAUGUUUAACCCGUUCAGGACGGAGUCAAUAGUACACGUUCUGAUCCAAACAAAAUGUAAACAAAAACUGGAAUUUGCGCUCUAUGUCUGUUCAACCGCAAUUCACCUCUUUCAUAUUAACUGCACCCACACUUAUUAGAUAUCAUUUUGUUCAGGAGAAACAGGGCUUUAAUUUCACAUGAAUUAUUCAUAUAUGAAACAUAAUGUAUUAUGAAUAAAAAUAAAAAAAACUGUGAGAAAUUAAAUUUGUUUUUUUAAAUUUGUAGUUCCGCCUCACAUUUUAUCUGUAAAUGUCAUAAUACUGUUGGUUUUUGCUGCACAAAGAGCACAUAUUUGGAUUCAGCAAAGUCUCACAAGUACAACAGUAGCCCCCAUUAACAUUUUUUACGGUGUUUUGGAAAGUUACAGGGUCAAAUAUAGCAUAUUCCAUUUUUCAGGUUUUUCACAUUGAAAUUUGCUAGAUUAGUAAUGUUACGUUUGAGACCGUGUGGUAGCCCAGGAAUGAGAUAUACCCCCAUGAUGGCAUACCAUUUGCAAACAUAGACUACCCAAGGUAUUGCAAGUGGGGUAUGUCCAGUCUUUUUUUAGUAGCCACUUAGUCACAAAGUCUGGCCAAAUUUAGCGUUCAUAUUUGUUUUUGUGUGAAAAAACUAAUAUUUGGCCAGUGACAGUAAAACAUAUUACAACAAUAAUAUCGACAGUAAAAGUGCAGUUUAUGUGUGAAAAAUGCAAAAAACUUCACUUUUACUAAAAAUAUCAUUGUUAUAAUACAAGUUACCAUUUUGAAACACUAAUGUUUGUGUUCAGCGAAGUCUACUAAAUAAAACAGUACCCCCCAGGGAACAUACUGUGGAGUUACUGGGUGGCCACCAUUUCAUGCAUCAGAGGCACAUGGUGAGAACAAUGGAUGAUGGCCAUUUUAACUCACAGACACUGUUUUGACUUUUCUACACGGUGUCAUCUCGCCGGUAUUUGGUGCACAAAGACAUCGUUCAGUAGUUUUAAACUACAGAACAGGGGACACAUUUAACAGUAAUUAUUUUUCAUAUAGCCUGUAUAUGUUCUGCGGAAUCUGCAUUAAACCAUAUCUUCCAAACUACUAAACGGAUCUAGGUGAAUUUUGGAUAUGUGGUUCACCCAGAUCCCCUGGUUCCGAGGAUAUUUUUAUGGGGUUAUUGCAUGUUUUGGGGUCCCUGUAAUAUGUUUUAUGAUACUGUAUUUUCCUGCCUGUGAUAAUUAAGUUAGUCUAUUGUGUUGAGAUAAUUGUAUCACAGGCAGAAGGGAGGAUUUCUGAUGUAAUGAAUGGGAGUGUUAGCUGUAUUGUAAUGUGUUGAUUGGUUGUUCUUCAAAACCCUGUGGGCAGUACUAUGUUUGUAGAAUGUGAAUAAAAGAGGCUGUAUGUGCCAGUACAGACAGUUCUACUUCACCCUCAAUCUAGAGUCCUGUCUCUUAUUAGGGGAAUUGCUAUAUCACUACAAGGGAUUGCUAUGCUCUGCAUACUCCCUUAGCUAAUCACUACUAAGCUCUUGUAAGAACUUGUUCUUGCUCCAAUCUCUUGGAGGAGAGGUUCACCCACUGGAACCUGGAGCCUUGUCGUAGGUCCAGGGUGGGUAGGAAACGGCGAGACCCCAACCAAGCUGUGGCGGUUCGUGGGGACUACGGUGGUUGUGGUGUCUGGCGGAGCGCUUGGAGCCCUCAGGAAGCGCUAGGAGCAUCCUUCAACGGAGGUACCCAGUCUGGGUGCCAGGUGAUCCGUUACAAUUACUUAAAUAUACACAUAGAAUUUUAAUAUAUAUAUAUAUAUAUAUAUAUAUAUAUAUAUAUAUAUAUAUAUAUAUAUAUAUAUAUACACACACACAUACAUAUAUGUAUUUAAAUUCUACGUAUGUAGUUAUUUAUGUAAAUAUAUAUAUAUAUAUAUAUAUAUAUAUAUAUAUAUAUAUAUAUAUAUAUAUAUAUUUGCGGUUAUUUGUAUUUUAUAUAUAGAUAGAUAGAUAUAGAAUGUCAUUCUAAGUGUAUUUUGUUACAUAUAUAUAUAUAUAUAUAUAUAUAUAUAUUAAUAACAAAAUACAGUUAGAAUGAAAUUACAUAUGUAUAUAUAAUUUGUUUUAAUUUUUUUAAAUAUUUUAUUUAUAUUUUAUUAUUGUAAUUAUGUGUAUAUACAUAUAUAGAUGUAAUAUAUAUAUAUAUAUAUAUAUAUAUAUAUAUAUACACACACACACUAACGUCAUUCUAAAUGUAUUUUAAUACUAAUAUAUGUACUUGUAUUAACAUAAAAAUACACUACGUAUGACUUUACAUAUAUAAGAUGUGUAUAUAUAUAUAUAUAUAUAUAUAUAUAUAUAUAUAUAUAUAUAUAUAUAUAUAUAUAUAUAUAUAUAUAUAUAUAUAUAUAUAUAUAUACACAUUUAUUUUAUUUCAAAACCUGUUUAAUCAUUUUUUUUUUACUCUUCCUAGCAGAAGGGGGACUGUCUGACAUUUCAGACAGCCCCCUGCUGGCAGGUUCACAGCCAGCUAUAGGGGGCCAUGUGAUCGCUCUUUGAGAGCAGUCACAUGGCCCCCCGGGGCCUGAUUUGCCGGGGGAGGGCUGCCUGGGCUGUCAGGCAGUCCUCCCGAAGAGGAUCGCGGCGGAGGUAAGAAAAUCUCACCCCCUGUGGCUGCAAGCCGUUACGGCGUUUUAUGCCGCCGCACCGGCUUUAAAGCCCAUUAUAAUGGGGACGGCAUAGAACACCGUAACGGUGUUAAGGGGUUAAAGGGACACUCCACUGCUUAAAUGCAAAAUAAAUAAAAUCAAUGUUUGGUAGAUAUACCCCAAAUGAAAACAUUAAUGCAUUUAAUUAUGUAUUUUUUCAUUGGGGAUAUAUGUAAAAUCAGCUUGCAAAACUUGCAGCUCUCUUGUCUGCUGCCUUUGUAAGUUUUCCCCUUCCAACCCCACCCAGACUUUCUGUUGCAGUCCUAUCACAGACUUCCCAAUACAGGUCAAUGAGAAGUCUUUGUAAGUCAGAUGCUCUGGGCUACAGCUGCCUCUUGACAUAAUCUGCAUUGUGUUAACGAAACCAGGACCUGUUGUCUGUUUAAAAAGCCAACGGGGUGUAACCAGUACAAUUUAUAAAAGUGUCAAAUUCUUGAAAUCUGCACUGUUAAAGAGGACGAACCCUUCACACAUAAAGCUUUUCAGCAAGCUAAAGCUGUUUAGGGGUCUGCAGUGACCCUUUAAGCCUUUAUGAAUUAUUUAAAGGAACACUAUAGGGUCAGGAACACAAACAUGUAUUACUGACCCUAUAGUGUUAAAACCACCAUCUAGCCCCCCUGAUCCCCCUUGCCUCCCUAAAUAUAGUAAAAUAUAUUUUUAAAAUAUUUCUUACUUGAAUUCAAGUCUGCAAUUGCUGGCUUUGUCCCUGUCUGCCUCUGACCUGCCUGCUGACAUAAUCAGAAUGGUGGUCCGAGCCAAUCAUAGGAUUUGCUUAGCCUGUCAAGGAGGCAGAUCAGGGGCAGAGCCAGUACAAGUCAAACACAGCCAUGACCAAUUAGCAUCUCCCCAUAGAGAUGAAUUGAAUCAAUACAUACAGAAAAUUUCAGUGUCUGUAUGCAGAGGGUGGAAACACUGAAUGGCAGUGCAGCUCACUGUGCAGCACUGCCCAAGGAAGCAUCCCUAGCAGCCAUCUAAGGAGUAGCCAGUGGAGCUAUCACUAGGCUGUAAUUUAAACGCUGCAUUUUCUAUGAAUAGACAGCAUUUACAGCAAAAAGCCUGAAGGGGAUGAUUCUACUCACCAGAACAAAUGCAAUAAGCUGUAAUUGUUCUGGUGACUAUAGUGUCCAUUUAACCACAGACAUAAGGAAUCAUUUAGUCUUCAAACUGACUUUCUAAGAUAAAUAUGACCUCCCCCAUUUCCAUGUGUAUUCAAUUUGUAUAUACCAUUUUUAUUUGCUUUGUCAGCAAAACCUGUUGAUGCUGCCGCAUCUGUCCAAAUGACCGGAGAGUGGACAGACAAUGGAGGCAAAAACAUGCUUCUGCCAUUCCACUGCAACAAGAAUUUGCGCCACAUAGCAAAUCAGCUGUAGCCUGUGCAUCCAAGCUCAUAUACGGGUAACGUCAUUUGGUAUGAGAGGGAUGGGGCAAAGGAGUCUAGAAAUAAAGGGCCCUGCCUUGCGGGAUGAUUCGUAUAGCAAAAUUCAACGAUCCCAACAAAGAUUGCAAUUCCUUCCUAUUACAUGUCCUAUUAACCAAAAAUUAGUUAAUGGAUCGUAGUAUGCUGUCAAUUUUACCUGGGGGUAGGCUCGCUUCCAUGUUCACUGAAUAAAGCACGAUACAUAGGAAAUUAACUAACGUGUUAGGGACCUCUGUUUUCUUGGAGGACACUGGCACCCCCAAAGAAUGAAAAAAAUUAUAUGGCCUUUGUCAGAUCACUGGGGGAAGAGGAAUUAUUCUCCACGAACAGAAAGUCGUCCAGAUAAUGUAUAACGGCCUGACAUCUGCAAAUGUUUAACAGCAGCCAACAAAAGGUUUCGGAAAAGGUGUCAAAUAUUUUUGGGCUGCUUUUUGACCCGAACAUGAGUCUUGUGAAAAAAUAAUAGACACCUUUCCAUUUUAAACCAUGCAGAUGCCAUAGUGACGCGUGAAUGGGUAGUAAUUUAAACGCAUUGACGAUGUCAGUUUUACUGAACCAAGCCGCUAUGCCAGGUGUGUAUAGCGCUGUCUAUAGUGGCGUACUCAAGUGAAAAUUCCUUGGAUGGAAUUAGGGAAUUAAGGCUUGGUAUGGCCAAGGCGUUAGGUCUAAAAUAAGUCUGUGUUUCCCUGAGGAUUUCCCAGUGACAAGUCCUGGUUCGCUAAUUGGAAAAUGGGGGCUUGAGAAAAGGUCCCAAUAAGAACCCAUCCUCCAAUUCUUUGUGUAACAGAGCAUCAAUCAUUUCCACAUUUGCAAAUGCCGACUGUAAAUUGUUGCAUUCAUAAAUGCCAGCAGGGAUAUGAACCAAACCUGUAUGGAAUCCCUCCGUGAAACCAUCUAUCAAAAAAUCCACUAGGUGUUUGGAUGGGUGAGAGGCUAAUGUGUGAGCCAAAGAACCAAUCUUUACGGAUGUCAAGUAUGGUUUAGUAUGACUUUUAUUGGGACACAUGGACUUGGCGUGUGCCCUAAAACAAUGUGAACACACAUGUAACAACCUGCAGGCAUUAUAACCACGGGUACCUACUUUGAAGUUAUUACAGACCUGAGACUUUCCCAGGUAAACGAUAGGGCGACCGAGCUUGUCCUUGCCUGGUUUGUGGUUCACGUAAAGUCCCAGGUGUGGACUCUGGUAUAGUGGGACAAUAGUCCGAGGAAUGUGAUGUUGAAGCACAAACCGCACAAGCUGGUGUCUUGAGACCAGCAAAAUAGCUCAGUAUCCAUACGGGUUCAAUCAGUUUUGACAUUAUACUGAGCCAAUAUUGCAGCCGCUCUUGCCGAAAAGGAUUGGUGAUAGUCAUAAAAGGAUAAAAGGAUGACCCACCAUAUUUGCUUCCCAAGUCCACCAGCUUGUGCACGUAGAGGUCGAGUUUCUCUCGUCUAUGCGGAAAAACAGAACAAAUUACAUCACAAUACAUACCAAAAGCCAAGACAAAAUCAGUUAUGGAUAGUUUCUUAUACAAUCUAGGGUCCCUGGCUUUCAACACCACCGAAAUAUCACCAUAAGCAUAAGUGCGGUUAUCAAUGACAUCGUGAGAAGCAAUAAGUAAUGCCACAAGAUUGACAUCCUUCCCCUCCAAGAUGUCUUUCUUAAUCUUAUCUGGGACCAUGUGCACAGGAUUGAUAAUGUGAGUUUCGGAACCAGAAGGCACAUAAUUACCCAAUUAUGGAGCAUUGGGGAGUAAGGCAGUCGAGGGUCUGGAAGACCUGACAUGAGGGCUCCGAACCUCGAUCCUGUCCAGUCUAUCGUUGAAAUUGCUCAUGGAUGCUACUAGCGAAGCGACCAUGGCAUGUAGGUCUGAGUUGCCGUACCACUUGUGCCCUCUCCCGCCCCCGAGUUAUCAGUAUGAGUCCGCAUCAAUUUGUAGAGCUCAGCUUUCCUGGCCAUGGCAGGAAAAGGAAUGCUGCGUCUCCGGAGUUUUGCAAUAAUGUGAGGGAUGGUCCAUGACCUUAUUGAAGUUGGACUCCCAACGUCGCCUUUACGGGAAGGAUUUGGCCGGAGAACUGGGUAGAGACAAAUUGUCUGUGUCAUUCGGUAGAUGUGACAUACUAAAAGGAAAUAAUCAAAACCAUCAGCCAUUGUACCAUCUUUGGUUACUGGCUGGCUAGCUAAUGCCGGACGGCAAAACAAUUUCCUAAGUGUGGUGACAGGUGAGGCCCUGCUAGUUGCCAAGUGGCUUGAGAUGCUCUAUCGAUUGGCGUGAGGGAAUUGUUGCCACCGAAACGUUGUGGUGGGGUGUUGGCCUCUCGAUGACGACUAAAAUGCAUAAUAUAGAAAGGGAGUGACAAGUGAGGCGCUCUCUAUGAUUUGGCCCGAGGUGCGAACGUCCUCAAGCGUGGAGGAAAUGGGUUGGCCUCGCGGGACCACUACUACUAAGGCGAAGAAGCCCAGAUAAUUUACUAGUGGCCGUCUAUCCUAGAUAAGCCAGUAACACUAAAUCAUAAGCUUUAAGGAGGGGGGAUGUUUAGGCAAAAGGUACCUGAGACCCACUUGUUGUUAGGUCAGAAAAUUGGUCACAACCCAACAGAGCACCUGAGACUUCCACCACUAAUCUAGUAUAAGCAAGGUUUAACCUAGUGACCAUAGAGAAGAGUAUAUGUUACAGAGUAAAAACGUACUUCCCUUCAAUGCUAAGAGUACCCCUUACUUACUGGACAAUGUUAAAUAAAGAUUUGAUAGCAAUGAACGUAGUUGAUAUGAGUCAACUUGAACCUGAAAAGUAAGCAUAGAGAAAUAAGUAAAGUGAUCUCUGCCAUACUAGCUUUUGAACAGUACUGUUAAAAUGGCGCCAUAGAACAGACCAAAUUUGAAGCCAGCAAGAGACUUAGUAAACACGUAAACCUUUAACCUAAAGCUGAUCCAUAUCUAAUGCAGAUGUGUAGUUGGUACUUGACUAUAUAGAUUAACUGAACGUAAUGAAUGUGAACAUAGUGUAAUCUUAAACCCAGCGGCACGUACUGCCAUAACAUGCAAGUGGCCGCACGUCUUUAUCAGCAUGUAUCAUCGUAGCACGUACCAUAAAAUAUGCUUUAUAGCAACGUGCCCACAUGAUCAUGUAUUACUGCGGUAUGUCAUAUAGAAGCCCGUCAUGCUGCAGUAUGCCACUCCGUAUUAUCGUGGCAUGAAACACAGCAGCCUGUCGAAGGACACUUAUGCCAUAUAGUACUCAUAUAACAUUGUAGUAUGUAAACCUGUCAUAUAGUAUCAAGAACACCGAAGUAUGUAACACCCUAGUAAGUAAUACCAUAUGAAACCGUAGUGGGAAAGCCACGUAGUGUAGCCCAUUAGUAUGUAGUAUAGUAGAGUACUAUAGUUUGCUGCACGUCGUAUGCAAAAUUCUACAGUAGUACCGAGCAAGUAGUAUGUAAUAACAGUUAUACGGUAGUAUGUAGCUCAGUAGUAUGCAAUAAGAGUAUACUCAGUAUACUGCCCAGUUGUAUGUGCUUAAGUAUUCAGUAGUAUGCAGCAAGUAUGUAAAAAAGUAUGAAUUGGUAUGCCGCUCAGUAGUAUGUGAUAAGUAUACAGACAGUAAUAUGUCAUAAACUGAUACGUUAUCAAGUAGCCCAGUAGUAUGUGGUAAUUAUACAGUAGUAUGCAGCUAGUAAUAUGUAAUAAAGUAUACAUUAGUAUGCAGCUAGUAGUAUGUGAUAAGUAUACAUUGGUAUGCAGCCAGUGGUAUGUGAUAAGUAUACAUUAAUAUGCAGCCAGUGGUAUGUGAUAAGUAUAUAUUAGUAUGCAGCCAGUGGUAUGUGAUAGGUAUACAUUAGAUAUGCAGACAGUAUGUCAUAAAAGUAAACAUUAUAAUGCAGCCCUGUAUUAAAGUAAUACAGUGUGUAUAUGCAGUAUAAUCAAUUAUUGCAACAGCAUGUAAAGACUUUGUUUAGUACAGUACUAGGUGAGCUGAGCUUCUCUCAUGUGAGAGAAGAAAGCAAAACUGUCAGCUGUGUGGUCUCUAGCUGCUGCGUCCGUGAGUCUAACUGCCGCCCCCCCUCCCACCCCCACCCCCAUGGACCUUUAGCAUGUGGCAGAGGGUGAGAGGACCAGACUACUGCUUAAGACUCACUUUUUUUGUGCCCCACGAGCAUAUGAGAAAAGCAUCCGCUUGUUUGCCGAUACAAGCGCACUGCCGCGAACCGGAAGUGACAGGAUCGUAACCCAGAAGUCCGAAACCGGAAGUGAUAGCUGCCGAAUUCAGAACUCCACGGUGAUGCAGGUAAAGGGGGGUGAGUUUAAAUAGGAUCACCACGCCCCUCCCACAACUCCAGGCAAGCCUUUACAUAUAUCAUCACAAUGACCGCACCCCAAGUCCUUCUUUCAAGUGUAAAAUGUAACCUAUUUCACAGUGUUAAAAUAACAGAUAUCAAAGUUUCAGCUCCCUCUGGAGCUUUCAUCAGGAUAACAAACAAAUACAAUUAAUUACAAGAACAUUCUAAAGUGUAAAAUAAAUUAAAAUCAUAUACUUACCCCCAACAUGUAUGUGGAGAAGGAUGCCGACUGGACCGAGGUGGCCACGUUGGUGUGAGGCUCAAGCCUUACCAGUGGCGUCUCGAGCAUUUAUAUUUAGGGGGGCCCAGGGACAAAAGUACCCCCUGCAAUUACAAAACGUAUGUGUAUGCGUAUAUAUAUAUAUAUAUAUAUAUAUAUAUAUACACAUAUAUAUAUAUAUAUACAUACACACACACACACACACAAACGUGGAGAACAUUUAAAAGUUAACAAAAUUCUGAAUUCCAGCACCUUGUUAACUAUGCUAAAGUCUAUCUGCUAAAGAUAUGCCAUGGUAACAAUAUCUCAUGAUGCCAGAAUGGUUACAAACUAUUGUUUUUUUAAAAAUAUUUAUUGUUUGCAAAUGCUUCUGUAGCUUAGCCUCGGGGAGACUUGACUGCAUGGAAUUGGAGUCCAGCAUGAUACCUAGAAAAAUAAGUCUGGUGGUGGGUUCAGUGGUUUUGUCUUGGGAAAGUGGACGCCUAAAGUUGAAAAUAGUGCUGUUGUGCUUUUUAAGCUUAGAGGCAUGCUAUUACUAUCUUCCACCAUUAGAAAAUCUUCCAGAUAGUGUAUAACCGUGGGACACCUAGCGAUGUGAAGGAGAAGCCAGUCUCGGCAAACGUGUUAAAGAUUUUUGGGUUACUUUUUGCACCGAAAAUGAGUCUGGUAGAAAAAUAAUAUUUCUCUUAACCCAGUGAACAUGCCAUAACGAGGGAUGACUCGGUAGUAACUUGAAAGCAUUGAUGAUAUCGGUCUUGCUAAGCCUUCUACCAGCCUUCAAUAUUGUUUGUAUAGCAUUAUCCACAGUGGUGUAGUGUAGAGAGAAUUCAGAGGAUGGUAUGAGAGAGUUUAGGCUUGGGUUUGUAGAUGAAUGAGGAGCUGAUAGGUCAAUGAUUAAACAUUUUUUAUUCGAGUAUUUGCUGGUGGUGAUCCCAAUCGGAUUUGUGUGCCAGGAAGAAAAGGGAGGGGAGGAAAUGGGGGCCUAACAUGAAACCCUUUUGAAUCUCUUUCCCAAUAAGAUCAUCAACUGUUAGCAGGUCAUACACAGCAGGUCAUACACAGCGUAUACGAGGUUGGGGCAAUCUAAAGUACCUACGGUGAAAACCUGUGAAUUAUGUAUUCCACCAAGUGAGGAGAAGGGAGAGUUUUCAAGUAGUAUGCCAAGUUGUCUAUCUUCACCUCAGUUAGUCAUUGAUUGGGGUUCAAUUUUGAAGGGCACAUGGAUUUAGUAUGUGCCCUAAAACAUAUAGAACACACGUGCAGUAAUCUUCAGGCACUGAAAAUACACACUCCUGCAUUAAAAUUUUUACAGACUUGUGCCUUGCCCAGGAAAACAAUGGGUCAUCCGAGCUUAUCUUUAAAGCCGUGCUGGUCAUGCUUGCUAGACCCAACUGGUUGAUUCGAAUAUGUUGAGGGGUUAGCUUCAGAGGGGCACAAAUUAGUGGUAUGGGAGGUGGAUGAGCAGACCGCACAAGAUGGGGGAAACAAGCCUGCAAAAUGUCUUCAAAAGAGCUCUGUGUCCAACUCGCUAAAGUCAGUACGGAUGUUAAACUGGGCCCGGGCUGCUGCUACUUUUACAGACACGGACUUGUGAUAAUCAUAAAACAAAAAGCAAUUUGUGCAUGUAGAGGGCAAGUUCUUCACGGCGCUGUGGAUAAACAGAGCAUACAAUGUCCCUAUAUAGAUCGAAGGCUAGGGCAAACUCAGGGAUGGUGAGUUUUUGUUUAGUCGUGGGUCUCUAGCCUUCAUUACAACAGCUAAGUCACUGUAAUUGUACAUUCUGUUUUCCACAACAUCCUGUGAAGUGAUUAAGAGAGAGACUAGAUUUAUGUCUUUCCCAUCUAGAAUAUCUUUGUGGAGAUCUGGGGGAACCAUGUGUGCUGGGGUAAUUGCGUGGGUAGAGGAGGGAGUAAAAGGUGAAGCAGGAAUCCUAACCUGCAUGCUGGGAGGUGUGAAUGCCUGUGUAGAUCCUACGGGAGGUGGAUCUAUCUGAGCCGAGCUGGCAUUUUCCUAUUUUGUCAGUCUAUCAUUUAUGGACUGCGGAGAUGACAAAAUGGUGUCUAAAGUUCCUUGUAUACUUGAGUUGUGCCCUCGUGAGCUGGGACCAAACCCUGGAUCCUCAGUAUGAGCUGUGAGCAGCUUGAAGAGUUCAGCUUUAAUUGCCGUGGCUGGGAAGGGGAUGCCCUUAUGUCGCAGUUCAGCCGAGAUCCUGAGGAUAGUCCAGGAUCUCAGUGAAGGGUUCUUGUAACUCGGUGGGGAUACCCUAAAAGGGGUAAUAGGCCUAGCGGGUGUGCUGGGGUGGAUGAUUCUUUGCCUAUGUUGGUCUCCUGGUCUCCCAUACUGUAAAAAAUACAAAAACAACAACAACAAGGUCUGAUUAACAUAUCCCUGGUAAACUUUGUAGAACUGUCUUUCUAACUAGUGCCAAAGUGAAAACUAUCUACCCCAUGACAGGUGAGGCCCUGCUAGUUGCCAUGUGGCAGGGUGGGGCGAAGGGUGAAAUCUCUGUGUUGAGAUUGGGGAGUUGGCCAACACCUGACCCUGAACAGACAGUUCUCUAAUCCUGGACGGGGGCUCGAUGAAGGGGAGAAAUUAAAAUAAAUAUGAAAUGUACCUAGCCAACCACAAAUUAUGAUUUCUUGUACCAAAAGAGUCCCUAUGAGACCUAAAACAUAAAAUAAAUAAAAGCCACCUAAGUACUGUAUUGUGAGAGUUCCUUAAUAAUAGUGCUGACAGUUAUUCUUUGUGACCGGGACCCAAGCAUGCUAGGAAAUAUAUAAUUUGUAACCAUGUUCCCAAAGGAGUUCCCGUGGUGAUGCCAAGAUGGGAAAGGAGGAAGUUGAACAAAAGGUAACUGUGACUAAACCCAAGACCAGCAGAACAGUGGACAUAGAAAACGAUUGUAUAUUAUAAGGUAGUGAAAGUUAAGAUAAGAUUGUAUGAUGGAUUGGUCGAGUAAAGCCGUGGCCAAACAAGGCAAAGCAGGAAUCAAGCCCUGAUUCUCUAUUACCCCUUAUGGAUGAAGCAUGGCCGUGUUGAGGCAGAAAGUAGAGAGAUAAACUUUUUUUUUUUUUUUUUACCUUGAACAGUCAAUACAGGCCUAUAGGUUAGUAUGACCCUAAGGAUAUCUUAAAUUAAGGUAUAGCAUGGUCAACAAUUGGUAGAAUAGCCUUAUAAGUUCCUGAUGAAAUGCAUAGAAAAAUGACAUACAUAAGCCAUGAAAGUAACCCCCUCUUAAGUGUAUUUAUGACAUAACAAACCGUAAUUAACAAAAACUAUGUAGUUCUAAUGCAUGUAAGUAGUUUGAACACCUUAUCAUUACUAAGAAUAAAGUAUAAAGUAGAAUAAUUACCCUGCUCCUGACAUGAAGCCUAUAUAGAUGAUAACCCAUAAUGUUACUUAACCUAAUUGUGUCUAAUAUCCAAGCUUGAUUUGAAAUAUUUUGGGGAAACGCCUGAAUGAACAGUUAGCCAGAUUACACACGAUUAUUGUAAGUACAGAAAUACUAAAUUAACAAUGUACCUUCCAUACUGUCACAUGUUCGUCACCUUGUGGUGUCCGUGAGGAUAAUUACUUUCCUGGCAUUGGUGGAGAUGCUGGUCGGCGACUGUUCCGGUGUAUCUGGCUCCUGCAUGCUGAAAGACGCCGGCCAUUGCGGAUCCAUACCAAUUUAUAGCCCCAUGUCCGUCCACGGUAUUGACGACAUCAACGUGCAUGUGACGUCACACAAAGGAAGCGCACGCACGUUUUGGGGUCAUAGGCCGGGUACGGCCAAUUGGAUUUAAAGGAGACUUAUUUAAACUGUUGUGGUUUCCCUUAGUAGUUGUCCGAGCGUGUGUUCCUAAGCGUUUAUUUCUGGUUAUUGACUUUGGCUUUGUUUGACUUCCCUGUAUUCUUGCAUCCUUGACUUUUGGCUUUCCCUCAUCGUUGUGUCUAUUUCCGUAACCCCUACCUCGGCAAGUAUUCUGACUAUUCUCUGGUACGUUAAGUCCGGCCAUUCCAAGGCCUGGUAAGAUGUUACUUUUGUCCUAGGUGUGAUACAGUUCUGUGUGCUGGAUCAACUAGUAAUCCUGACAUUACGACAUGGCCAUAGAUCCUGCAGAACUGUGUCAACACAUAGCAGCUUGCGAGAGAAAGCUAGAGGAGAAUGAUCACCGUAUGGAUCAAUUUGCCCAGGCUUUCAGUACGCUUCUGUAGCGGAGUAGUAGUAUUAUCCACGGUAUCUCCGCUGGUAGACAGAAUCAAGCAGGCACAAAGCAGGUAAAAUCCAGGUAGCGUAGUUACAAUCCCUUCCUCCAAAGAACUAGACAACACAUAGCUUGGAGGUCAACUGAGGUUUAUUUUCAGGUCACGGUAUUUAUGGGAUUCCCCAUGCAAGGGGUUUCCCUACUGACAUUUCAGGGGUUGUACAGUAGGGGACUACAUGGGGAACUGACCAACACACACAAUUUUCCCAUCAUACACUGCUGGACGAGAGGGAUAUUCCUGUACAUCUGCCAUGAUCCUGUCGAAAGUCUCCUGUGGUGGGGUGGUUGGGUACAGAGCUAUCCUGCUCUUGAAUUCUAUUUCAAAUUCCGUUUGCUCUUUCCUUAUUGCAGGUGCUGCAGCAGCUGCGGCUCUGUCCCCUUCCAUCAGCUCCUCAAUUAGAACAGCCUUUGCCUUGUUGCUGGCUAUUGUUCCUCUCGCUUCUAGUAACUCAUUUAAUGUGCUGCGUUUCAAAAGUGCAUAAUUCGUUUCCAUUCACCACCUGUUCGUGUGUUUCCACAUACUCCCAAUCUCCGGUUUCAUCCGAAUGGCUGUGCUCACGAAUUGCUAUUUUUUUCCUUCCGUUCGUUUUAAUUCCUGCCGAACCCUGCUUUGCUGUGAGGUUAGAAUCCCGUCGCUUGCCACCAAUUGUAGCGGAGUAGUAGUAUUAUCCAUGGUAUCUCCGCUGGUAGACAGAAUCAAGCAGGCACAAAGCAGGUAAAAUCCAGGUAGCGUAGUUACAAUCCCUUCCUCCCAAGAACUAGACGACACAUAGCUUGGAGGUCAACUGAGGUUUAUUUUUCAGGUCACAGUAUUUAUGGGAUUCCCCCUGCAAGGGGUUUCCCUACUGACAUUUCAGGGGUUGUACAGUAGGGGACUACAUGGGGAACUGACCAACACACACAAUUUUCAUACACUGCUGGACGAGAGGGAUACUCCCAUUGGAAUAUACCGUUAAUGGGAUUAUCCCUCCGUGCAGCAGAACACACUUUUUACAUUAAAAUACAUAACUUCAACAAUAUUCACUAGUUUUACGCGAAUGGACGUUCCGUAGAUAGCUGGAGGCUGAGCGCAUCGUUCGUGAGAAUACCGCUCAGCUCCCAGUCUAACUAACCGAACGCCGUACGAAAUACACAUAAUUUCCAACAUAGGUUUUAAAAUACUGAUUAUCGUAAGGGGAAUAAACUACCGAACGGCUAAGGUUCCCGAACGGCCUGGAAGUCCAGAGGUGUUCGCGCCGUCGAGUAGCCGUUUUUAGUUCCAGGCGCUCAACGACAAAACACCGCUGGGCGAACAAAAGAAACAAGAUGGCCGACCGCCGCGUGGUCGGUAUUCGAAUGACGGCCACCUAGAAACACUCUUAAUUACCGAUUGCAAUCGGUUAAUGGGUGCCACACGACCCCCUGUGUGUGGUCGUGCGUUCGGUAUGUUAUUCGUUUCACGAACAGUGUUUAACUCACUGUUCGUGAAACUUCAUUAGAAAUGCUGGGGUUUUCAUACCGCCAGCAUAUGAAUGCCCUCAUUCGCCUGAAAUACAAAUAACAUUGAUUUCUAUGGCUUAGCAACAAUACACACAUCCUUAUACAUUAAUAGUCUCUGGUGGCUAGUUUUGCCACAGCUUCUUACUCAAACAGCGCAUCUACAGCCUAAAGUUUCUUCGACUAUGUCACCUCUGCCUAAAGUACCUCAAGGCACCUACCAUCUCCCUAUCUCCUUCCCCAUAUUUUGAUAGUAAUAUUCAAGAAUGCCGGGGAUUUCUGAAUCAAAUUGAGUACCACUUUGAGUCCUCACCGGGAUCUUUUCCCUCAGAAAGAGCCAAGAUUGGUUACCUAAUGAAUCAACUUAAAGGUAAAGCCUUAGCUUGGGCCAAUCCGUUAUGGAUUGCAUAUAUUUACCAGGAAUUCCCUGUGGAAUUCAAAUUAACAUUCAAACCAUUAGGCAAGGAGGAUGACGCCUCCACUGCCCUAAUGCAUAUUAAACAAUAUCGCAGUCUGUAACGGAGCUCCCUGUACUCCGACUGAGUACCCUCCGUUGAUGGAUGCUCCUAGCGCUUCCUGAGGAUUCCAAACACUGCAGCAGACACCACAACCACCGCAGACUCCACAACCGCCGUAGCUUAACUGGAGUCUCGCCGUCUUCCUUCCACCCUGGAUCAGCUUCUGUCCUCCAGGACCGUGUGGGGAAGACCUCUCCUCCAGGAGAGCGUAACAGGAACAGCUCUUAAAAGAGCUAAGUGAUUAAAAGCUCAGGGGAGUAUGCAGAGCAUAGCAAUCCCCAGUGUGAUAUAGCAGUUCCCUCCAAUAACGAGACAAGGCUACGUAUUGAGGGUCAAGAAGAUCUGAUGUUUAAUGGCACACACUCUGCUUUUAUGAGAUUCUGCCCAUGCAAGGGAGACACCCACAUAAUUAGCAGUAUAACCAAUCGGAACAAUAUACAUUCGGGGAAAUUCCCAUCCCUCAGAUAAUCACAUAACAUAAUUAAAACAGAACAGUAAAAAUACAGUUUUUAUACAUGUGCUAUAACUUCCAAACUACACAUCCAAUCUUCAUAAAAAUUACAUAUUUGGAAUCAAUCCAUUAAGGGGAGCAACAUAUUAAAAAAUGGCACAAAUCAGACAAGGGGUUCAAAAGUUAGCAAAAGUGUAUUUUGGGGCCUGGCUGGCAGCAUGGUUUUCUGGCCCAAACCGGUUUUACAGAGGCCUCUAUCCUGGACAAUGGGGAAAGUAAUCCAAUUAUCCAGGGAUAGAGGCAGACUCCAUUAACCACAUGUUAGCAAAAGACACAAAAAGACACAAAAAUACAUAACUCCUAUUGAACUGAACAGAACCCCCACAUUCAACCUAUCCCCAGAUGGCUUGGAUCUGAGCGCUCAAUAUAUCCAAACAGCGCUCAGAUCCCACAAAUACAGUCAAAUCGCCUUACACACUAGGUCCAUAGUCAUGGGGCAGAAGGCUGGCAAUUAGGCUUCUCCAUAACACAGGGAAGCAGGGCAAUUUGUCAAAUAAAAUAACAGUUACAAAUGGCAGUUUGUAACAUAUCUCCUCUUUUGGAGGGAGACUAACCAGGCACCUGACCUCCUGUCGGUCAGUGCCUAAGUUAGUCUCGCAGCCCACCCACAAAUAACAAUUAGCAAAGUAGCCCCCCCACAAUAAACAGUACUGGCCUGUAGGUUCCAGGUUGUAGGAUGAAAAUGCAGCAUCCUCUGCCUUCCUGGUGCAGCUGGGCAAAUAGCUGGUGGUACUUGGGGGGCAGAGGCCAGCGGCGCUCUGCCCUGAUGCCCGCACUUCUGCUGGGGAGAGGGGGUUGCAGACCAGUCCUGUAACAAGGGGGUCGGUAGGGCAGAGGCCAGCGGCGCUCUGCCCUGAUGUCAGCUCUUCCGCUGGGGUAGCCGGCAGAAUGUCACGCUCUGUACAAGGGACACAGGGAGGGCAGAGGCUGACUGCACUCUGCCCAGCUGCCAGCUCUUCCGCUGGUAUAGCCUGCAGGACAUCAGGCUCUGGACAAGGGACAAAGGGAGGGCAGAGGCUGACUGCACUCUGCCCAGCUGCCAGCUCUUCCGCUGGUAUAGCCUGCAGGACAUCAGGCUCUGGACAAGGGACAAAGGGAGGGCAGAGGCCGACUGGGGUGCUGGGAUGCUGGGAACAUAGUCCGGCUCAGUAGCCAGGGGAACAUGGGAGUCAGUGGGGGUUAACAUCUCCUCUGUUAACCCUGGGGCCAAGUUAGGAGUUAGCUGGGGAGGGGAAUUCGUACUUACCCCCUCCUCCUGUUGUCCCUGUGAGGGUAGUUGGGGAUCUGGACAGGCUGUCCAGCAUCCCUGUAGGUCGGGCACAGAGACCACGGUCCCCUCUGCGCCAUCUGGGAGAUUGGUGUCUCCCCUUGGUAGGGUAAGCUGCCGCUGGGGAGAUAGGGUGCUGUGCUCCUCUCCCUGAAACACAGGCUGCCGCUGGAGAGGGAGACCGCCUGUCUCCACUCCCAUAACAUUGUCCUGCUGCUGGAGAGAGAGACCAACUGUCUCUGCUCCCUGUAGGACACACUGCUGCUGGGGAGGAAGGACGACACCUUCGGCUCCCUGUAACUUGCACUGCCGCUGGGGAGGAAGGACGACACCUUCGGCUCCCUGUAACUUGCACUGCCUGGGGAGGAAGGACUGGCUCCCUGUAACACACUGCCGCUGGGGAGGAAGGACGACACCUUCGGCUCCCUGUAACUUGCACUGCCGCUGGAGACUAGGUGUCCAUAUCCUCAACCUCCACAGUUGUCGCUCAAAGGCCAUUGCCGCACUGUUCUCAGCACUCAACUGGCACAUUACUUGGUGGACCACCUCGUUCGAAAGGUCUGGGCCAUAGCAGACCAACCGCCUCUUUACCUCCUCAAUGUAAGCGUCGUCCUCGUAGCGACGUAUCAUGUUGAGGUGCUCUUUGCAGGGCUCUAUCCAUCCCUGCUCCAUGCUGCUGUAGUUAGGGACGCUGCACAGUGGCUAGCGUUGCCCUCAAUAACCUCUCAUACGAUACCAGUGUCUCCGAGCUGCUUCUCCUCGCACUAGGACGCCAUCCCACCGCUGCCACCAAUGUAACGGAGCUCCCUGUACUCUGACCGAGUACCCUCCGUUGAUGGAUGCUCCUAGCGCUUCCUGAGGACUCCAAACACUGCAGCCGACACCACAACCACCGCAGACUCCACAACCGCCGUAGCUUAACUGGAGUCUCGCCGUCUUCCUUCCACCCUGGAUCAGCUUCUGUCCUCCAGGACCGUGUGGGGAAGACCUCUCCUCCAGGAGAGCGUAACAGGAACAGCUCUUAAAGAGCUAAGUGAUUAAAAGCUCAGGGGAGUAUGCAGAGCAUAGCAAUCCCCAGUGUGAUAUAGCAGUUCCCUCCAAUAACGAGACAAGGCUACGUAUUGAGGGUCAAGAAGAUCUGAUGUUUAAUGGCACACACUCUGCUUUUAUGAGAUUCUGCCCAUGCAAGGGAGACACCCACAUAAUUAGCAGUAUAACCAAUCGGAACAAUAUACAUUCGGGGAAAUUCCCAUCCCUCAGAUAAUCACAUAACAUAAUUAAAACAGAACAGUAAAAAUACAGUUUUUAUACAUGUGCUAUAACUUCCAAACUACACAUCCAAUCUUCAUAAAGAUUGAAUCAAUCCAUUAAGGGGAGCAACAUAUUAAAAAAUGGCACAAAUCAGACAAGGGGUUCAAAAGUUAGCAAAAGUGUAUUUUGGGGCCUGGCUGGCAGCAUGGUUUUCUGGCCCAAACCAGUUUUACAGAGGCCUCUAUCCUGGACAAUGGGGAAAGUAAUCCAAUUAUCCAGGGAUAGAGGCAGACUCCAUUAACCACAUGUCAGCAAAAGACACACAAAAAUACAUAACUCCUAUUGAACUGAACAGAACCCCCACAUUCAACCUAUCCCCAGAUGGCUUGGAUCUGAGCGCUCAAUAUAUCCAAACAGCGCUCAGAUCCCACAAAUACAGUCAAAUCGCCAUACACACUAGGUCCAUAGUCAUGGGGCAGAAGGCUGGCAAUUAGGCUUCUCCAUAACACAGGGAAGCAUGGCAAUUUGUCAAAUAAAAUAACAGUUACAAAUGGCAGUUUGUAGCACAGUCUAUCUCAGAUUAUGCCAUAGAAUUUUGCACCUUGGCUUCUGAGGUAGACUGGACUAAUAGCGGGUUAUUCUCUGCAUUUAAAAAAGAAUUAUCCAAGGCAAUUCUGGAUGAGAUUGCUGCUAAAAACCUACCUAAAAGAUUAAAGGAGUUUAUCAUAUUUGUCAUGCAGAUUGAUAAUAGACUUAGAACCUUACAGUCUGAACCUAAACCUAUUUCAGUUGGGCGUCACUAGACUGUCAGAGGCAGAAAGACAAUAUAGGAGAAAAGAGGGUCUAUGCCUAUACUGCGGUGAAAAAGGACAUAUGAGGAGUGCUUGUCCCAUACAUCCAGAAAACUUUCCCACCUAAGAACCCUAAGGGGACAAGUCUUAGGUGUGAUGGAUACGUCCUCUGGGAAUUACAAAAAUAGAUUCCUCUUUGAUAUUAUGGCCAAAUGUAACAAGCAGAACUUUUCAUGCAAAGCCCUGAUGGACUCAGGUGCGGCAGGAAACUUCAUUGAUGUACAUUUUGUCAAAAAACAUUCUAUACUUAUCAAGGAGAGAUUAUCACCUCUGGCCGUUGAGACUAUUGACAGGAGACCUGUCUCUCAACCCUUAAUUACCCACAAAACCUUGUCCAUUAACAUUUUCAUUGGUGCCUUACACAAGGAAGACAUAACAUUCCAAAUAAUUGCUUCUCCUUCUUCUCCCAUAGAAACAUAGAAUGUGACGGCAGAUAAGAACCAUUCGGCCCAUCUAGUCUGCCCAAUUUUCUAAAUACUUUCAUUAGUCCCUAGCCUUAUCUUAUAGUUAGGAUAGCCUUAUGCCUAUCCCACGCAUGCUUAAACUCUUUACUGUGUUAACCUCUACCACUUCAGCUGGAAGGCUAUUCCAUGCAUCCACUACCCUCUCAGUAAAGUAAUACUUCCUGAUAUUAUUUUAAACCUUUGUCCCUCUAAUUUAAGACUAUGUCCUCUUGUUGUGGUAGUUUUUCUUCUUUUAAAUAUAGUCUCCUCCUUUACUGUGUUGAUUCCCUUUAUGUAUUUAAAUGUUUCUAUCAUAUCCCCCCUGUCUCGUUGUAACGAGAAUAUACCCCUACACACAGGAUCCAGCUAAACAGAGGCAAAUACAGAGGAGAGAUACGUCUACCGGACCUUAGAAUGGCCGGACUUGACGUAUAUGAGAGAAGACAGAGCCAGGAACAAAACCGAGGUCAAGGGCACAGAGAGACAGCGAAAACUAGGACAAGCCGGGGUCUGGUACACGGAAAACAGCAAGCCGGCAAACAGUACAGAUAAGGAUAAAGCGAAAACGAAGUCAGAAUACGAAGCCAAAGUCAAUACGAGAAAACACAACUGAACACUACAAGCGCUAAAGGGAACUGAAACAGAAACCACGAUAGGGCAAGGAACAAAGGGAAGAAGGUGAGUAUAAAUACCUAAACAUCUAAUUUGAUUGGUCCCUGUCAUAUCCACGCCCCCAAAAGGUAAGUGUAUGGGGCGUGUGGCAUGACAGGGACCAAUGGGAUGCCUUUUCCAAUUUAGGCACCCACUGUCCCUUUAAGAGCGCGCCCGAGACUCGCGGCGCGCUCUUAGAUUCAGGCGGGACACGUGACCGCCUCACGCGGUCACUGCCCGCCCUCCAUCCGAAGUAGUUGGAUGAGCCGCGCGCGGCUCGUGCAGCCGCAGGACCGCGCGGCUUGAAGAGAGGACCGCGACCGGCCCCCGGUUAAGGUAAGUAACGCUACACUCGUCUUUCCUCCAAGCUAUACAUGUUAAGAUCCUUUAACCUUUCCUGGUAAGUUUUAUCCCGCAAUCCAUGAAACAGUUUAGUAGCCCUUCUCUGAACCCUCUCUAAGGUAUCAAUAUCCUUCUGAAGAUACGGUCUCCAGUACUGUGUGCAAUACUCCAAGUGAAGUCUCACCAGUGUUCUGUACAAUGACAUAUGCACUUCCCUCUUUCUACUGCUAAUACCUCUCCCUAUACAACCAAGCAUUCUGCUAGCAUUUCCUGCUGCUCUAUUACAUUGUCUGCCUACCUUUAAGUCAUCAGAAAUAAUCACCCCAAAUCCCUUUCCUCAUAUGUUGAGGUUAGGACUCUAUCAAAUAUUCUGUACUCUGCCCUUGGGUUUUUACGUCCAAGAUGCAUUAUCUUGCACUUAUCCACAUUAAAUGUCAGUUGCCACAAUUCUGACCCAUCAUAUUAGGAUUUCCUUGGCUUAUUAAGCACAAUCCUCUUAUUGACUGGGCAAAGGGGGAAAUAUUGGAAUGGGGCAAGGACUGUACUGGGAGAUGUAUGUUGCACAUUACCAAAAGAGUGGGCUUCAUUACAUUACCAACUACUACGCCUCAGGCCUCCGAAGUUCCCAUACAAUACAAGGUUAAGGAGGUAUUCAGUAAGAGUCAGACCAAUAUUCUACCUUCUCACAGAUCUAUGACUGUUCCAUAAAUCUGCUACCCGGGGCUAUGCCUUAUCACCAGGGGAGAGUAGAAUAAUGGAAGCGUACAUCAAAGACUCCCUUAAUAAGGGCCACAUACGUAAAUCAUCCUUGCCUGCUGGUGCAGGGUUCUUUUUUGUAUCUUAAAAAGAUGGAGAAUUACGUCCAUGCAUUGACUACAGGGCAUUAAACAAGAUCAGCAUUAAAAAUGCCUAUCCCAUUCCCCUCAUUUCCGAAUUGUUUGACAGACUCCAGGGUGCUAAAAUCUUUAUUAAACUUGACCUCAGGAGUGCAUACAAUUUGGUAAGGAUUAAAGAAAAUCAUGAGUGGAAAACGGCAUUUAACACUAGAAGUGGGCACUAUGAGUACCUUGUCAUGCCCUUCGGGUUAUGCAAUGUUCUGGCCAUGUUCCAGGACUUUAUUAAUGAUGUAGACUAUAUCUAUUUAUUUGUCCUAGUUUAUCUGGAUGAUAUCCUUAUUUAUUCCCCUGACCUUCAGACUCACCACAAACAUGUCAAACAAGUAUUGCAAACUUUACUUAAUAAUUAACUUUAUUGCAAACUGGAAAAAUGCAUCUUUGACCAGACUGAAGUACAGUGUUUAGGGUAUAACAUUUCUGCCACUGGUUUUCAAAUGGCUCCUCAUAAACUCUCCGUAAACUGCCUACCUCUGCUGAGUUAGCCCAGAUCUUCAUUAAAGACAUAUAUAGAUUACAUAGGUUGCCACAAGAAAUCUUAUCUGAUAGAGGGACACAGCUUAUAUCACGAUUUUGGAGGAAGUUUUGUUCUGAACUUAGGGUUUCGAUGUAUUUUUCCUCAUCGUAUCACCCCUAGACAAACAGGGCUAAGAAAAGGGUUAAUCAAUCUAUAGAGGGCUUCUUGAGAUGUUUCAUAUCAUAUAACCAUGACAACUGGUAUGACCUUCUUCCUUGUGCUGAAUUUGCACAUAAUAACACUGCACAUGACUCCUCACAGCAUAGCCCUUUCUUCAUUACCUAUCGUAGACAUCCCCUUGUUAUCCCUUCUCAGUUUCAUGAAACUGGAUUACCGGUUCUUGAUCAACACCUUCAUGACUUUCAAGAAGCUUGUAUAGCGUGCAUUGUCUUUGGCUUCCUCUCGUCAUAAAACUCAUGCAGACAAACGCCGAUCUAUGGCACCUAGUUAUGUAUUUGGGGACAAGGUCUGGCUUUCCCACUCACUACAUCAGAUUGAAAGUGCCGACUGUGAAGUUGGCUCUCAGGUUCAUUGGCCCAUAUGUAAUCUCUAGGAAAAUCAAUCCUGUGUCACAUGCAUUGGCGCUCCCUCUGGCCUUACGUAUUCUUAAUGUAUUUCAUGUGUCCUUGAUCCAAACACGUUUCGUCCUUCUCCUGUGUCUGUUGAUGGUUGGGACGAGUAUGAGAUCCAAUCUAUUGUGGACUCCACGUGGUUGCGUGUGGUGUUGCAGUAUUUAAUUCACUGGAUGGGGUUAUGGACCGGAAGAGCAUUUGUAGGUUCUUGCCUCUGACGUUCAUGCUGGUAGGCUGCUGCGUGCUUUUCGUGUCCGGUUUCCUAAUAAGCCGGUGUGACGGACUGCCUUUGUCAAACGCUGCUUCCUAAUACUUGCGAGCACCAUAAGCACUGCACUGCAACACCAUAACCACCAUAAACCAUACAAACCGCUCCAGCUUGGUUGGGGUCUCACUGUCCUCCACUAACCCUGGACCAAAGACCAGGAUCCAGCUUACAGUGGGUAGACCUCUCCUAGUCCAGAGAGCAUAGCAGGAACAGCUGUUAUAAGAGCUAGUGAUUAUACUUAGUAUUGUGAUUAUAGCAAUCCCCAGAGUAAAUAUAGCUCUUCAAUCCCCCAAACAUGAGCCAAAACUUCAUGAAGGGGUAAACAAAUCUCUCUUUAUUGGAAGCUACACUUUGCCUUUUAUGACAAUCCACAUGUAAGGCACAAAUGGACCUUGUUGGGGACGCCAACACAAAGACACAGACCAAUAAGAGCAGUAAUUAAAUGCACAACACUCCCAUACACAGCACACGAUCCUUCCCCUCUGCUUGGGAGAUAAUUGGAUAAGUAACUGUACUAAUUCUAAUCCAAUUAUCUCCAAGCACAGAAAAAAAACACACUUUUUAAAACACCCCAAAAGUACCCUACAAAUACAUGAAUUCCUGGAAUUCUUAUUUUUGACCCACCGUGCACAUGGCCCAGAACAGUUCCAGAGAAUUAGGGCUAACGGUUGGUCUCUCUGUCUGGAAAACAAAAGUACAUACUUCACAUGAACAGAGCCUUUUAAAGUGCAUUGGGAAGAUAUAUUGCAGGACCCAUAGUCCUGAGGCAAGAAUCUGGCCAGCAGGCCCCUCCAAGAAUCCGUGACAAGGUUCGGUUCGUCACAGAGUAGGAGGCUGGCAAACAGGCCCCCCAAAAAGCCAGUGAUGAAGUUACUUUUGUCACAGUCGGCCCCUUUUCUGGGGUUUUCGGGGAGGGGGUGCUGUCACGGUGUCCGCCGGGUCUGCUCCUGCCUUGCGAUGUGGGAAUGCUGCCGAAUACUUACCCUGUCUCCAGGCACCCGCCGGGUCCGCUCAUGCCCGGGAAGCGCAUCUCCAUGUGGCUGCAUCCCACAUGGUAAUGGGAAUGCCGGCUAUCGCUUACAAUCUCCUGCAACGCCCCUGCCCUCACUGACAGGCACUCCUCCCCAUACACAGCAACCGGGUCUGUAAACAUUAGAGAUGCCGGCCGCUGCAAGUUUGAACCUUUUAAGUUUUUUUGUUUUUUUUAUUAACCCUUUAGGGCCUAACCAUUUGGAAUGUGUGGGUGAUGUCACACACACACACAUUCACUGUCACAUGCUUCCCUGCAGCCAAUCAGGGAGCAUGUUAGGCUAUUUAAACCUUUUUUGUACAUUUCUCUGUGCCCUGUCGUGGUUUCCUUACUGGUUAUCCGAGAGCGUGUUUCUGGUACUAUUUAUUGUAUAUUUUGACCUUGUCUAACUAUCUCUGUAUUCCUUGACCCUUGGCAUGGCUCCUGACUAUUCUGACUUUUAUAUUCCUCAACCUUUGGCUUGCUUAAAGUUUCCGUGAUUUCUGUGUUCUUGUCCACAGCCUGUCUUGUGGUUUUUCCUUUUAUACGUUAAGUCCGGCCGCUCUAAGGCCUGGUAAUACAUCUUAGGGUUUUCUUUAUUUUCUAUAAAUUGGGGAAUGAGGAUUGAUCAUCAAUAUUUUUGCCAAUAUCUUUGCACAUAUAGUACACUUUAUUAAUGUUGAGACAAAAUGUCACCAAUAUAAAUAUUAUAAACACGAUUAUUCAAUAUUGGAGACAUUUGUCCUUCAAACUUAAUUAUGCAAAAUGAUACCUAUGUGUUUUGUUUUAUUUUCCCCUCCUCCCUUCUUAUUUGUCCCCCCUCCCAGCCCCCAUACUAAUACUAAUAUACUAAUAAGGGGGGGACCUAAUGUCCUCCCCCUGGCCCCCACCCCUGAGUGGUGGGUGGGGGCCCUAAAUACUAAUAAGGGGGGUACCUAAUGUCCUCCCCCCUGGCCCCCACCCCUGAGUGGUGGGUGGGGGCUCUAAAUACUAAUAAGGGGGGACCUAAUGUCCUACCCCCUGGCCCCCACCCCUGAGCGGUGGGUGGCAGCCCUAAAUACUAAUAAGGAGGGGACCUAAUGUCCUCCCCUUCGCCCCCACCCCUGAACGGUGGGUGGGGGCCCUAAAUUAGAAUAGGGGGGACCUAAUGUCAGAGCACUCUGAUUGGAUGGCUUAAAUCCACCAAUGUGCUCUGAGCCAAAUUGCAGGGUGGGGCAAGGCUUUGUAAGCCUUCCCCCGCCCUGCAGAGCUCAGUCUGCGCGGGUGAAGAAGGAUUAAUUUUUUAUUAUUAUUUAUUUAUUUAUGAGUGGUGGGUGGGGGCCCUUAAUACUAAUAAGGGGGGGGGAACCUAGUGUUCUCCCCCCUGGCUCCCACCCCUGAGCGGUGGGUGGGGGCCCUAAAUAAAAAAUUAACCCCUGACCUCCCCCCCGGUGACUAGGGGUCCACAAAACCCUAGUCACCCCCCUCCACAAAAAAACUAACCAGUACCUACCCCCCUCCCCCUAAAAAUAAUGAGGGGGGUGGACCAUUAACUAAGUACCUGUAAAAAAAAAAAAACUUACCAUUUGAUGUUUUCUUUCUUCUAAAAUCUUAUUUUAUCAGCCCCAAAAAAAGCCAAAUAAAAAAUCCAUAAUAACCGACGCACUUAAAAAUAAAUAAAUAAAUAAAUAAAUAAUAAAAAAAAAAUAAUCCUUCUUCACCCGCGCAGACUGAGCUCUGCAGGGCGGGGGAAGGCUUACAAAGCCUUGCCCCACCCUGCAAUUUGGCUCAGAGCACAUUGGUGGAUUUAAGCCAUCCAAUCAGAGUGCUCUGACAAGUAAAUGAAGAGACUGACAGGUAAGUCUCUACAUUUACCUGUCACAGCACUCUGAUUGGAUGGCUUAAAUCCACCAAUCAGAGUGCUCUGAGCCUAAUUGCAGGGUGGGGCAAGGCUUUAUAAGCCUUCCCCCGCCCUGCAGAGCUCAGUCUACGCAGAGCCCUCCAUGGGUGAAGAUGGAUUAUUUUUUUUAUUUUUUUAAGUGCGUCGGUUAUUAUGUAUUUUUUAUUUGGCCUUAUUGGGGGCUGAAAAGAGACGAUUUUAGAAGAAAGAAAACAUCAAAUGGUUUAUUUUUAGGUUGAGGAGGGUAGGUAGGGGUUAGUUUUUGAAAACAUCAAAUGGUUUAUUUUUAGGUUGAGGAGGGUAGGUAGGGGUUAGUUUUUUGGGGAGGGGGGUGACUAGGGGUUUGGGUACCCCAAGUCAAAUGUUGGAGGGGGUUUAAUUUUUUAUUUAGGGCCCCCAGGGGCGGGGGCCAGGGGUGGGGGCCAGGGGGAGGACAUUAAGGUCCCCCCUUAUUAUAAUUUAGGGCCCCCACCCAUCGCUCAGGGGUGGGGGCCAGGGGGGAUUACAUUUAUUCUAAUUUAGGGCCCCCACCCGCCGCUCAGGGGUGGGGGCUGGGGGAGAGGACAAUAGGGCCGCCGCCACCCGCCCCUUAUGGGUGGGGGCUGGGGGGGGAAAGCCCCCACUUGCGCGUUGCGGGUGGGGGCUCGGGAGGGGGGACCUUUUUUUUUUUUAAUAGACAUGCCCCUACUCGUGGUAUAGCGAGUAGGGGCUGAAUUUACUAAUACUAAGUAAUCUUUACUUAGUAUUAGUAAAUUUAGCUGGAAGACCAAUUUAGGUCUUUCAGCUUUUUAGUAGAUAGCUCCCUAAUACCGUGGAAAUUAGGGAGUUAUCUAAUUAUUCAUUCCUGUCAUUACAUUGACUGGUUAAGUAACUUACAUUUUAUAUGAAUGUAUGUUACUUGAUUGUUGUAAGUGUUGCAAAUGCUUACAGCUGAAUCCUGGCUAUGUUUGUAUACUUUUUAUUUGAAAUUGUAUACAGUAACAUUCUUCUUUCUUCCACUGGGUAAGUAUAUUAGUUCUUAGGCAAUACUGUGCUUCGGAACUUUGGCAGUUCGACACUUCGGAACUUCGGCCACUUCAGAACUUCGACACUUCGGAAAUUCGGUAAUUUCGGAACUGCGACAAUUUGGCAAUUCAUCUAUUCGGACAUUCGGAAGUACCUGAAUGUCCGAAUUUCGUCAGAAUCGCACAUGUCUAUUGCAUACAAAGAAAUACUAAAAACUCAGCUAUGCUAAUCCCUACAGACUCCUGGUAACACCGUCAUGGGUGUUCUGUGCUAAGGCUAUCGCUAAAAAUUAUAUGCUAAUAGCGCUUGUAGAUCGCUCCCACAAAGUAGAAUCCAAGUUAACUACAUAGCUGAAUGAAAACUAAAACUGAAAAAAGGUGAGGGAGAGGUGCCUUCUAGUGCAUAGUGAAGUGCUAGUGUGAAGCUGCUGCGCUAAGCCCGACUCGCGUUUCGGAGUACUAAGAGUCCUUUGUCAGAGGCUAAACCCUAUCCCCCAAAAGUCCGGGGUAUUUAAAUACAGAGUGACCAAUCCACAGUUGGGUUGUGAUACGUCAUAAAUGACGUUAUAAUUGAUAAACCACGUGAGAUUGCUAUGGGUGGGGUUUCAUGUUAGUGACGUCAGAUGAUUGACGGUACUGAAACUCUGUAGCAAUUUUUGGUUCUCCUUGAAGAGACAUAAAAGACUUUGGCUUGUCAAAGCCUUGUACUUGUUGAUCGCGCUGAAUGGCCAUCCUGGUGCUAUGAGUGGUCAGGAUAGCCAUCAGAUCGCGGUCCUGCCUGCACCCAGAUCGGUUGUGAAUACACAUCGAUCUUAUUUAGUGCAGGAAUAAAAAUAAUUAUUGGAGAAAUACUGUUUAAAUUUAUAUGUGGACAGUAUUGUACUCAAUUGAAUCUCGAAGUUCUUAUAUCACAUAUAAAGAGUACCGUAGGCUUAAAAUGACAGUAUCCUGUGGUAAAAUAUAUUAUUCCCUUGUUCUUUUGUGUAUAGGGGAAAUGGGAGAUGGGUGAAGUCAGUAUGAAGUAAUCAAAGUGGCAACUAAUUCAAACUGAAAGUAAGACAAUAAUACUAGAGGGACCUGGCACCCAAACCACUUAAUUGAGCUGAUGAUGAUCUGGGUGUCUGUAGUGGUCCUUUAAGUGUGUAUGCAUCUGCAUGCACUGGCGUACAUACCGCAGUCGCAGGGGUCGCAGCCCUGCGACCAGGUGCCCGCCGCCAUGUGUUGAGGCCCUGGCCCGCGCAGAGUAAGCGCGGGGGGGGCACAGGUCAAUUUUCGCACUGGGGCCCCAUGGGUCAUGUGUACGCCACUGCUUCUGUUUUACUGUUUCUUUGGUCUUGGUCUCAGAAAGGGGCAAUUUUCCCCCUGUGUAUGGUCUAAAAAAGUAACUCAUUUUUUAAGAAUGCUUCUACUGUGUUCAGUGGAGCUCAAGGGGGUUACUGACGUAUUGGGCUCAGAUUCGCUUGACUUGUACUCAGCUGUUGAGAUCUGAUCGCUGUCUACCCUUCUUUUCCUUUGGAACCUUUUAUACAUGUUUCCCGUUUUGAAAUCUUUAUGGUCCCUUAGGAAUUUUUGAUGUUUCCUCUGUUUUAUGAUGGUUUGAUAUUUUUCUGAAUUAGUUUGAAGUUUAUUUUCAUUGGGAACAAAGGUUCUGUUUUAUAUUGUUGGAUUUUUUGCACCUCACUUUCAAUCUUUUUUCAAUCUCUGUUAGUUUCUUGUUCUCAUAUUUGCAUAUAAUUUGCAUGAAGUGUGCUGAGCACUGUCCUGCAGCUUCUUUCCAUUCUUUCAUGAAUUCUACCUCUUCAAUAUGUGAGCUAGGGCUUGUUGGUAUUCUUAAUCCCCUUGGUAUGAGACCUUUUUUAAAAUAAUUUUCUAAGGACGCUAUCUCCCAACUCGUCCUUAUUUGUUGUUUGUAUAAUUGAGUGAGGGAAUUGAAACCUGUCGUCAGUGAAUAAUUUAGAUCCUCAAUAUAUAUAUUAAGAUCAAAAUACAGUUAGAAUAAAAUGACAUAUAUAUAUAUAUAUAUAUAUAUAUAUGUGUAUUUAUAUAUAUAUAUAUAUAUAUAUAUAGCAUUUAAAAAUAUAUAUUUUUACAGUUUAUUUUUAAUUAAUUUAUUUUGUUAUAAUAUAUAUAUAUAUAUAUAUAUAUAUGUGUGUGUGUGUGUGUGUAAUUUUACUCUAAGUGUAUUUUUAUAUUAAUAUAUGUAUAUAUUAAUAAAAAACCACUUAGUAUGACGUUAUAUAUAUAUAUAUAUAUAUAUAUAUAUAUGUAUACAAAAGAAAUAGUGAACCGGUGCACUCCAAACAAAAGAAAAAGUUUUUUCUACCUGGGGCUCUGGUAGCUUGAAUGUAGAAAAUGGUAGUGGACCGGCACUCAAGGAAUUUGAUCAAAAAUCUUUACUGUUCAAAGAAGAAUCAAUGUUUCAGCUCCUCUAGGGAGCUUUCAUCAGGACAUACAUAAUCACAAUAUAAAUGAAACACUUAUAUAAGGAAUAAAUAAAUACAUAAUUAAGGUACUUACAUACAGCUGAUGAUAAGGGGCUGCCCGUCGCCGUUUGCCGCCAUGAGUGUUGCAACCGAACUCACUUCCGGGUCGGUCACAUGACCGCUACUAGCUUACUGACACGACGCAAUGCGUAGGUGCUAAGCAACCAAGGACGCCAAUGUCCCAUUGGUUGUAGCUAAUCUCUACAGUGUCCAAGUGUGGACAAUUUUAAUCUAAGUCAUUAAGCCCAUUUGUAAACGUAAUUUUUCCAAAAAUAACGGCACAACACCCGCCGGCCUCUCGGGAACGAGCAGUCCCUGUGCAGGGAACAGCAUUGUACAUUUAUAUAUACACUAAUUAAGUGAAAAACAUAAACAACAUAAAAAAAUAUUUUUUAUGACAUUCUAAAUUUCAGAAAGAUCCCUAAAUCAGGGAUAAGAAGAGUCAUAUUAAAAUAUAAAACGAAAAUGUCGAAAAAAUCAAUUAAAGAUUGUGAAUUUAUCAUAUCUAAGACUCUAUAGGGAUGUAUGUAAAAUGAUGAUUAACACUGAAUAAGUAAGUAGUGUUUUCAAAUUGCAAAAGAAUAAAAUCUGUUAUGUUCAUUAUGAUAAUUAAUAUAGUGAUAACUUCUAUUGAAAGUGUAUCAGCAAUAGAAAUAGUUGUGACAUAAAAAAGCAUGCAAGUGCUAUUCAGUUUGUUAAACUAUUAUCUAGUAAGAAGUGUAUCGAAAUCAUCACAUGCAUGUCGUCCACUGCAUCAUCAUAAACUGUAUGUACCAACAUAUGAAAAAACUAUAUAUUAAAAAUAGGAGUAUCAAAUCUAAAAUAGAAACAACUCAAAACAUAAUACUCUAUCAUACAUUUAAGUGGACCCUGUUCUUGCCAAAAUUAGUCUACACCAAAAAAGCCAUAUUAUAUAAUCAGACUUCAUAAGCUCCCUCAGUAACCUAUCUCAUAGAAAUGUUAUGAAAGAGCAUUUCUCAUUAAGCCCCUUUGGGGACAACGUUCCCAAUUGGUGAAUCCAGUAGGCUUCCCUCUGUAGUAGUAAUUUGGCCCUAUCACCCCCACGUUUUGGCAUUAUGAUAUGUUCUAUUGCUAUACAUCUCAAUGAAGAAAGAUGGUGUUGCAACUCUAGAAAAUGUCUGGCCACAGGUUUGUCCGACUUGCCAUCACGAUAGGCAAGCCGGAUACUGGAUCUGUGGCCUCUGAUUCUCUCACAGAGUGCUGUCUCUGUUUUCCCCACGUAAUUUAAUCCACACGGACAAGUGAGUUUGUAAAUUACGUGAUCAGUACGACAAUGUAUCCGUUGACGGAUCUUGUACACUUGUCCUGUGUAGGGGUGUGUGAAGAUUUUAGAUGGAAUAAGAUGACCGCAUGUCACACACCCCAAACACCUUACACACCCGACAUUGAUAUUGUCCACUUUCGUCUUAUCGUAACAAUGUCGAGGAUCAGUCUUGACCAACAAGUCUCUUAGGUUCUUGUUUCUUCGGUAGCAGAACAUAGGUGUUUGUUGAAAAGUCUCUGGAAGUGUGGGAUCAAGUUCCAAUGUAUGCCAGUUUUUUUUGAUGGUUGCACUCAGUGCAGAGCUUGCAGUGUUCAAUUGUGUAAGAAACCUACAUCUGCUUGCUUUCAUUUUAGCUUCUAUCCGUGUCUUUGGUUCAGAUGCGGUCUUCGCUUUUGACAGGGCCUUAUCGAGAACCUUUCGGGGAUUACCCCUCACUUGAAAUUUCUCGUACAUCUGAAUAAGUUGAUGUUCACACUUUUCUCUCAGUGAGUUAUUUCUUAAAACUCUUAAAAACUGUGAGUAGGGCAAUGAGUGUUUCAGAUGUGUAGGAUGAAAACUGUCAAAGUGCAAUAGUGUGUUCCGAUCUGUCGGUUUGGAAAAUAAAGUAUAUUCCAAUCUUUGGUUAAUAACCAUAGUCUCAAUAUCAAGAAAUUGUAAAUUCGAUUCACUGAUGUUAGAAGUGAAUCUUACUGGAGAAGGUUAUUCAUUAAGGUUAUGCACAAAUUGGACAGCUUCAUGUUUUGUCCCGCCCCAUAAAAUUAGGACAUCAUCGAUAAACCUGAGGUAGCGGACAAUUUGAUGUGCAUAUGUCUGGAGGAUAUUUUUGGUUUCAUAUUCGUACAUAAAAGUGUUGGCAUACAUUGGAGCCAUCGCAGCUCCCAUUGAUGUGCCUGCUAUCUGUAGAAACCAAUCCUUUUCAAAGCGAAAGUAAUUGUUUUGAAGAGUGAUGCUCAAAAGUUCUAACACAAAUUCAAUGGUGGGUCCUUUGUAAUAUUGUGAGUGAGAAAGCAGAUGGCGCAUAGCUUGGAUGCCUUCAACGUGAGGAAUGAUAGUAUAGAGGCUACCAACAUCUAAAGUCAUCAGAAUGCCCUUAAAGGUGCCAACUUCUUUCAAUCUUUGGAGAAGAUCAGGGGUAUCUUUAAUACAAGUUUCUAAGGAAGUAACUGGAAUUUUAAACAGGUGAUCUAGAUACCUAGCUAGGGGUUCCAAAAUGCCUUGUGUAGUCGACACAAUUGGACGUCCAGGAGGGGACAGUCUAUCGAUGGUUAACAGGUGGACAUAAAUGAAGACCGAGGCGAUUCCGUAAAAGAAUUGUAAAACCUAAUGUAACAACCGUUGAUGUUACAUCUGGGGAAUCAGCCUCAGAAGGUGAAACUAAUCAAACUGGAAAUAAUAGAUCGUUUUUUUUAGAUCAAAUCAGGGACCAGGACAAGAUGUCACCCCCUUCCACCGUCACAAGGAGCAGAGGAAAACACAUAAAAGGAAUAACACCAGACGUGGACAGAAAGGAAAAUGCCACUGGUCUCAGAGGGAAACCACCAGUUCGCAGGUAAUUCCUGUAUUUAAUCUCUCAAAACGUGAAUUAACUGUUCCAGAAAUACAUCUGUUAAGCAAGGGCCUUUCCUUUAUACCCACUGCACUCCCCAAUCCAUUUCAAUGGGAGAUAGACCUCUAUAAAUUUGGCCGUACAAUCAGAUUAAAGGAAUUUUUAAAAAAUUCUAUGACCCCAAUUAGCGAGUCAUCUAACUCGAGUACCUCAUAUCAAUUCAAACCAUCUAGCACUUUUGACCCUCCUGCUACACAUGAUUCAAUUAAGACAUUUUUAUCUACAACUAAAUGGGAAUCUGAAACAGUUCUGAAACAACACCGACCAAAAUAUUCCAAUGUCACAAAGAUCCAACGUAACAUUAUUAAGAAUCUGUCCACUGACUCCUCGAUUGUUAUACGUCCGGCGGACAAAGGAGGUGGGAUAGUAAUUAAGGAAUAUGAAGCUUAUGCUAAGGAGAUUAGACAACAACUAAGUGAUACUAAGACCUAUCAUCGCUUAGAAAAUGAUCCUACAGAAGCAAUAGCAAGGAAGAUUGAGGACGUGUUAACAUCUGGAUUAUAUGCUGGACAUAUAGACCUUGAACUUUUCCAAUAUUUGAGGAAGGAACAACCACGGACACCUAUUUUAUACACCUUGCCGAAAAUUCAUAAAAAUCUGACAAAUCCUCCUGGACGUCCAAUUGUGUCGGCUACACAAGGCAUUUUGGAACCCCUAGCUAGGUAUCUAGAUCACCUGUUUAAAAUUCCAGUUACUUCCUUAGAAACUUGUAUUAAAGAUACCCCUGAUCUUCUCCAAAGAUUGAAAGAAGUUGGCACCUUUAAGGGCAUUCUGAUGACUUUAGAUGUUGGUAGCCUCUAUACUAUCAUUCCUCACGUUGAAGGCAUCCAAGCUAUGCGCCAUCUGCUUUCUCACUCACAAUAUUACAAAGGACCCGCCAUUGAAUUUGUGUUAGAACUUUUGAGCAUCACUCUUCAAAACAAUUACUCUCGCUUUGAAAAGGAUUGGUUUCUACAGAUAGCAGGCACAUCAAUGGGAGCUGCGAUGGCUCCAAUGUAUGCCAACACUUUUAUGUACGAAUAUGAAACCAAAAAUAUCCUCCAGACAUAUGCACAUCAAAUUGUCCGCUACUUCAGGUUUAUCGAUGAUGUCCUAAUUUUAUGGGGCGGGACAAAACAUGAAGCUGUCCAAUUUGUGCAUAACCUUAAUGAAUUACCUUCUCCAGUAAGAUUCACUUCUAACAUCAGUGAAUCGAAUUUACAAUUUCUUGAUAUUGAGAUUAUGGUUAUCAACCAAAGAUUGGAAUAUACUUUAUUUUCCAAACCGACAGAUCGGAACACACUAUUGCACUUUGACAGUUUUCAUCCUACACAUCUGAAACACUCAUUGCCCUACUCACAGUUUUUAAGAGUUUUAAGAAAUAACUCACUGAGAGAAAAGUGUGAACAUCAACUUAUUCAGAUGUACGAGAAAUUUCAAGUGAGGGGUAAUCCCCGAAAGGUUCUCGAUAAGGCCCUGUCAAAAGCGAAGACAGCAUCUGAACCAAAGACACGGAUAGAAGCUAAAAUGACAGCAAGCAGAUGUAGGUUUCUUACACAAUUGAACAAUGCAAGCUCUGAAUUGAGUGCAACCAUCAAAAAAAACUGGCAUACAUUGGAACUUGAUCCCACACUUCCAGAGACUUUUCAACAAACACCUAUGUUCUGCUACCGAAGAAACAAGAACCUAAGAGACUUGUUGGUCAAGACUGAUCCUCGACAUUGUUACGAUAAGACGAAAGUGGGCAAUAUCAAUUUCGGGUGUGUAAGGUGUUUGGGCUGUGUGACAUGCGGUCAUCUUAUUCCAUCUAAAAUCUUCACACACCCCUACACAGGACAAGUGUACAAGAUCCGUCAACGGAUACAUUGUCGUACUGAUCACGUAAUUUACAAACUCACUUGUCCGUGUGGAUUAAAUUACGUGGGGAAAACAGAGACAGCACUCUGUGAGAGAAUCAGAGGCCACAGAUCCAGUAUCCGGCUUGCCUAUCUUUCAUAACAUUUCUAUGAGAUAGGUUUCUGAGGGAGCUUAUGAAGUCUGAUUAUAUAAUAUGGCUUUUUUGGUGUAGACUAAUUUUGGCAAGAACAGGGUCCACUUAAAUGUAUGAUAGAGUAUUAUGUUUUGAGUUGUUUCUAUUUUAGAUUUGAUACUCCUAUUUUUAAUAUAUAGUUUUUUCAUAUGUUGGUACAUACAGUUUAUGAUGAUGCAGGGGACGACAUGCAUGUGAUGAUUUCGAUACACUUCUUACUAGAUAAUAGUUUAACAAACUGAAUAGCACUUCCAUGCUUUUUUAUGUCACAACUAUUUCUAUUGCUGAUACACUUUCAAUAGAUACUGCUAUUUUUAAUAUAUAGUUUUUUCAUAUGUUGGUACAUACAGUUUAUGAUGAUGCAGGGGACGACAUGCAUGUGAUGAUUUCGAUACACUUCUUACUAGAUAAUAGUUUAACAAACUGAAUAGCACUUGCAUGCUUUUUUAUGUCACAACUAUUUCUAUUGCUGAUACACUUUCAAUAGAAGUUAUCACUAUAUUAAUUAUCAUAAUGAACAUAACAGAUUUUAUUCUUUUGCAAUUUGAAAACACUACUUACUUAUUCAGUGUUAAUCACCAUUUUACAUACAUACCUAUAGAGUCUUAGAUAUGAUAAAUUCACAAUCUUUAAUUGAUUUUUUCGACAUUUUCGUUUUAUAUUUUAAUAUGACUCUUCUUAUCCCUGAUUUAGGGAUCUUUCUGAAAUUUAGAAUGUCAUAAAAAUAUUUUUUUAUGUUGUUUAUGUUUUUCACUUAAUUAGUGUAUAUAUAAAUGUGCAAUGCUGUUGCCUGCACAGCGGCUGCUCGUUCCCGAGAGGCCGGUGGGUGUUGUGCCGUCAUUUUUGGCGAAAAUUACGUUUACAAAUGGGCUUAAUGACUUAGAUUAAAAUUGUCCACACUUGGACACUGUAGAGAUUAGCUACAACCAAUGGGACGUUGGCGUCUUUGGUUGCUUAGCACCUACGCAUUGCGUCGUGUCAGUAAGCUAGUAGCGGUCAUGUGACCGACCCGGAAGUGAGUUCGGUUGCAACACUCAUGGCGGCAAACGGCGACGGGCAGCCCCUUAUCAUCAGCUGUAUGUAAGUACCUUAAUUAUGUAUUUAUUUAUUCCUUAUAUAAGUGUUUCAUUUAUAUUGUGAUUAUGUAUGUCCUGAUGAAAGCUCCCUAGAGGAGCUGAAAUGUCGAUUCUUCUUUGAACAGUAAAGAUUUUUGAUCAAAUUCCUUGAGUGCCGGUCCACUAUAUAUAUUGUGAUAAAGUGAAGGCAGAUAGGCCUUUUAGCCCCAGGGGAAGUACGUGUAGUUUGUGUGUUGCACAACACAAAGCAUUGUUUAGUUAUGGGCCCCUGGGGUGGAGCAUUUGGAGAGAAGGGUGGGCCAAUGCUCCACUCCACAGUUUAGUGGUUUUCUGGGGAGACAUAGAUCCAGGCCAGGGUUUUUUGGACCGUCUCCAACCCACUGCUCAGCUGCAGUUAAUGAGCUAUUGCAGUGGGAAUAAACCCCUCCCGGCUAGGCAGGAAAAGGAGAGGGAUUGCUGGCUUCCUCCCAGGAAGCAGGUAGGAGAGAGGCUGUUCUCUCCAGAUAGAGAGUCAAGGAGACUAGGCACUGGGAGUGCAGAAAGGAAGCAGUCAAGGCUGGCUUGGAGCACUGGGAGUGCAGGAGGAAGCAGUUAAGGCUGGCUUGGAGCACUGGGAGUGCAGAAAGGAAAGCAGUCAGGGCAAGGCUGGCUUGGAGCACUGGGAGUGGAGAAAGAAAAGCAUCAGGCUAGCUAGCAGAGUGUUGCUAUCUAAUGAGGUUGGUGCAGUAUGUUUUGUUAGUUUAACCCUGAUAGAGAGGGUUAUUCAAAGUGAGUUAGUGCUCAGACGAGCUAAGUUUUUGUUUAUAGGGUUUUGCGUUACAUUUAUGUUUUCAUUUACUGCUGUAUCCUGUGUGGAUUUACAAAUAAAGUGCCUGGAAUGAAGUUGCAUUAAAAGACUGUGCAUGUUUUUGCCCUAGAGGACCGUGCUACCUGCAAACAAAGAUCACAAUAUAUAUAUAAAUCCUUGUUUGAAGUGCACUCACAGGACUCAGAAUUAUUUCAAAUCGUGCUGUUUAUUCAAAGCAUCAAAUUUCCAGUAAAUAGUGUCAACGUUUCAGUCCUCCAGGGACUUUUCUCAAGACGUCUUGAGAAAAGUCCCUGGAGGACUGAAACUUUGACACUAGUUACUGCACUUUCAAAGGCCUCAAGGAAGAAUUUCAAGACAUAUAAAAGGCAAUUAAUAUGUUUGAGUCACAAGAUUCAAACUUUGAGAGAAGUAUAUUUGAAAAAUGGUUAUGCCUGCUAUAAGGAAAUUUACAACAAAAAGAAAAUAAUGUGUUGGAAGCAAACCACUAUAACAGCACUAAGGUGCUGUCGCUAGUUCUGUCUCAAACGAGCCAGAAACAAGUGAGGUGCAGGCUUCACCAAGAACCAGACAACUGAGGGUGGACUGGGCAGUGGCCCAUUCAUCAAGUGCAACAUGUCUCUUCAUUGACAACGAUGAUGUUUGAGGAUGAUUUGAUGAAGAAUUCAGAUACUUUGGAAUUUAUUUAUAUCUCUGAUUUAUAAACCUAGGUUUGUUCUAAACUUUCAAAACAGGCCCCAGACACAUCUUUCAAAAAUAUGUCCAGACUUGUCAUACCAUUUAGUCAUACCCUCCUCUAAAUGAAAUUCAAAAUAAAUAAAUAGAAAUCCUAUAAUAACAUGUAGUAGCUCUUCUAACCAUAUGGUGGCACAUAUAUGUCCUAAGAAUAAUAUUUAUAUAUAUUUUAGUUAAAAUGGACACUAAUACACAGUAAAGUCCAUCGGUCAUGUCUAUAACACACCAUGGGCGUUGUUUCAUUAAAAUGGACGCCAAUAUGUAAAAAAUCUCAAUGUCAUAAUGUGUAGCUUUGUUUAAUAAAAAUGGGCAGGGCACCUGUCAAGUUGAAUUACUUGUACCGUUUCACAUUACUGGUUUGAUAUGUUAUUGUUCACAUUUUCAUUGAAAUAUUAGGCCUUUGCCAUUUGUAAACAUAGAAACAUAGAAUGUGACAGCAGAUAAGAACCAUUCGGACCUUCUAGUCUGCCCAAUUUUCGAAAUACUGUCAUUCGUCCCUGUUCUUAUAGUUAGGAUAGCCUUAUGCCUAUCACAUGCAUGCUUAAAAUCCUUUACUGUGUUAACCCCUACCAUUUCAGCUGGAAGGCUAUUCCAUGAAUCCACUAGCCUCUCAGUAAAGUAAUACUUCCUGAUAUUAUUUUUAAACUUUGCCCCUCUAAUUUAAGACUAUGUCUUCUUGUUGUGAAAGUUUUUCUUCUUUUAAAAAUAGUCUAUAAUAUAGUGUAUUUAAAUCUUUCUAUCAUAUCCCCCCCUGUCAUGUCUUUUAUCUGAACUAUACAUGUUAAGUUCUUUUAACCUUUCCUUGUAAGUUUUAUCCUGCAAUCCAUGAACCAGUUUAGUAGCCCUUCUCUGAACUCUUUUUAAAGUAUCAAUGUCAUUCUGGAAACAAGAGCUUGGACUGAAAAAAAAAUCAUUUGCAAAUUUUAAAUCUGGGAUUAGACUUUAUGACGGACCGCCUGGCACCCCGACUGGGUACCUCCAUCAAGCUCGCUUACUAGCUCUCCAACAGGACACAGGAGUCCUUCAAUCCCUAGCCGCCACAGCUUGACUGGGGUCUUCCCGUUGCGCUCUGCCCUUGAACAGGGUGCUGGGUACAGCUUCAAGUGAUUAAGCUCUCCUUCAAGUGAUUAAGCUGAUCCACCAAAACAGACUGAAUGAAGGGUUAAAAGGAACUGGUUUAUUAUGGCCAAGUGGCCUGCUUAUAUACACAGCCCCCAGCAGAGGGUCUCCACACAAUACAAUGCAAACCCCUCACAAAGAGCUAUGUGCCUGCGAGAUAAUUAAGUGUAAGCUAAUAAUCUCAGAGGAACACAAAAACAUAAUACUCUAAAACAUCAUAAAAACAUACAGUAACCACACAUGGAUUGACUGGGGUCCUCCUGGAGCCGCUUCAUCCUGAAGCAGGAUAGGGGACUAGCUCUAUUACCUCCCAGGGACUGGAUGACAUACAGUCCUGGAAGAUGUAGUCCUUACAAGGAUUUUCCCCGCUGAAUCCUCUAUGAGCUGGAACAAGAUGCUGAGCAGUGAUUAUCCCUUUCCCCUCCCAGUACAACUGAUUUUAUUGAGCCAAACUCAUCCUUUUAUGCACAGACUUCAGCAGGAUUCAGCACAAUUAAUUUUCCAUUGUACUCAACACAAGCCCCUCCCAGGAAUCUCUUGGUGUGGGAGAUAAUUGCGUUAAAAACCAGUAAGCUAACACAAAAUAUAAAAACAUAAAAGUAACCCAAAACAUAAUAAAAACAUAGAAUACCCCACAUAUUAUACAUCCCCAAAGAGCCCUGAUCUGAGCACCCAAGUUCUCCAAAUAGCACUCAGAUCCAUGCAGUGUACGCCACCAUGUUAAAGUUCUGGCCAGCAGCACACAUGGUCCUAAGCCCACGAUAGUUCCAGGGCUUUUGGUGCUUUUGCCAGUCAAUUUUCGGGAGCUCCUGCUGCCAAAAUACGGGGUGCUCCUCUCAGGUUGUGUUUGUUCCCCUUCCCUCCAAAAAGCGCUCUCCUGGUGGAUUUCAAAGUGGUUCAAAACCCCGGACUCCAUGCCGAAAACAAUUCCAUAACAUUUGUGGCUAAGUCCCGCUGAGGUGACUGGGGACCCACAAAGUCCUCAUGUCGAAAUUAGUUUUAUAGCGGUCGAGGCUAAGUACUGCUGAGGACCAUUUGUGGGUUUGGUUCAUGCAAAAGGCCACCAGGGAGCUAGUGUUCAGUUCCAUUCACAUGAAGGAAAAGUGCCGAACCAGGCGCACCCAGGGAAAGCUAAUAAUGGUGUCUCAGACCUGGACUAUAGUCGGUGGGCAGGAAACCGGCUUCCGUCCUCCUCCAGGAGUCUGUGGCAAAUGUUCGUGGGAAGGAGCGUUUGUCACAUAUGGGAACAUAGGACAACAUAUCAAACACAUUAUAUAUCAAAAAAUAUACUGGAAUUUCCUCUUUUAUAGACAAUCAUCUUAUAUUUGUAUACUUAUACUUGUAUACUUUAGUGCUUGGUCACUGGAGUUUCAUCCUUAGCUAGAUAAAGAUAUAUACCCUAACAAACAUUUAAUCUGUAUUUAAGGUUUAUUUCUAAAAACGUUGCAAUAACUGCUUUAAUGUAUACUUCAAUAAGGGACAAUAGACCUGGCAGUAAUUAGAUACUGUUUGUUUUGUAGAUUGGCAGAAACGUAAAGCGGCACUCCCAUGCUGACCUUACUUUUCUUCUAUUAAUUCCUCUUCUCUUCCUCUCUCAGGAUCUGUUCUUCAUUUCUUCCUAACUGAUCUAGUUUUUUUUUUAAACAUAAGACAAAGUAGGGACUCUCCUAGUCUGGAAGGGCCUAAUUUAAAAAAGCAGUUGCUUCGUCCAUCGAUGCAGUAGAGAGGUUUCCGUUUGCUAUGGUGAGACGGAGAGUGGCAGGGUAGAGAAGGGCAAACCGUAUAACCCUUCUUGUGUAGUGCCGGGCAAAUUGGAGUGAAGUUGAGUAACCUGUGCAGAAUAAUCCUUAAAAAUUAAGAUUUUGUUGUCUUGAUAAAUUGGAUGGGAUAUUUGUUUGAAAGCUGCUAGAAUUCUUACUGUCAUAAAAAUUCAGAAACUUUGCUACGAUGGGCCGUUUUGAGAACUUAUCCAAUCGUUCUGGGCCAAGUCUAAGUGCCCUUUCGAUGAUAAUUGAGGAGGAGGAGGUAGUGGCAAUUUGGAGUGUGUCCAGCAACCAGGAUUGAAGUGAUGUCACUUGGUUUUAAGGUUUCCGGAAACCCCACAAAUCGGCGAUUGUUUCUUCUACGAUUUUAAAGAUCAUUCAAUUUAUCUUGUAAUAAUGUUUAGGUGGCUUGUUGCUGGUGUAUCGUGGAUUUUUGUUGGUGCAAUUCAUCCUCAGUUGUGCUCUAUCGAGUCUCCAAUAAGGUGAGUUGAGAUGAAUGAGUUUGCAACAAAUAAACUGCACUGUCUAUACACUCUUUGAGAUCUUUGAAUUGAGAUUCAAAAAUUAGUUUAAGAAGAUUGGAGACUUCUCGAGGUGGUUCUGAGGGUUGCUUAGAGAUGAGAGUAGAGGUAGGCAGGAGCUGGGAGGAAUGGGCCUCAGUAUCUGAAUCUCGUGGUGAUAUGGCUGGAGUAGAUCACAGAGUUGGUUCUAUAAAAUUUUUGUUUCUUGGCAGGUCUUUGUGGCUUACCUUGGGGUCUUUUGGAGGGAGUUUUAUGCAUGAAUUUAUCUAUUGCAGUGGAGUAAAAGAAAGAGAGGGGAAGAGAAGGUAAGACAAAAGGCAGGGAGAAAGAGUGGGCAGCGUUUAAAGCGAGUAUGGUAGAGUAUUGCUGUGAAAAGUCAAUCAAUAAGCUGAAAUGUAAUGAAUUGGUGAAACGGUCGUGAAGGGGAGUAUUGUGGUAAGGAAGCCCUAGGUAAGAUAAAGUGUGCCGUUCUCGUCUAGUUUGAAAGCCUAAGUUAAGAGACGUCAGUCCAAGUAAUUGCUACCCAGGGGAGUUGGGGCGUAGCAGGCACAGAGGAAGCACUUAUACUAGUGUGGAAGUAGGUUACUAUUAAAAAUUUAGGAAAGAAAUAGAGCAAGAGCUAGAACCUAAAAAGAGGUUAUUUGGAGUCUUUGGUGAGGGCAGAGGAAAAAGAAAGAAAGAGAGAAGAAGAAAUGAAAACAUACACAACAACACAACACAAGUAAAUAUAUACAAGUAACCUGACGGGUACAACAUGUGGCAGGAACAUAUAUGGCAAAUAACACAUCUAUAAACUGUAUUGGAGUAGGAUGUGAGGCAGUUUGAGCUUGUAGCAAGUGAGGCAGAUUGAGCUGGUAAGAUGUGAGGUUGCAGAAGUUGGUAAGGAGUGAGGCAGCAGGAGCUGGCAGGAGAGAAGACAGCCAGAGAUAGAACUUGGGGCAGUCUGAGGUGGUAGGAUGCGAGAAAAUCAAAGCCAGUAGGAUGUAAAGCAGCCCAAGCUGGUAGGAUGUGAAUCGGUUUGAGCCAGUAGGGAGUGAUUUAGCCCAAGCUUGCAGCUAGUAGGGAGUGAGGCAGCCCAUCCCUCACAGUGUGCCAGGUCAAGCUGCCUCACACACUGCCUCACACUGGCAGGAUAAGGGGCAGCCAGAGCCUUAGCUGGCAGAAUAAGGGGCAGCCAGAGCCUUAGAUGGCAGGAUAAGGGGCAGCCAGAGAUGGUAGGAUAGGAGGUAGUCUGAGCUGGUGGGGUAGGAGCCAGCCUUAGCUGGCAGGAUAAGGGGCAACCAGAGCAGGCAGGAUAGGAGGUAGUCUGUGGUGAUGGGAUAGGAGCCAGCCUGAGAUAGAGGCAGCCAGAGCUGGCAGUCUGAGUUGGUAGGAUAGGAGGCAACUGGAGCUGUCAGGAAGGUAGGCAGCCUGGGCUGGCAGCUGUCCGGUGGGGGAACAGGCUGAGUCAAAUUUGCAGAUAUAUAUGCCAAAACAGCGUCAGAUGCGGCCGGGUUGAGAUUCCGAGUGGGGGAACGAAAAGAAAUGCGCACAGAGAAGAUUCUUUACUUUUAUGGGGAGAAUAUGAACAUAUUUUAACUAAGACAUUCCAGAAAAAGGUUGAUGUGAAUGGAUUUCUACAUGCUUCCAGCAGUCACCAUCCAACUUGGGUUUCAAAUAUACCGAUGGGGCAAUUCACUCGAUUACAUCAAAAUUGCUCCCGACUUAAAGUCUUCCAGGAAGAGACCCUUAAUCUAAGCAUAACUUUUCCUAGAGAAAGGGUAUCCUUCCAAAUCUAUUCUAUUAGCGUAUCAUAGAACCAGGAAUACUGAGAGAACAUCAAUACUACUAUGUAUAACUAUGUAAAACUAUGAGAGAUUGAAGGAAACAUCAUGGUAUCCCACACAAAUCAUAUUUCAGAGACUUAUCUAAAGAUCUUAAAUCUACUCGAGGACGAUGAAGAUAAGACAAAAAGACCUAGAUCAAAAUAUAACAAAUAUAACAUGCAUUAUCCAAAGGACCCAUCUUUACUACUACAUUCAACAAUGCAUAUGACGAGAUUAUUGGAAUUAUACACAAGCAUCAGUCCAUCCUUAAGCUAGAUCCGUGGCUCCGGUUUAGUAUUCCAGAAAAAUCUAGAGUCACCUUCAGAUGGAACAAAAAUCUCAAAAAUAUUUUGGCUCCAUCUAAAUAUAAAAUCAGUGAGGCAAAUAAGGAGGAUACACAAUUUUCCUCAGGCAAUUUCCAUUGUGGCAGAACAAGAUGCCUAACAUGUAAAUAUAUCUGCCACAAAGCACACAAAUUUAGACCUACAGUAGGAGAGGAGCUAUAUCACAUCAAAAAUAGGAUUAGCUGCAAUACAACUUGUGGUGUAAAUGUGGCCUUUAUUAUGUGGGGCAAACCACAAGAUCCCUCAAAAUGAGAGAGAACCAAUUGGCGAUACUACACAAUGAAAAGAAAUUGUCUGUGGCACGUCAUUUCUAUUCCACACAUAAUAGCAAUCCUUCAGAUCUUUCAGUAAUGGAGAUAGAAUUGAAAAUGGGGGAUUUUGCCUAACGGAAAAGAACCCUUAUAGCUGCUGAAUCAAAAAUGGAUCUUCAAAUAAAAUACCUUGAAUCCACAUGGCCUCAAUGAAGAGUUCUUGUUUACAGUACACUGGAGGUGUGCUUUUGAAUUCUAAUUAAUGGGGAUUAAAAUACACUUUUGUAUAGAUACAUAACAUUCUACAUUGUUUUGGCCACUGCUUCUCCCUUGUUAGAUCUGGGCUGUAGUUGUUUUUUUCUCAUGGCAUUCCAACCACAGAUGUCCUGGGGGAUCCAGAGUUUUGGUCUCGUAACAUUAAGUCCUUAUAGAGCUUAUUGUAGUUCACAUGUUUUUUUUUAUUUAUUAAAGAAUUAUGUAUUAUACUGAUUAUAUUGAUUGUUUAUCAGUCUUUAUUAUAGGAGCACUCACACCAAACUAAAAGACUUUCAGCUAACAUUUACUUUGGUUGAGUUGCUAGAGGAAAAGGAGAAAAGGCCCCUUUACAGACCUAAAGAAGAAAAGUGAAUACUGCCCACAUUUAAGGAACCUUAAGUACAUAGAGUCCUUUGUGGAACUAGUUUGUAAGGGAAUAGACACAAUUCUCAACUCAGGUCACACUCUAAAAACACACUCUAAAACAUUAAAAGAUCUACAACAGAAAGAUGGAAUAACUAUUAAACCCUCUGACAAGCGGGGGAAUAUAGUAGUUCUAAAUACAAAACAAUACUUGGAGAUUACCAAAAAUAUUCUGACAGACGACACUAUGUAUAAAAUCUUAAAAUCUGAUCCAACAACAAAUUUCUUGGGCAAAUUGAAAGAGAUUGUACAGACAGGUCUUGGAGAUAAAUUAAUCUCCAAAGAGGUAUAUGACUUUAUGCUAAAUAUCCACCCACGUAGAACAAUUUUCUGCAGUUUGCCCAAUAUACAUAGGAAACAUCCAGUAUUAUCUGGAAGACCAAUAGUGUUAGGGAACGGUAAUCUGACCCAAAAUGUUAGCAUGUACAUAGAUCGUAUUUAUAGCCCUUAAGGACCAAACUUCCGGAAUAAAAGGCAAUCAUGACAUGUCACACAUGUCAGGUGUCCUUAAGGGGUUAAACCCUUGGUGGGCAGACUGCCGUCUUACCUGAGGGAUACCAAACAAACCCUAUCAGAAUUAUCAUCUAAGGAAAUGCCUCUGGGCUCCCUACCGUGUAGCCUUGAUGUGGAUUUAGAUCACAUCAAAUAUUUUCUAUCAAAAAGAGGACCACAUUUGGAUAAACAUCAUCAACUCACUAUAGACCUUCUAAGUUUUAUACUCAUGAUAUUACCACCAAGUGCAGGGGAAUGCUAUGGGGACAGCUUGUGCACCCUCUUAUGCCAACCCGCACCUGGGUUGGUGGUAAGAAAAAGUUUUUUUUUCAUAUAUGUACAGCAACUGUCCUCUAUGUUGGAUGACUGUACAAUGCAUUAACAGGAGUGGAUACUGCAGUGGACCUCUGCUAAUUCCUUCUGGAACCAUUAAUACAAGCAGACAUCCAUUCCCCCAGUAACCAGAUGAAACUGUUCUGGGAGUCAACUGAUUAAUUUCAGACCGCACACAGCUUUUAUCCACAAACCCUUACAUGGGGUCUCCAACACAAUAAUGCAGGGUUUUCAUUUCCAGGAUCAUUUGUGCCUGAGAGAUAAUUGCGUGAGAAAAACAUAUAAGUCAAUUAUCUCUCAGGUACAAAAAAUCUAUACAAAAUAUACAGUACCCCAAAAGUGCCUCCACCAUAACUAGGAACCCCACAAAAGUUAUAUCUCUGGAUAGUCCGAAUCUAAGUGUAUAACAUAUCACUCAGAUCAGUUCAGUGAAGGCCUUUGAGGUAAAGUAUUGACAGACUGGACACAAGGCGCUAGCCCAAAACAGUUCCAGGGUAAUAGGUGCCCCGGCCGGUCUCUGUUCUAGGGUUUCUGUGCGAACACCAUGCAAGGGAUUGUCUUAAUUUCAUGGUACAAAUGCUCCCGCUGUUCGGUAGUUCCCAUCUCCCAAACAUCGUUCGCAUAGUUGGUCGGGUAGUGUCUAGCCGAAAAGAGUUCCAGGCACUAGACGACCAAGUGCCACUGCCCACGUUCAGGAGAUAAAAUGGCCAUUCUAUUGUUGACCACGUGCAUUUGGUUAUACGAAAUGGCGGCUACCCAGGGGAAGCAUUUAUUAAUUACUUCCUUUGCGGUUUUGCACUUAAGUUGCUGGUGUGAACAUUCUAAUGGGGUACACGAGGUUCGUAUACAAUAACUCUCAAACGGAAAAAGGCAAAACAGACGAAAUGGGACAAUGCAGCCGAAAUUGGCAGUAGGUUCUGCCACACCGCUCACCCUUAACUCACGGAUCGGCUUGAGGAUGUUCGGGGGUUACGCACAAAUCACUUCUCCAGUUCUGUUUGUUGUGAUAACCCAUCUGCGUUUCUGUUUUGUUUACCAGGUCCCUAAUGAAUUGUGAAGUCACAUGGUUGUAAUGCCAGGCUCCAACAUAAUAGCCUGGCGUUGUCUCCAGCGACCCGGUUAAGCCAUACCAACGGGUUGUGAUUCGUGAGCAGCGUAAAUUGUUGGUUGAAGAUUUUUAAGGGCCUACACCACCGCCAGACACUCCUUCUUGAUGGCGGCAUAGCUCACUUCCCUGGAUAGUAGCUUUCUGCUGAGGUAAGCUACAGAGUGUUUUCCACCAUCGUUCCCGACAUGGCUCAGCACUGCUCUCAAUCCAAACAUGGAGGCAUCUGUGUGGAUGAGAAAGCGUUUAUUUGGAUUAGGUGCGGCCAGGAUGAGUGCAUUCACCAGGGCUCUCUUAAGUUCCUGGAAAGCUUGCUCGCACUCCGGGGUAAAUUUUUGCUGGUCAGGUCAGUGAUGGGCUUAGCUAUGGUGCUAUAGUUUGAAUCAAACAGGCCAAUUAGCUACCGCCUCAAUUUUGGCUGGCUCGGGUGUUUCCCACACCCUACUCAGUGGCCCAUACCUGUGUGGCAUACCUACGUGGCACUUGCUGGGCUUUAAGGAUGACCCUGUGUUGCCGAACAGCUGCCGGUUUUCCUUUUAUUUUUCAUGUAUUUUCCCCUACAUUUUCAUGUGUUGAGCCCGCUCCCCAUUGAAGAGUGCUUCCGCAAAGGGAAUUCAUUCGCCUCCCGAAGAUAAGUGUCAAACCACACGGGAAACAAUUAAUGAGUGCUUCUAUGGGGGGCUGCCAUUUGUACAGGCGAAUGCCCACCAGUGGGAGCAUUCGUGGAUUGUUUCUAGACUCGUUCGUCUCAUGAAAAAGGACCUCCCCGAUGCCCCUUUAGAAUGUUCACACCAGUAACUCAGAACGUUAACACUCGCAACAUAGGUGUGAAAACGCAAGGGAUGUAAUUAAUGAGUGCUCCCCUGGGUGGCCGCCAUUUCGUAUAGACUAACGUAUAGAGACGCUUCCCUUGCAGGGUUUUACACAGGGACCUCGCGAGCGGACACUGGUCGAGGAAGGUACCACUGUGAGGGUUCCUGAGGUUGGUGUGGACACUUCUGGGGCACGGGCUAGGUUGGCGGUUUUAGUGUCAAUGGGGACAAAGAGACCAGCUCUUUUCCAGCGGGCGGGCUUUUCCGUGCCUGGGAGACAAAGGAAUGGUCCCUUUCCCCAUGCCUGGACUCCCAGGCAUAGAGGCCUCUGGAAAGAAGACACCUAGUGGUUGGUUUGAGGAUUUAGUGGCGGGCUUUGGGGACAAAGGGAACCUGGGUUGUGACCCUGUAAUGAUGUGUGGUAGACCCCUUGCAUGGGGAUAUGCAUAAAAGCCAUGUGUGGCCAAAAAAAUUGUGUAGUACCUCCAGGACUGUGUGUCAUUCACUGGGUCUCUUUAUAUUAUAAGUGGUUCCUGAGCAGCUGACGGAAGUUAUAAAUGGAGGUAAUGGGUCGGGUAACCUGUGGUCCGCUACACCCUGCCUUUCUGAUCUUAUCCAAUACUGCUACCUACAUGUACCAGAUGCUCCUCCCAAGUGUCACUGAAUACGGCGAUAUCAUCCAGGAAUGCGCAAGCAUAAUCCUGGAGGCCAUCUAAUAGCUGGUCCACCAUCCUUUGGAAAGUGUCCAGGGCAUUCUUCAUUUCGAAUGGCAUUACCUUAAAUUGGUAUAGGUCAAAUGAAGUGACCAAUGCCGACUUAGGAAUAGUAUCAGCCGCUAAUGGAAUCUACCAGUACCCCUUACUUAAAUCUAUAGUAAUAAGCAGCCCCACUGGGCCAAUGUCCCGUGGGCCGUGAUGGCCACGGGCCAAGACCGGUAGGGGAGGGCACAGGAUCUCCCAUACGGUCCAUGCAGGGCCCGCGCUAUCCGAGUGCAGGCUCUGCUGCAUUCCAUGACGGGCUGGUGGGGAGAUCAAAGAUUGCAGCUCCUCUGGGUUCCUCUUGCGAGCACACACACUGCACUGUACCCUUACACACACUGCACCUGCACACAACCAAAGGACCCUUAGACACACACACAACACCAUCACACACAGCACCUUCACACACACGCAUCACCCUCACUGCACCCCUUUCUCACACACAGCACGCCCCACCCUCACACAGAGCAACCUUCACACGCACUGUGACACCUCACACACUAACUGCACCCCUCAUACACACACACACACAAACUGCCCCCUCACACACAUUGCACCCCUCUCACACAUACACUACACCCCUCUCACACACACACUACACCCUUUACACACAAUGUACCCCUCACACAUACACAUAGCAUCCCCCCUCACACACACACACUACUUCCAAACAAAUAUGUAUAUAUACUACAGAACCCCUCACACACUCACUGCACCCUCACACACAUAUUGCACCCUUAAACACAUUACAUUCCAGACACACACUAGAUCACUUACCCAACUCUGGAUCAUCUACACACUAGAUCUUCUAUACACACUCUGGGUCCUUCAAACACACACUAGAUCCCCUACACAGCACCACCUAAACACACACACUAAAUUCCUGACAUACACACUCUAGAUCCCCUAUGCACACACUAGAUUCCUUGUAAGCAAACACAUACUACAUUUCCUAAACACACACUCUCUAUAACCCCUACACACACUACAUCACCUGAACACACACACUACAGCUUGUUUGAAUACACUCGCUACAUCCCUAUACACACUAUGUCCCCUAUAUACACACUCUCUACAGCACGACUGAAACCAACCUUUUUACACAAUACCACACCACAAUCAGUUCACUCUAUACACAUGCAAUCCCACAAGUAGGCUCCAAACAUGUGCACAUUACUCUUUCCUGGCAUUUUUGUCUCUUGUUAUACCAUUUGUAACAGAGCUUCCUGUACCCCGGUUGGGUACCUCCGCCGACGGAUGCUCCUAGUGCUCACCAAGGACCGUCAGCAAAGCACCAGACACCACAAGCACUGCAGACUCCACAACCGCCGUAGCUUAACUGGAAUCUCACUGUCUUCCUCCUACCCUGGAUCAACCGCUGACAUCCAGGACCAUGUGGGAAAGACCUCUCCUCCAGGAGAGCGUAUCAGGAACAGCUCUUACAAGAGCUAGUGAUUAUCCAAAGGGAAAAUACUGAAUAUAGCAAUCCCUGGUAAUGAUAUAGCGGUUCCCUACAAUAAGAGACAGAACUCCGUAUUGAGGGUGAAGAAGUCUGAAGGUUUAAUGGUACAGGUUGGUUUUAUAUACAAUUCCUCAUGCUAUAGGCACACCCCCUGGACCUGAUGGAGGACAGUGACACAAGAGACGUAAACCAAUGAAAACAGUAAUUAACAGUAUGACACUCCCACAUACAGUAAACAAUCCCUCCCCUCUGCCUGUGAUAUAAUUAGGGUAGUUAAUGCAUUAACUUAAUUAUCCACAGGCAGAAAAAACACACAUUUUUAAAGGUCCCAUAAGUACCCCAAAACACAACAUAUCCCCAUCUUACAUCCCCUGAUAGCCCUGAUCUGGGUGAACAACAUAUCCAAAAAUUCCCCCAUAUCAGAGCAGGGGUUUAAGAAAUUCAUGGAAGUCUCUUUUGACUGACCGCAUGCACGGUUUCAUGCCCAAAACAGUUCCAGAGAAUUAGGCUGUGCAGCCAGUCUAUUUAAAAUAGUACCGUUCGACUAAAUAAAAUGGCCGCCGCCACGUGUUCGACAAUCCGAAUGGCAGGGGGUUUAGAUGAACAAACAGACAAACUAGAAAGUGAAUGGAAGGGGUUUUAGGUGAAAAAACUGAUGAACUAGAAAGUGAAUAGAAGGGGUUUUAGGUGAAUAAAUAGACGAACCAACAAGGGAAUGAAAGCGGUUUUAGGUGAACAAAUAGACAAACCAGCAAGGUUUUUAGAUGAACAAGGAAGGGGUUUUUAGGUGAACAACCAGACGAACUAGCAAGUGAAUGAAAGGGGUUUUAGGUGAACAAACAGAUGAAGCAGAUGGUAGCUUCAUAACCCACGGGAAGAGGAUCUGUCCCACCAUUUAUGGAGACACCAGAGACAAGUUUCAAGCAAACACAGCACAAGCAUGUUAUUAAAUUUGCUUGUGCUGUGCAGAACAAUUACAGGGUCCUGUCAGUGGGCUGCUGUGAUUAAAAAAUGCCCAGGACGAAUUUUUUUUUCCAGUCUGGCCCCGGUAGUAUGGUACUGACUGCAAGCCAUCCUAUCCACGAGGCAUAGGGUAGGCAUCUGAGACUGUCUUGUCAUUGAGCCUCCUGUAGUCCACGCAAAACCUGGUGGUCCCGUCACAUUUUGGAACUAGAACUACUGGCGAAGCCCAAGGACUCUUAGAUGGCUUGAUUACCCCCAGUUGGAGCAUCUCUUGGAUCUCGUCUUAUAUUCUCCCUAACCGCCUCUGGUAUUCUAUAUGGGGUUUGUUACAGAGGUUGUUGGUCAUGAAUCUCUACUCUAUGGGUGGUUAGUGGGGUAAACCCUGGUAAAUUAGAGAAUGAAUAACUCUUUGCAGACAGCUUGCCUGCGUUCUUCCCCGGUUAGUCGUUCCCCUGAUUGGACCUCAUCUAUGGAUCCUGCCUAAACUCCAUCCUCUAGGAGAUCAGACAGGGGAAGAUUAUCAAAAUCUUCUGAUGCUGGACCACAGAUAGCGGCUACAUCAUCCGCCUGCUCGUGGUAGAGCUUUAGCAUGUUAACAUGUAACAUGCGUCAGUCUCCUUCCCCAGAGCAUGGACCGAUAACAUCAGUUGUGUCUCAUUUUUGCUCCACUACCUGAUAUGGGCCCUGCUAAGCAGACUGUAGCCUGUAAAAACAUGAUGGUCCAUAUGAGCUUCCAGAGCCAGCAAACCCAGACAGUGAAUAAGAGGAGAGAUUAAUGGAUGUACUAACACAAAUUGUAAAUAACAAAAAGUAUAGAACAAAGAAAAUUAAAAGUUUGGUCACACAAGCUGUUGUAGCCACAAUAGGAGGCCCAUUAGACAUAGUUGUAGAAUUACAGCAGCAUAAUUUGGAAACAACAAAUAAAAUGGAGGAAGCAAUGGACAAAAUGGAGUGUUUAAAAAUUGCAGCUUUGAGAACAACUACAAUUGUUGGGGAACUAGAAAAUGAGUUAAGAGAAAUAGAAGAGCAGAGGGAUGCUUAUGGCGUAAAAAUAGCAGAACUUCAAAACAUAAUAAUGGACUAUAAAAAUAAAACAAAGUUAGAAGGGAUAAAAGAAGUUAGAGACAUUGCCAAAAUAUUUCCAGAUCUGGAUAUGUUCAUGGCACAAAAUAAAGAACCAGUGCCGAAAUUGAACCAAAAUAGAAAAGAGUUCUUAUGUUAUUCUGUUCCACAAGUUUAUACUGUGACGAAGUGCCCUUCGCCACUUGGUACUGGAGAGGCCUGCUUGCCAGCCUCCUCCCCUGUGACUAUGACUCUUUGAUGUAUUUGGCUUUAAAGCCCCUAGUCUACCUUCAGACAGACUAUUUAUGUAUGCUGCUUUAUUUCUCUUAUGUUUUAGUCACCCUGUACCCAUUAUAGGUGCAGGGUGUGUGUAAUGUAAUUGUUUACAGUGUGUGUGUAUGUACUGUGUAAUGUAUUGCCUGCUCUCUUGUAUUGCUGUGGUUUGCUACCAACUAGGUGGGUUUGGCUAUGGAGCUGGUCUAGUGCCCUCUGUUGGUAGCAACAGCAAUAUGCACUACCUGAAUUGCAAGACUGGUUCAUUUGCAUAUUCGGGUAGAUUUGCAUAUUGCUAAUUCUGCAGGCAGGUGAGAUAUUUAAUGUUAAAUAUUGUCUCCCCCCACCCCUUUAAAAAUGUACCAUUGUGUUGUGAAAAGUCACUGUGUGUUGCUUGAUGUGUUUUGACUGUUUGUGAUUUUAUUGAGGUUUCACAACAAUGUUAUUGUGGUGACUGUAUUGGCUGGUCCCAAGGGAAUAAAGGUUUUGACAGUUCUUCUUGAUCCUUCUAAACGUAGCCUUGUCUCGUUAUUGGAGGGAGCUGUUAUAAUCACACUGGGGAUUGCUAUGCUCUGCAUGCUCCCUGAGCUUGAGUCACUUUGCUCUUUUAAGAGCUUGUUCCUGACACGCUCUCCUUGGAGGAGGGGUCUUCACCACACAGUCCUGGAUGCUGGAGGUUCAUACAGGGUGGAAGGAAGAGUUCUUUCCCACACAGUCCUGGAGGACAGAAGCUGAUCCAGGGUGGAAGGAAGACGGCGAGACUCCAGUCCAGAUACGGCGGUUGCGGAGUCUGCGGUGGUUGUGGUGUCUGCUGCAGCGCUUGGAGUCCUCAGGAAGCGCUAGGAGCAUCCGUCAACGGAGGGUACUCGGUCGGAGUACAAGGAGCUCCGUUACAUAUACCAUACCACAAGCACCAGUUAUUGUAUCAGAAUUAUUUAAUGCAAGGCAUCAAGCAUCCUUUCACAGAACAGGCCUGCUCUGUUUCAGCCGUAAGAACAUUCAACGUCGAGUCUGGUAGAGAUAUAGAUGGUAAAUGGAGAAACCAGAUGUGGAGAUGUACCCCAGAACAAGAGGGAUAAUGAGAACUGGAGACCAAAACAGGACUUUGACAAAAGAUGGAGAGAUUCACAGAGGGACCAUACGAAUAGGCACAGUGCUAAAGGAAGCAAUGAAAUGGGAGAUAAUUGGAGAAAUAGAUUAGAGGAGCCUCAGGCAAUCAACAAUAAUUUUAAUAAUAAUACCUGGGAGAGGCUAAAAAGAAGAGAUAAUAACUGGGAGAAAAACGGAGAAACAACAGGAACAGUUAUUGUGAGAAUAAUUGGAGAAGGAACCAUAGAUGGGACGAGCUUCAGACCAAUAGACGAAAUUGAGGUAAUUGGAGGAAUAAAGAAGGGAAUAGAGACUACUGGGACCUAGAGAGACAGACAGAGAUUGGAGACAGAUGUGAAAGCAGUUAGGGAACAGAUGAGAGAGGAGGAAAAGAUUGAUCAAUUGGGGGGUCCCAGCAAUUAAUAACUCCCCCCAAAAAAUUUGUUGCUCUCUACAUCUGUAUGUAUGUUUGUUAUUCUUUUGUUUUGUUCUUUCUCUCAGUCUUCCAGUCUCCCAUAUAGCUAUACAUUUCUAAUGAUGAUAUCUAGUGUUCCCACAGAGCAAGGCAAAGCUGUAUUAGGAUGAUGAUGUGUGUCAACAGAAGAUCGUGGUGGAUCCUUGUUACAGGAUGGAUAAGUAUCACAGUAGGGAUGGGGAUACAGGCAAUACAGCCAGAAGAUGCUCCAAAUAACGGAGAAGAUCAGAGUCUAAUUUUUUUUUUCAAUUUGACAAUUUUUAUUAAGGUUUUGGGGUACAGAAAGGAAAGAGGGGUUUCAGGGGGUGAUUGUCAAUCAAGUAAUCGAUGCAUUGUUUGUCAAGAAAACAUCAUGUCAACAUGGUAACAUAAAAAUAACAUAACGAUAAUGCAGAUAAUAUAGAGAUACACUCCCAGUAUCUACCAUCUGUUCCGUUCUAUCAAGAAACUAAGCAUUUUCUCUUCUUCAGCCAGUCGUGGUUGAGGUUUAACGUUCUGGGUUGACAAUUGGGCAGGGUACAGAAAAGAAAAGAGGAUGGGGGGUGGGUAGGAAGGGGACGCAUAGUCUCGUCAAUGAUUCUAUCAAUGCUUUGUUGGCUCAUGUGUGUUUCUGUUGGUACACUUCUUGGCUGCAUACCUUAGCAUCUUAUGUUGUCUUAGGGGAGGGGAGAGCUCCCCCCCACUCCUGGUCUUCCCUCGUUAGUAGCUUUACGUGUAUAAUUAUCCCAUAUGGCUUUGAUGGUGUUGGGGUUAGAGGCUAUGUAGGAGUGCGCCAUUUGCUUGUAGUCCCAGUUAAGGGUUACUUGUUCCCUUAAGGCUCUUGUGCUCGGGACUUUACCUGUUUUCCAGGCUCUUGCAAGCAACGUGUUCGCCGCUAUUAAGAUCUGGAAAAUAAGUUUGGUCAGUGGUUUAGGUAUAUCUCUCGGUAAUAUGAACAAGAUACAGUGGUCGGUGGUACAACACUGCUCUGUUUGGGUAACAUUUGAUACCUCCUUUGUGACCAUUUUCCAGAAGUCCUGGAGGCUCGGACAAGACCACCAGACAUGUAACAUUACCUCUAUAUGCCAUAUGUGCUUUAUCCCAUUGGUCAUCCGGGAUUGUGUAUCCCAGCUCCUUGUGCCACGCUUCCCUGUAUGACCUGGUCUCUAGUGGGUGUGUAUCUAUCAACACUGUGUAAGUGGUAGAGAGUACUUUCCUCGGGGGAGUAAGGGCUAUGCAUAGCUUUUCGAAUUGUGUCAGCUGUGUGGAUCCCAUGUCAGCUAUACAGUUUUCUAAUAUGUACGACUUUAGUUGGAGGUAUGGGAACAAUAGUUUACUUGGCAAGUUGAACCUUGUCUGCAGGUCCGGAAAGGGGAUAAUUUUGUUUCCCUGGAGCAGCUGGUACAAGCGUGUGCAUCCCCGCUCGUCCCAUGAUCUAUAGUCUAAGACUGGUACUUGGAUGCCCACACUCUGUACAUGCACAGCGAGCCAUGCACAGCGAGCCCCUUGCCGCGUCCCAUACCUGGAAGGUGAGACGUGUCGUGGAGAGGGUUGUGGCAGCCCAGCGUCUCUGUGCCCUUGGGACCCAGACAGAAUGUUCAAGGCUCCUCUGUCCCGCCCAGUGUGCUUCUAUGUCUGUCCAUUGUGGUCUGUGUGUCUGGGCUUGCAUUGGUACUAUUGCGGCUAUUAUCGCCGCUUUGUAAUAGGACCUUACGUCCGGGAGACCCAAUCCUCCCUUUUGCUUGGGUUUGAUUAGUAUCGUGUUGGCCACUCUGGGUUUGCUCUUGUUCCAAAUGAAUCGGACCAGAGUUCUCUGUAGCUUAGUGAGGUACGUGUUCGGGAGGGGUAUGGGUAGUGUUCGCAAAAGGUAAUGGAACAUCGGGAUCAAUAUAAUUUUCACUGCUGCUAUCCUUCCCACCCAUGAUAAGAAGCAGCCCUCCCAUUUCUGCAUGGUGGAGGUAGAACUCUGUAUAAGUGGUUCAUAGUUAUAUUUAUACAGCGAGGUCAGCUUUUUAGUUAAUUUUAUGCCUAGUAAGUUUAGGUAGUCUUCCCUCCAGUCAAAGGGGUAUGUUUUCUGCAUCCUCUCUAACUGUGUCGAGUCUCGCCCCAGGUACAUGGCUUGGGUCUUGGUUACGUUCAACUUGUAAUAUGAAUGUCUCCCAUAUGUGGUGAUCAGUGUUAGCAAGUUAGGUAGUGAUGUGUGUGGGUCCGUCAGGGUAAGGAGUAUGUCAUCGGCAAAUAGGUUGGCCUUGUAUUGUUUGUGCCCUAUCGUCACUCCGUGUAUUCGGUCGUGUUGUCUAAUUUGAAGCGCCAUGACAUAGAGCAACGGCGAUAGUGGGCACCCCUGUCUAGAUCCGUUCGUAAUGGGGAAAGGUAAGAAGCCAGCAUUUAACACCUUCGCUAAGGGUGCAGAGUACAGGGCCCUGACUGCCGACCUGAAUCUCCCCGGGAUGUUAAAUUUGUUCAGGACCCCUUCCAUGAAGCCCCAGUGCAAGCGGUCAAAGGCUUUUUCUGCGUUGAGGGACAUUAUUAAGCCUUCCUUCUGUGUGCCUUGCAGUCCACAAAUUAUGUCUAAGACCUUUCUAGUGUUGUCGCUGCCUUGGCGUCCCUUGACAAAUCCCACUUGGUCAGAGUCGAUUAUGGUUGGUAAGACUCUGCUCAGCCUAGCCGCUAGCACUUUAGCAAACAGCUUGAUGUCUGUGUUAAGCAGGGAUAUGGGGCGAAAGUUUUGGGGCUGGGUAGGUGGCUUGCCGGGUUUGGGGAGUGUCACUAUAUGUGCUAGCUGGCAUUCUCCUGGAAGUGUACUUAGGUCAAUGGCUUCGUUAAAGGUUGCUGUCAAAUGUGUUGGGUGUUCCUGAAGCAUUUGUAGUAGCAAUUAGUGAAUCCGUCUGGGCCUGGGGCUUUAUUGUUGGGCAGUGCAAGUAUUGCUUUGUUAACUUCAGAUUCUAACAUUGGGGAGGAAAGUAAUUGGCUUUGUUUUUCCGUUAGUCUGGGCAGGGGAAGAGGGUCUAGGUAUCGCUCUAUGUCUGGGAGUGUCGGCUGGUGGAGGGAUGCGUCAUGUUUUAGAUUGUAUAAGGAGGCAUAGUACCUGGCAAAUUCGUUGCUGAUGUCUUUCGGAGCUAUCAUUUUUUUUUCCCUCCUUGGAUAUUAGGUGGGUGAUUUUUUGGCUGGCUUGCUAGUUUCGUAGUCUAUUUGCUAACAUCUUGCCCGCUUUGUUGCCCUAGUUCUCUAGGGCCUGUUGGUUAAUUUGCCUAGUUAUAUGUUCAAUUUUGGCCUGGGUGGUGGAUGGGGUUGCUUGGUUCUGCCUGGUUAAGUCCUGGAGGUCUUUUUGCCAGCCCACUAAUUGUGUUUGUGAUCUUUUACGAAGGUAUGCCUCGGAUGACUGCUUUGUGUGUUUGCCAGAUGUUCGCCUGGGUGGUCUCGUCAGGACUAUUCUCCAAGAAGAACAGUCUCAUCUGUGUGUCUAUGUCUUUUGUGAAUGAGGUGUCUUUCAGGAGAAACUCAUUUAAUCUCCAUGGGCAGUGGUGGGUAGGAUCAUAGGCAUCCUUAAGUGUUAGAGUCACCGGGGCGUGAUCAAUUCCACAAUGAGUCAUUUGGUCUAACACCUGACCAUUUAGAAGGAAGCCAUCUAUACGCAAGUAUGAAUUAUGCACUGAGGAGUGGAACGUAAAGGCUAGUGUGUAGUAGUCUCCACGUGUCAUAUAGCUGGUAUGUGUGGAGCAAUUUAUGUAUUGCCUUGCAUUGCCUUUUUAAGGGUCUAAGUCUGGGACUGUGUGCAGGGAGAGUAGUAUCCAUAGAUGGGUCUAACACAUGAUUGAAGUCUCCGCAUAUUACCGUAAUGCCCUGUUGUUUUUCUACUAUUGUGGUGAGUAUUUUGUGAAGGAAGUUUCUUUGCUCAAAGUUGGGUGCAUAAAUGUUGAUGAUAGUGUACAGUAUUCUGUUAAACGUGCCUAUGACCAUUGCAUAUCUGCCCUCCCUAUCUAGUGCAUGUGAGUGGGGUGUGAACGCCACAUGUCUGCUAAUCAGUAUAGAACUUCCUUUUGCCUUCUUUGGGGAGGUAGCAUGAAAUUGGUGGGGGUAUUCCCUACUCAGCAGUUUUGGGUUUUGGGUGGGUAUUCUUCUUGAAAUGGGUCUCCUGUAAGCAUACAACAUCCGCUCUCUGUGAACCAAGUUUUCUGCUCAGGUGGUGUCUUUUUACCGGGUGUUUAGUCCCCUUACGUUGUGUGUAUAUAUCUUCAUGGGGGUCUCAACCCCGUCGUGAAUAUGAGAGCUAGGUUUAGAAAAUGAGUUCUAUUAGAGGGCACUGCAUGUCCCAGUUGCAACAAGCAAUGCAGCCCACCUCUCGGUGUUAUUCCAUCUGUGCAGUGUACCCAAUGGAUGCUAUGUUUCCCCACCUAUAUCUUAUGCCUUGGUCCCUCAGCACCUCCAGGAUUGGGGCAAAUGUCCUUCUCUUGCUGAGCGUUGCCGCUGACAAGUCAGCAAAUAUUUUAACACUGGAGUAGUUCUCUGGGGGUUGAGAUGUGUUACGGCUUGCUUUCAGGACAUGUUCUUUAAUGUGGUAUUAGUGGUAUUAGCUUCUAUCUGGACUAUUUUUUGCUCUAUCUCUUCCACGUGGGUCGCCAGAUCAUUGUGUGCCGUGGCAAAUUCGUCUAGUUUGCUUUCCAUGUGGGAUGUUCUGGACCCCAGCUGCUAUAUAUUGUGCCUCAGGGUGUUGAACGAGGAUUGCCAGCUUGAGAUCAAUUUGCUGGAUAGAACUUCUAGGGCUUGUGUCAGGUAGGUUUGAGUCACUGGUUCAGUCACCGAUUCAGUGGCCAAGGAGUCACCCACGUCUGGUGUAUUGGUAUUCUGAGCCAUCUUGAAUUUCGGCCUGCGAGUCCCGUGCUCCAGGGUUGUUUUUCUGGCCAAAGAAUUUCAGCUUUUCAGCCCUCCCAGCUUGUUUUCUACCUUUGUGGUGAGACAUAUUUGGUGUUUGUUGGUUGUAUAGUGGUUCUGGAUGCUAGGAUUGCAGCGGAUUGUGAGCUCAUGUGCCAGAGCAAGGAACGAUGCAGCCAUCCUGCUCAGCAGUUAGCCACGCCCCCCAGAGUCUUCAUUUUAAUAAUCCUUCUAUUCCUCCAAGGUGUCCGGAACAACAGCGGCAGUGGUUUAGGCAAAGCAGGGAGUCAGGAAAAACGGGACAUAUUUGCAGCUCUACUGGGGGGAGUUGGAACUGGAUUGAGAGUAUGGAAUUCCGCAAAUAUCAUUGGACUUAACAGCAGGAUAAACUCCCUCACUGAUGGCAUGGGACAUGCUAUGAAAAUAGGUGGGGAAGCUGACUUUCUUAUAGUGAAAAGACAAUGUGGAUAUACACUAUUGCCCACAACCUACAUCCGGUGGAAAAUAGUGCUUCCAUUGCUAAGAAGUGGGAACUGACAUUGUUCUGUUUGCAGAUUUAAAGGACACUAUUAAAAAGGAUUAUUCUUACCAACAUAGAGACACAUCCAGUCCUACAAACUCUGUCGCUAGUACUCGUUGUUAAUACACCACACUGUUUUACUCGAGAGACUUCGCUAAACAUAGUGUUUGAAAAAAGUAAAACAUAUUGCAACAAUGAUAUUGUCAGUGACAGUGAAGUUUUUUUGCAUUUUUCACCCACAAAUGGCACUUUCACUGAUGAUAUCAUUGUUGUGAUUCGUUUUACUGUUUUUUUUGUUUGUUUUUUAUUAUUUUGUAUUUUUGCAGUGCAUAAGAGUAUGACAAACAAGCCUGAGGUACCCCAAUGGCAAUCCUCAGUUAUAUUUCACGCUUAACAGGGGUAUUCGAGAGUAUAUGCUGUCAGAGUAUUUAUAUCGGCAGACAUCUUGUGCUAUGAUAGAAAUUAAAAGUGUAUAUUCUGAGUCACUCUGAACAGAGCAGACUCCAUUUUGUUAUUUUCAAGUUAACAAAGAGACACAAAAUUUCUAUCCUAUCUGUAAAACUAACCACUUUCCCAGAGCUAAAGGAAUGCAUAGUAUAUACAAACCAAGUGAUAAGGAGAAUGGGGGUUGGAUAGACUGUCUUAAAUGCUAAUGGAAUAGAUGCAUAUCUAAACACAGACAUUUGUGACAGAGGAGAUUAAAUAAUAAAAUGUUACUUUCUAUAUGUACAAGAUCCCAUUGUAAGUUACGGGUCAAAACUCAGAAUUUGCCAGACACAUAGUCUGGACAAAACUUAAAGAAACUGUUUGAUCUGACAGAAAACGUAAGUUAUGGCUACCAUUAUAGAUAAAGCCAAAAUGACGUCAAAAUAGCCACCAGGAAAAGUUAACUCUUUCCUGGAUAGGUAUGUUUAGUGGGACAAUACUGCCCUCUAUAGAUCAAAUAACUAAAUUGCGAUCCCUAGAUAACCACACCCCCAGUGUUGCUAUUGGUUUACCAACUAGUGAAUUUUCCCUUUAAAAGUUAAGACAAAGAGGGGGAAGAGGUAGACGAGGAAUAGAAGGGUAUGCAAAGAAAGCAAAGAAGUGAGCAGUCGGAAGCAAUGCAGAGAGGCCUAUGACAGAUAUCCACUCUAGGACACUCAGAAAUACCUACACACCUCCAUGCAGAGAGACAUCCAAAUAAGUUCCUGAGACUAUCUACCAAUCGGAUGAAAUAUCUACUCAACUGGUAAUUAUACUGGUUUCAUUUAAUUAAUUAAAUUAAUUAAAAUGUACUAGUAGCAUGAUAUAUGACUGGAUAAAUCAUGGUCAGAUUUUCAUAUUAAGAAAUCUUAGUUAACUAAAGAAUAUAUAGUUAUAAACAUUCCAUUCUGAAGGUGGAAUUAAGAAUAAUUAUAUAUUAAUGUGAUAGUAUCACAUGUUAGCAUACCACCGUUUUUAUCCAGGUGUAUUGAUUUGCUCUAAAGUAAGAUAAGAUAUCUUUUAGACAAAUUAAAAUCUGCUUAAAUAAUCAUGGUAGAUUCUCUUAUUGGAUGGUUCCAGGAAAUGACUAAUGAACUGGUUUAAAUGUUAUUUUAUUUAAAAUUACAUAAGAAUAGAUCUUAAUUACCUAGGAGAUCUAGCCAGCAUUGAAAGGGUUAUUCAGGUGAUCUAACUGUUAGCCAGGGUUUUACGGCCCUUCGCUGUGAAAAGCUUCACAUUCUCUCUGUGAAAGAUAGUCAUAAAUCGUGUAAGUCUUGACAGAAAAUGCUGUUUAGCCAUUGAAAUGGGUAUAGCCAUUCCUUUGUAUUGCAUAUCAUUUUAUACUGGAUAUUCAUUGAUUAUUGUCACGCAUGGUACAUAAUAUUAUUUGUUAAUUAAUUGUUAUUAUAAAAUAAAAUCUAUUUUUAUAACAACAUUGUGAUUUAUUUAUAUGAAAUACUUUCCACUUAACACGAUAACGAUCUUUGGGAUCUGAGAAUUGAAUUAGUGGGCAAUUCUCACUGUUUACUAUUAUUAUCCCAUAAAUAUCCCCACAAUGCACCUUUUUAUAUUUAUGAAGAGGAGUUCACCGGUAAAGCAAUAGGUCACAAGCUAAGUAAGCAUAUUAUGGCAAGAUUAGUAGUUAACAGGAUUUACGUGUCGAGAUACAUUACUACCCGAGCUUGUGCUGGUAAGGCUGUGCAGCGUUUCAUCAGAGCUUUCCAGUAUCGUUGGAAGUGCCUGUCUAUUCGAUGCAUAACCCUCUACUGAGCUGUAGAGGAUUGCAGUGUGCUCGCUUGCGGUCUCUGUAGACCAGGAUGCCGUCACCAUUUUGGUUAGGCUUGGUUAGGUGCUGUGGCAGUGGAUUAGUACAGUCCAGUGGGGACCGGGAUAACAAGAAAAAGAAAAAAAAAACAGAAAUACAAAAUAAUGUGAAUCACCAAAAAGUGAUAAUAUGUAAAUUAAUACAAACUGAAUAUAUGUUGAGAUAUUUAAAUGCAAAAUUGUAUCUGUAAAGAAAUACACAAACAAUAUAUAGUGUGAUAUUGUUAGAAACCACUUGAGAAUAUGGGUGGUAGAAAACUCACAAGGGUAAGAUGAAAUCAGGCAUAUCUCCCUCUGUAUUAAGGGACUGGAAAGUAUGAAGGACCUCCAGCGAUGAAUCCAAAUAUAUGUGAGCAGCAAAUCUUCUAAUUCACUCCAAAUAGAAAGAGGAAAAUAGAUAGUGCAGAUUGUAUAAAAAGUAACAAUUUAUUACAUGUAUUGCACUUACAAUGUAUCAGAAUAAAAGCAGCUUGUCUCCACACUGGGUGGUAUUCAUAUGCAGCAGCUGAACUAAUCAAGAUACAGGGUCUGGAACAGUGAUAGCAGCACCAAGACAAUAAGAAAUAAAAAUAAAAACAAUUCCAAUGCGUUUCGUCCUUCUCUGGACUUCCUCAGGGAUGUGUAGCUGUGAUAGGGAUGAGAAUCUUCUUAAAUAUCCGUUAUUUAAUCACUCAAAUGUUCACCGGUGUUGGCGUGCGUUCCACCGUGGAACGCAUAUUACUUCCGCAUGACGUCACUUCUGGUUUCGCGGAUCGAGUGAAACCACAGUUUAUAUCGAUGGUAGCAGCUCAAACAGCAUUUACAGCACAGUAUUACAGAUGAAACCAGUGAAAUUCAGAAUACUUAUUCACAAAAAGCACAUCACAUAGAUUUAUAAAAGUGAACAUGAAUUACCAGACAUUGGGCAUAUCCAUAUUGAUAUAUAUCAAUAUGUGUAUCUUUCAAUUAUAUAUGAUAUAAUAUACCUUCUGCAGAUAUUUUAAACAUAUGAAUAUGAAUUAGAAUAGCUAGAAUAAAUUUGAUUACAAUAAAUUUGAAUAUAUUAGAAAAUUUAGACUAUUUGAAAUUUGAAAGUUUAAAUUUAGAAAUUAGAAGUUCGAAAGAUGAAUUUGAGGAUUUAAAGAUAUACACAAUCAAUAUAAAUUUGGUAUGCUCAAUUUCUAACAAAAUUGAAUAAUAUAUUAUAUAAUAUCAUCCAAUAUUUUAGAGGUAAUAUUUCUGUAAUAAAAAACAACAAUUAAUCAUCAAAUAUAAAUGAUCAAAUGUCUUAAAUAAAAUAAAAUAAAAUUGAAAUAAGAAAUAUAUGAAAAUAUAUAUAUAUAUAUAUGAAAAAAUGCAUAUAAAAAUAAUAAUAAAUGUGAAAAAUAUAUAUAUGAAUAAAAAUAAAAUAAAAAUAAAUAAAAAUAAAAAAAUAAAAAAUAAAUAAAAAUAAAUUAGUUAAAUUAAUCCCACUAAAUCUAUUUCCUGAUUCAAACCAAAUUUUAAAGUUUUUAAAUUGAAAAUCCAUUGGGUUUCCUUAGUAUUUAACAAAGUUUAAAUAUUACCUCCUCUCCAAUGUUGUUCUACCUUAUCUAUCCCAAUUGCUAUCAUUGUAUUCCAUUGAAAAUGUGGACAAUAGGCACAAUGUAUAGAUACACUGUGUUCUAAUUUUUUGUUUCUUAUAUUUUGAAAAUGUUCCAACAACCUUACAUGUAAUUUUCGGAUCGUGCGACCAAUGUAUUGAGCUCCACAACCACAUUGCAGUAAAUAGACUACAUGGGUAGUGGGGCAUUGAAUAAAUUUAUUAAUCUGAUAAGUUUGUUGAGUGUAAGUUCCUAGAAAUGCAUCUGUACUCUUUUUUUUUUAAAGUUACAUGUGGAACACCUUCCACAUCUAAAGAAACCUUUUAGUAUUUGAUUUGAAAAAAUAUGUUUGAGUUUAGAAAAGGUACUUUUCUUAAUAGGAAGGAUACUGGGGGCUAGUUUAUUCUUUAAAUUAUCUGCCUUUUUGUAAAUUACAGUAGGUUUAUUUGGUAAAAUAUUAUUCAAAAAAGUAUCUUUUUUUAAGAGGUGCCAAUGUCGAUUAAUAAUGUUUUUAAUCUCACGGGCUUGAGAAUGGUACCUGGUGAUAAAAGCAAAAUUAAAUUUAUUUGAAUCUUUAUUUCUUUUAUCUUUAUCUCUAUUUGAUGAAAGCAGCUUAUCACGAUCUGUAUUAAUUAAAGAAGACUCUGCUUUUUCAAUCAUUUUUGAAUCAUAUCCCUUUUCUAUGUAUCUUUGUUUAAUAAUUUUAGAUUGGGUUUUAAAAGUUUCUAUAUCUGAACAGUUACAUCUCAAAUGUGUUAAUUGUCCCUUUGGGACAUUUUUUAGCCACAAGGGAUGAAGCAAACUAGCACAGUCUAUAGCAGUAUUACAAUCAGUAUUUUUGAAAAAAGUUUUGUUUUUUAGGAUAUUAUUUUCUAUAUAAAUUGUUAAAUCUAAAAAAUCUAUCUGGGUAGGAUGACAAGUAGAGGUAAAGCCCAGAUUAUAAUCAUUAUUUUUAAUAUACAAAAUUAAGUUGUCUAAACUGGUUUGAUCACCAUUCCAGAUGAUAAGGACGUCAUCUAUGUAGCGUCGCCAUACUAAAAAGUUUCUUUAGAUGUGGAAGGUGUUCCACAUGUAACUUUCAAAAAAAGAGUACAGAUGCAUUUAUAGGAACUUACACUCAACAAACUUAUCAGAUUAAUAAAUUUAUUCAAUGCCCCACUACCCAUGUAGUCUAUUUACUGCAAUGUGGUUGUGGAGCUCAAUACAUUGGUCGCACGAUCCGAAAAUUACAUGUAAGGUUAUUGGAACAUUUUCAAAAUAUAAGAAACAAAAAAAUUAGAACACCGUCUAUCUAGACAUUGUGCCUAUUGUCCACAUUUUCAAUGGAAUACAAUGAUAGCAAUUGGGAUAGAUAAGGUAGAACAACAUUGGAGAGGAGGUUAAAUACUAAGGAAGCCCAAUGGAUUUUCAAUUUAAAAACUUUAAAAUUUGGUUUGAAUCAGGAAAUAGAUUUAGUGGGAUUAAUUUAACUAAUUAAUUUUUUAUAUUUACAUUUCAUUCUCAUUUUAUUUUUUUAUUUUUUAUUUUUAUUUAUUUUAAUUUUAUUUUUAUUCAUAUAUAUAUAUAUAUAUAUAUAUAUACAUAUAUUUUUCACAUUUAUUAUUUUUUAUAUGCAUUUUUUCAUAUAGUGACGUCAUGCGGAAGUAAUAUGCGUUCCACGGUGGAACGCACGCCAACACCGGCGAACAUUUGAGUGAUUAAAGGACGGAUAUUUAAGAAGAUUCUCAUCCCUAUCACAGCUACACAUCCCUGAGGAAGUCCAGAGAAGGACGAAACGCGUUGGAAUUGUUUUUAUUUUGUUUCUGUAUUGAAUUUUUAUUUCUUAUUGUCUUGGUGCUGCUAUCACUGUUCCAGACCCUGUAUCUUGAUUGGUUCAGCUGCUGCAUAUGAAUACCACCCAAUGUGGAGACAAGCUGCUUUUAUUCUAAUACAUUGUAAGUGCAAUACAUGUAAUAAAUUGUUACUUUUUAUACAAUCUGCACUAUCUAUUUUCCUCUUUCUAUUUGGAGUGAAUUAGAAGAUUUGCUGCUCACAUAUAUUUGGAUUCAUCGCUGGAGGUCCUUCAUACUUUCCAGUCCCUUAAUACAGAGGGAGAUAUGCCUGAUUUCAUCUUACCCUUGUGAGUUUUCUACCACCCAUAUUCUCAGGUGGUUUCUAACAAUAUCACACUAUAUAUUGUUUGUGUAUUUCUUUACAGAAACAAUUUUGCAUUUAAAUAUCUCAACAUAUAUUCAGUUUGUAUUCAUUUACAUAUUAUCACUUUUUGGUGAUUCACAUUAUUUAGUAUUUCUGGGUUUUUUCCUUUUUCUUGUCACUGUUGUUUUUUGAGUGUUUAUAAGGGAACACUUAUAAACCUAGGGUACUGUGUGCAUUAUAGCACUGACGGUUAACUGCUUGCUUUUCUUCGGGACCGGGAUAACCCCCGCCAGUCCAAUGGGAGAGGGGGAGUGAUUUGCAGGGGUUUCUGUAGCGGAACGCCAAUAAUAAAUCCACGAAUUCCGCUGGUUCAGGAACGAAUCCACAGUCAAGCGCUGAAACAACAAGGCAAUAUCCCCAACCUCCCAGUAACCGGACGAGACACAGUCCUGAGAGUCAACUGAAAUCCUUUAAUUCGGCUGCACAAUUUAUACAAGUCCCCAUGCAAGGGGUUUCCUGAGUCCCUCCCCAGGGGCACUCCCAGAGGGGACUACAUGGGGGACUUACAUUACAGCAUAUUUCUCCCAUCAGGCACUGCUGCACGAGAGGGGUCCUCCUCCCAGAACCCACCGUUAAGUGGAUUAUCCCCUCGUGCAGCAGAACCGACAAUUUACACAAAAAUCCAUAACUUGGUGAAUAUACGGUGGAUUUACACGAAUGGACGUUCGGUAGAUAGCUGGGGUCUGAGCGCAUCAUUCGUGAGAUUACCGCUCAGAUCCCAGCUAAAAUAACCGAACGCCGCACGAAAAACACAUUUCUUAUAAAACAUAUAAAAAGAACCGAUUGCUUGCAGGGAACAAAAUACCGAAUGGCCCGAAACUCCCGAACGUCCUGGAGGCUCAGCGGUGUUCGUGCCGUCGAGUAGCCGUUUUUAGUACCAUGCGCUCGACGACCUAGCACCGCUGAGGGAACAAAGGAUCCAAGAUGGCCGACCGCCGCAUGGUCGGUAGUCGAACGACGGCCACCCAGGAGAGCCUCUAAUUACCGAUUGCAACAUUGUUGCAAUUGGUUAACCAGCGCCACACGCCUCUAAGUGUGUGGGCUAUUAGGGGUAUUGCGUUCGGUUCACGAACGGCCCUCCAAAGUGCCGUUCGUGAAACGAAAGAAAAUCCCCAUACAAACCGCCAUUUGCAUUCGGCAAAAGGCAAAUACAGGCAAUGCAGAAAAUACAUAUAGCAUACACAUACAGAGUAAAGCACAUAUCUCCCCAGACCUAUAGGCAACCCUUAAAGGCAUAGUCUCUGGUUAUAGUCCAAGUGGCUAGGUUUGCCACAGUUUCAGUGUCAGUUUAUGAGUCCAUGGAUCGGCUGCUUCCUCGUGGCUCGGCCGCGUGUAGGCCUCAAGCUCCCAGUGAAGCAAUCCAGCGUCCCAGACUCCCCAAAAAGGUACUCUCAGGGGCAGCUACUUCUCCUGGUUAUUAGCUGUGGGGAUAGCAAUCUGUAUGUGCAGGUUGGCAAGUAAGGCACCCCGAUUUCUGUCUCCAGACAUGGGAGCUUGUGCCAAACACGUCUGGGUUGCUUGGCUACUAGGCUCCGUCCCCUCGUUUUACUGUUUUUAAACACUAAUAUUUGUACUCAGCAAAGUCUCCCGAAUAUAACAGCACCACCCAUGUACUGGUUUUAAAGUGUUGUUGAAAGUUACAGGGUCAAAUAUAAGGCUUGCCCAUUUAAUUUUUUUCAUUGAAAUUUACCAGAUUGGUUAUGUUGCAUUUAAGACCAUAUGGUAGCUCAGGAAUGAGAAUUACCCCAUUAUGGCAUACCAUUUGCAAAAUUAGACAACCCAAGAUAUUGCAAAUGGGGUAUGUCCAGACUUGUUUAGUAGCCACUUAGUCACAAACACUCUGCAAAGUUAGCGUCCAUAUUCAUUUUUUGCAUUUUUCACACACAAAUAAAUAUAAACGAUAAAUUUAGCCAGUGUUUGUGAUUAAGUGGCUACUAAAAAAAACUGCACAUUCCCCAUAUUGGAUACCCUGGGUUCUCUACUUUGCAAAUGGUAUGCGAUCAUGGUGGUAAUUCUAAUUCCUGGGCUACGAUACUGUCUCAAAGGCAACAUAACUAGUCUGGCAAAUUUCAAUAUGUAUAAACUGAAAAAUGAAUUGUGCUAUAUUUGACCCUGCAACUUUCCAUAGCACUCUAAAACCUGUACAUGUGGGGUACUGUUGUACUUGUGAGGCAUUUCUGAAUACAAAUAUGUGUGUUUAUUGCAGUAAAACACUAACAGUAUUAUAAUAUUCACAGUUAAAAUGCCAUACAGAACAAACAAAAAAUACAAAAAUCUUAAUUGCACACACUUUUUUUUAAAAUUCUUUAUUUUUGUGCGCAUGAGAGUGACAGACAUUCUUGCAGUGCCCCAACAGCAAUGGCAAGAUAAGGAGCUGAACAAUGCAUAACAGUUAUAAGGCAUUUGAUUGUACUAAACUUUUUUUUAUGGUGAUAGGGAGUACAGACUAGGCAGAGCAUGUCUAGAGGAGAUUCUAAGCAAGAUCUUCUAUUCUAUGCAUGCAAGUUCAUAGACAUGUAGGUAUUUAAAGUUUGUAACAUAGAUUGUGAGACAUGCUACUGGUACUAGGUUAAAGCAGUGAGACAGCAAGGUUAUACCAGGUUAAUGAUGGGUUCUGGCAUGGGCUCUAGGUUGUCAGAUGGUAUUGGACCACUGACCUCUGGGGUGCCUCAAAAUUGGAGCAGUAAACAGUAAAUAGUUAGCAUCCCCCUCGUGUUAUUGGCAGGAGAGGGAAAGUAUAAGGGAAAGAGGGAGAGAGAAAAAAAAAAGAACAAAAAAAAACAAAACAACGAAGCCGUAAUGAUAUGAUUACAUAAUGGCAGGCAGUGUGGUAUUGUUAGUGAGUGAGCACCAGUCCAAGAUGAGACGACUCUGUGGUCACCACCCUGGGAGCGAAGCUUGUGCUGCGUCUGGUUUAUACGAUCCCUGCUUGUGGCAUAUGUGGGGCCUGUGCUUGGACGAGUGCCUGCUUAAUUUUUAUGCUGACUCUGGUGUUCGCUGGAGCAAGGCUCUUCCUUCUCGGUGGGUAAGUAGUGGGUUUAGAUUUUAUGCGCCUGUGCUGGCAGGUGAUCCUCCGCUUUGGUGCCUGAUGCUUGGGGGUUGUGCUCUGAGGGGUUCUCAGCCCGGGUGGGUGAGCAGAUAAGUGAGUGGGCGCAGGCUUGUGUGCUUUGCCCUGGGGGAGGCCUGUUUCCUCUCGGCUGUGCUGUGCUCUUAGGAGGGAUUUCGCUCUCAGCCAGGACGGUCUGCUCCCGCUCCAGGAUCCUCCGCCAGAAUCUCUGAAAAAUGUCAUCCAGACGCUGCAGUGUAGAUUCCAGGCUGCGUUGAUUCUCUAUGGAGGGGUGUAAGUGCUGCGUGGUCUGCAAGCAGGUAGCCGCCAUUUUGUGGCUUGGUGUAUCAGACAUUCCUCCGGGAGCCAGUCUGUAGCAGGAGACUGGAGCCAUGCUUGUUGCCCCAGUGUGUUCAGUAUGGACCGGGAUAUCCCCCACCGGUCCGGGGGGGGGGUGUUAAAUCGCCGCCGAGCCAGAUGGCUUCCCGGUGAUGCCCCCCAGUGUCAGGGUACGUACGAUUAAUCAGGUUAUCACCCCAAAGAGUGCGGAAAGCCCGGGAGCUCAAGCCCCACCCGUCUAUCCUGCAUGGAUGCCAGGCUCCACCCCCCUGAUCACACUUUUUUUAAAAAGAUUUUAUUCAUAAUAAAUUGUAGAUUAUGCUAGCUUUAGUGUUCCUAUAAUCUUAAUUUUAUUAAUGACAGGAGGCGAGUAUUUGCUUUAGUCUCUCUUUACUAGAACUCCACAGCAGCACAGAAAAACAACCAAUCAGAAAAAAGUUAGGUACUAUAAAACCCCCUUCCCAUUGCAUCAUUUCCUCUUUCAAGCUGCGACAAAACAGAACAAUGGCAGAAAAAGUUAUGGGAAGCAACGAAGUCCAGAUACGAUGAAUACAGCAAUGUCCAACGUCUGAGAAGAACUGUCAACCGGAUAGCGUUGAUGGACUGAGAAUAAAUAAGUCAAUGUCCACCAUCCACGAAGAAGCGCCACACCAGAUAGCGCUGAAGGACUGGAAACUGAAACGAGAGAAAAACAGAAUCGAACAGGUUGAUUAUCCAAUGAAAUGUAUUUUGAAUAAACCUGUAGAUACCCAAUGUAGCAAACAAAAUUACCUUAAUAUGUAGAUAUCCCAACCCUACUUAUGAAAAACAGACAUAAGGACAGGUGACAGGUAGCAGAAACAACAAGCAGAGUUGUAUACAUACCUGAUUAAUCCAAACUAUAAAAUUAAACAAGGGAGGGAUAAGAACGGGUGGGAAAUACUCGCCUCCUGUCAUUAAUAAAAUUAAGAUUAUAGGUACACUAAAGCUAGCAUAAUCUACAAUUUUAUAAACAUGACAGGAGGCUUCGUAUUUGCUGUUUUAACCCUCAGCCAAUAAAUCCAACGCUGCUUGUUUCGCUGGCACCCAUUCCGAGAAUAUUAGAGCAAUCCUAAAUGGACCUUCCAACUGCGAGAAGUGACCUCCGUUGAUAGAUCCAUUGUACGUGGGGUUACGACCUGUUCCCUAGCAGUCGGUCCAUGAGCUGCCAAGUUGACCUAUUAGCCAUAUUCCGUGUCUCGACUCUUGAUGUGGGAGGUGAUUCCUCCGAUCGUGUCAGGUUCACCAGGCGAUGUGGCCUUGCAGACAAACUCCAACCUCAGGUGUGCGCCUAAGUCCACCGUCAAUACUCGAACAGAACCGAAUAGUGUCUAUUCGUUCCUCUAUGACCUACCCGGUGAAUUGUCUCCUCCGACAAUAAAGUUAUAUGCAGAUAAUAGUGUGGACAAUACUAGCCGUAUCCUAAGAGACUCCAGUCUACCAACUGGACUGUGUAAUCAAGGUCUCAAACUGAACUCGUGUGGUAAAUGGUGGUCAACUAUUCUGGGAAUUGUGAAUCCUGGAAAGUUCAAGAGGAUGGGACCAGAAACCGGGGUUGAGAUUUCCAUCCAAAUACAUCAUCCUCUAAGAGUGCUAAGAUGGCCGGAUCCAAUAGAGUUUGGGACCUGUAUAACACAGAAGAGCCCUUACGUGUUGCAGUGGGAAUGUGAAAUACUCUGAUUACCAUUUGUACAAUCCUGUUCCAUGCCCGACCUGUCAAUAUUCGUGUAGGGGUUCCUGGCCUACACGCCACCUACAAGAUAGGGAAUAAUAUAGUGAGACCCCCUAGGUUCCUGUCUCAUAGACUGUCCAAGCAUGUAUCUCCCAGUGUAGGUUUCCUUGAUGGUAGUUGAAUAGGAAGGCUAGUGAGAACCCAAACCAAGAUGGUUCCCGUGAUGGAUAUAGAGUCCGAACACUGUUCUCAAGAUAUGUGUUCAGAGUUGUAGGAGCAGUCCUGACAACUUUAUCUCAAGAUUGUAAGGACCAGGGAAGCUAAGUCCUGAGAAUUUCGGUUUCUACAUGCAAUCCAUGCAUACGGUGCACCUGAAGACCGUUUAUGUGAAUUUUCUAGUCUUGUUACUCGAGCAAGGCAGUGCCCGUUUGCCCUAUGCAGGUCUCAGGAUCUCAUGUCACCCUGACACGGGAGAAUAGUCUGCACAGUUUGUACGCAAUGAAUAUCUAAAACAAAGUGCAAUGUCUGUUUGAUAUAGCACAGGUUAUACCAAAUCCUGUACUCUUGUAAAAACUAAGGCUCCUCCUACUGUCUCCCGGAAUGUGUAUACAUAAGUGGUAAACCUCCCCCACUAAUACCUCUGAGGGUAUUUCUCAUGUGGAUUACAAGAUGGAUCCAGUCAAACUAUGUAUACCUUGCCCGAUCAGGUAGCCCUCUAGAACGAAAUCAGUAGCGCAGUCCUCAUAUUUAAAUUGGAUGUAGGAGGGACGCCCCUCUAUGCGGUCAUAGUUGACCUGUACAGGUACAAGCCUGUGUGAGGAACAAAUGGACGGCAACAUAGUGCGUUGAGUGUAUGAGAGAGUCGCACUCUGUAAAAUGUGAUCGCACUCUGAGUCCGCGCACGGUUGGUGGUAUGAGCGGGCCGCACCCGUUAGAAGUCAAACAUAGAGUCUACCUCUGUGUCCAGUUCCUUCUAUGAGAAUGAGUCACUCAGAGCAUGUCCUCUAUAUCCAGCUCAGUAUCGGGCCGAGGUUGAGGGAGGGCCGUGCCCUCUAAUAAUGAAUCAGUGUCCGAUUCGGUAAAUGAGAGGGGUUCGCCCUCUACUCUUGAAAAUAAAAAUAUCAAUCUCGGGCCGAGGUGAAGGAGGGCCGCACCCUCUGUAAUCCAAACCAGAGUCCAGUAGAGGCUCAGGGUGACCAAACGUGGGGUUACACCCUUAUUUAAUACAAGCAAAGUAUACAACCUCGGGCCGUGUCUGACCUUAAUAAGAGAAAGGGGUGAUGAGAAAAGUACGUUUCGAAGCGGAAGAUGGUAACUAUCAACGGACCGCCCGGAUCCCAUACGUGCGCGCGGGCUCCAGGGUGAUCGUCGGUAGUCCGAGGAAAGCUGGAGACGUUCUCCGCAAUCCACGAGCACCCGGGAGGUUGGAGGAGGUCAAGUCAGGCCUCUCGACGACCCGAGCGAUAGGACAAUAGAAGGCACGAAAACAAAGAAACAACUAAUGAAGUAGAAAAUGGAAAAUACGUACCUCGGAAAGCAGGUCGGAUAGCAGACUGGAAAAAAACGAAUCAAGUGAAUCCAGUUGAAAAGGUCAGGAGCUAAACAUGACGUAGAAAAACACUACCAAUACCUAAUAUGGCGUCUGAGCACUGUUCCCUGCUUGUGCGAAAUUCCCCUUGGAGAUGUGUCGUCGUUGGGUAUAACCCGUAGUUGCAUGCCCGGGAAUCCUCAUAAAAACUUUGCCCUUCAGGGCAUGAGGUGUAGGGCCUUCACCCCUCCAAUCACAGUUAGAUGUCCAUAUCCUGGUGUCCUCUUGGAUAAUAUGGCAGCAGUGCCUGUCCGGACACCCACCUAGAGGGUACUGAGCUUACCUCAGUGAUAUUCCCCCAGGUUUGUGCUCCAAAGCGGGGUUCGGGCACAGGUACAGCAGGUCAACGAUGGGCCCAGUUAAAGCAGGCCAGACAGAAGGGCACAGAUGUAGUCGGUCAAUCAAUGGGGCACAGACAUAGCAGGCCAAUCAAUGGGGCACAGACAUAGCAGGCCAAUCAGUGGGGCACAGACAUAGCAGGCCAAUCAAUGGGGCACAGACAUAGCAGGCCAAUCCUGGGUUUCAUAUUAAAUGAGUAAUGGGGACCUCUGAGUUUGGCAGAUUCCCCUAAAUAUCUGUAAAUCCUCCGGGUAUCCUGUGACCUAGGACCCUUAGACACUAAUCUUAGACAGAGUACUACUGUGUGAAUAAACCAUAACCGGGACUGGCGGUCCCUAAGGGCCCAGCAGACAACAUAGAGGUAAAACCAGUUGUAUUGGGUUUAAGCUGGAUUUGUUCCAGUGAUAUAGUGUCCAGAAAUCAAGCUCUGCUGAGCAAUACCUUCUUUAAAGUGCAAAUUGUAAUGCACAUGUACAUACAGAUCUGUAUGAGAUAUCUUAUCUUUAUUGUAGGUCAUCAUCAUCAUCGUACCGCCUGAAGGGUAUUGUACUCAUGGUCUCUUCAGGAGUAGGGCAAAAACAAUUGCCAACUCAAUGAAUCUUCCCAAGGAGCCUGAUAAGAUAGAAUAGUAUCGGCAUAGACAGGACUGACAUCUACCGUCAGUGAAACUCACAGCAAUCCGUGAUAUCUAUAGCACUAAGACUCACAGCAAGCCGUGCUAUAUACACUGACAUAGAACUCACAGAAAUCUGUGAUAUAUACAUAUAUACAUAGUCAUAGAACCCACAGUAAUCUGUGAUAUAUAUAUACACUGGCCUAGAACUCACAGGAAUCUGUGAGAUAUAUAUACACACUGUCAUAGAACUCACAGUAAUCUGUGAUAUAUGUAUACAAUGUCCUAUAACUCACAGAAUCUGGGAUAUAAGUAUAUACUGCCAAAGGACUCACAGAAAUCCGCGAUAUAUAUAUUCACAUGGAAACUCACAGUAAUCCGAGAAAUCUGUGAUCUAUCUAGGUGGAAACUCACCGUAGUCUGUGACAUAUCUACAUGGAAAUUCACAGUAAUAUGUGAUAUAUAGACAUGGACACUCACAGUAAUUUGUGGAAUAUAUACUCAUGGAAACUCACAGUAGUCUGUGAUAUAUAGACCUGGAAAUUCACAGCAAUCUGUGAUAUAUCUACAUAUGGAAACUCACAGUAAUCUGUGAUAUAUCUACCUGAAACUCACAGAAAUCUGUGUAAAUAAACACAUGGGAAAACUACCAGUAAUCUGUGUAAAUAAACACAUGGAAAACUACCAGUAAUCUGUAUAAACAAACACAUGGAAAACUACCAGUAAUCUGUGUAAAUAAAUACAUGGGAAAACUACCAUUAAUCUGUGUAAAUAAACACAUGGCAAACUACCAGUAAUCUGUGUAAAUAAACACAUGGAAAACUACCACUAAUCUGUGUAAAUAAACACAUGGAAAACUACCAGUAAUCUGUACAAAUAAACACAUGGAAAACUAUCAGUAAUCUGUAUAAAUAAACACAUGGCAAACUACCAGUAAUCUGUACAAAUAAACACAUGGCAAACUACCAGUAAUCUGUACAAAUAAACACAUGGCAAACUACCAGUAAUCUGUACAAAUAAACACAUGGUAAACUAUCAGUAAUCUGUACAAAUAAACACAUGGCAAACUACCAGUAAUCUGUACAAAUAAACACAUGGCAAACUACCAGUAAUCUGUAUAAAUAAACACAUGGUAAACUAUCAGUAAUCUGUACAAAUAAACACAUGGCAAACUACCAGUAAUCUGUACAAAUAAACACAUGGAAAACUAUCAGUAAUGAAAAGGAAACAUUCCCCAAAGAAAAGAAAAGAGCCAGAAAGGCACAUAAAUCUCACAACCAAGCAUAAUUAAUAACAAUCAGAAAUAAAUCACACUAAAUCCCAAAGCCACCCACUAGAAGCAGGAGGCAGUGGUACUCUGACCUGUACUGAUGCGGAGCAGCAAAGAAAGAGGAAAUGAUGCAAUGGGAAGGGGGUUUUAUAGUACCUAACUUUUUUCUGAUUGGUUGUUUUUCUGUGCUGCUGUGGAGUUCUAGUAAAGAGAGACUAAAGCAAAUACAAAGCCUCCUGUCAUGUUAUAAAAUUAUGUUUUAUAUAUGAACAGUUCAUGUGAAAUUAAAGCCCAGUUUUACCUGAACAAAAUUAUAUAUAAAAAGUGUGAGUGCACUUAAAGGGACACUAUAGCCACCUGAACAACUUCAGCUUAAUGAGGUUGUUCAGGUAAGAACUAUAGCUCCCUGCAGCCUUUCUCAUGUAAACACUGUAUUUUCAGUGAAAAUACAGUGUUUACAUUGAAAGCUAGGAACACCUCCAGUUGCAGUCACGCAGAAUGCCACCAGAGGGACUUCCGAGUUGAUUGAGGCAUAAAACUCCUCAAUCCACUCAGAUCUGCUGUCAGCAGAGCACAGGGUAGCACUGUGUUUCCUCCCUCUGCAUGCAGACACUGAACUUUCCUCAUAGAGAUUCAUUGAUUCAAUUAAUCUCUAUGAGGAGAUGCUGAUUGGCCAGGGCUGUGUUUGAAUCAUGCUGGCUCUGCCUCUUUCUUAAUCUCAGCCAAUCUUAUGGGGAAGCACUGUUAUUGGAUCAGGCUACCACUUCUGAUGAUGUCAGCAGACUUUUUUUUUUUAAUUUUUUUGGCAAACAGCAUGCAGAGUUACAGCUUCUGGCUUGAAUACAAUAGGAUUUUGACUAUAUUUAUGGAAGCAUGAGGGGCCCAGGGGGGCUAGAUGGUGGUGUUAACACUAUAGGGUCAGGAAUACAUGUUCCUUUAAUAUGAAAGAGGUAAAUUAUGGUUGAACAACAUGUAGUGCAAAUUCCAGUUUUAGUUUGCGCUUUGUUUUUGAUCAAGACUUUACAAUUGGCUCAGUCCUCAAGGAGUUAAUGUGGAUAAGUGCAUGAUAAUGCAUCUUGGAUGUAAAAACCCAAGGGCAGAGUAUAGAAUAUUUGAUCAAGUCCUAACCUCAAUGUCUGAGGAAAGGGAUUUAGGGGUAAUUAUUUCAGAUGACUUAAAGGUAGGCAGACAAUGUAAUAGCGCAGCAGGAAAUGCUAGCACAAUGCUUGGUUGUAAAGGGAGAGGAAUUAACAGUAGAAAGAGGGAAGUGCUCAUGCUAUUGUACAGAACACUGGUGAGACCUCACUUGGAGUAUUGAACGCAGUAUUGGAGACUGUAUCUCCAGAAGGAUAUUGAUACUUUGGAGAGAGUUCAGAGAAGGGCUACUAAACUGGUUCAUGGAUUACAGGAUAAAACUUACGAGGAAAGGUUAAAGGAUCUUAACAUGUAUAGCUUGGCGGAAAAUCGAGACAGGGGGGAUAUGAUAGAAACAUUUAAAUACAUAAAGGGAAUCAACACAGUAAAGGAGGAGACUAUAUUUAAAAGAAGAACUACCACAACAAGAGUCUUAAAUUAGAGGGGCAAAGGUUUAAAAAUAAUAUCAGGAAGUAUUACUUUACUGAGAGGGUAGUGGAUGCAUGGAAUUGCCUUCCAGCUGAAGUGGUAGAGGUUAAUACAGUGAAGGAGUUUAAGCAUGCGUGCGAUAGGCAUAAAGAUAAGAUAAGGACAUUUAGAAAAUUGGGCACACUAGAAAUAUUCAGCUCUAUAAACAUGCAAAAUAUCUAAGGUUGUCAGACAAUGGGUUAUGUGCUUUUUUUUUUUAGGCUUAUUAGAAUGGCUUUUCAAUUGGUGCUGUAAUAAUUGAUUUCCUUAUAGUUGUGGACUUCAUUCUAAGAAUAGCUUUACCCUUGUCUUCUCUUUUUUGGUAGAAUGUUCCUCCCUUCUCUUCCCUCUAAUUGCUGUAUCUUAUCAAGCAUCCCCAUUUAGGAUACAUGUAUUUUAGUCAAAUGAGAGUUUAGUGAGUCUCUCCCUUGAUGCAAUGCUCAAUAAGAGACUAGACCCCAUGCAACUAGUAGGAUGGCUAAUUAGUUAUCUAUCCUUACAUAAUGAACUAGGUAGUUUGGGAGUCUGGCUUCUCAUUCUGCAUAAUGAUUACUGGGAUGCACUAAAACCUUAACAGCUACCCUAAUCUAAUCAGCAAAUAGGGACGCACCUCUGUUUCAGUGUUCGUUUUGGCAAUGAAUAAAUAAAGCCUAUAAACCACUGAAUAAGUUAAAGAAGGAAGAUUACCCUUUUGCCAAAUUGUAUCCAUAUCCCCCACAUCUGACUGCUGUCAGUCUUUUUUAGGAUUUAUACAUAGUUUCAUCCAAAUACCAACUUUGAGAUCUCCCCUUUGGGGAUUUCUCUAAACUUUAUCUAAAAUGUAAUUUGAAAAGGGUUAAGCCCAAGGUGGAAUUGGUACCACUUGCACUGAUAUGGAAUAUUUUCUGGAAAAGGGUAAAUGUUAUUUUUUAUUUGGAUUUGCAAUUAUUUUUUUAAAGUAAAGUACUCAUUAAGAUCUUUAGAAAUUGUUUCUGUAAUGAUCUUAUUAUAGACAAGAAGUGGAUUAAGUCUCCACAUUCAAGAUUGUUCUAAAUGGGGCAUAGUCUUGCUCAACAUAAUAUCUGUGAGAUUUUACCAAGUCUGUGUGCGACAAGAUGAUGGGUCAGGUGAUAUUAGGAAACGGUCAGUUCAGAAGUAGGAAUGGAGGGGAUGAGAAAAGAAUAAGAAGCCCUAACUAGGAGUUUGGCAAAUAAUUUAUCUAAACAAGAUGCAAGAGAUGGAAUCUCCCCCUCUGAUCCCAUGUCAAGGCACUACACUCCCCCCUAUGAUUAAAUGGGAAAAAAGAAGUGAAAGACUAGAAGGACUGAUAGGAGCUAAGACAUGGAAGGGCAGGAACAUAGAGAGCAGGAAGUCAAGCUAACAGUGCCAAUUUUAUCAGAAAUAAAAAUAAACCCGCCAUUAGGAUCAGCCUAAGAAGUAAUGUUAGUGAGGGAACAAUCGCGACCCCCUUGGUUUUAGUGUCCAAAGAGUUAUCCAUAUAACAAAGUUUAUAAUGCUAAAAAAAAAAAGAGAAGGGACGGGUAGCAGUGAAAUGGGUUUACCGGACAAGGAAAACACUGACAUGUGAUCUAUGAGCCCAACAGAGUAGACUAUGCCAAUUUUUAUGGUUAUUUAGACAUUUUGUAUUAAAAUAUUAAAGGGGAAGGACUUGUCUGCCCACAACUGGACAAACACAUUAAACAUAGGGUCCCAUAUAACCUAACUAAAAAGAAAAUCAUAUCUAAAUUAAUUUGGUGACAAUGUAGCAGAUAUGGUUUAGUAGGAUACACAUGUCCUUGCAUUUCAUUCCACAUAAAAAUGAUGUGUCACACAUGAACCUAAAACAGAGAUCACAAAAACUGGAGGAAAACAUCACCACACCAAUGGAAAAAUUUCUGGGGAUUAAUAUAUAAAACGUGACCAUGGAGGCCCUAGAGUAAAUGUCCCAGAAGGACUGCUUUUAUAGUUAGUGACAGGAAGGGGAAGCCUCCAGGUUCAGUGAGCAUUGCACCUAUUAAAACUGACACAUUCCAGAUUUAUUGGAGCUAACAACAAAUUAAUCAAUAAUUAACAAUAUCAGUGUUAUAAAGUAACAUGGACAUUAAGAAGUUUGAAUACUGCAAAAGGCAUCAUUAGCAAGCACAACAGAUCAUAAAGAAUCAUCAACAUUAAGGUACAUUAGCUCAGAGUAGAUAUGUACAAAGCUUAAUCAUUAAACAAGUAUAGGUUUUGCAAGGUGGUGCGAAUAAUUUAAAAAGAUAGAACAAUACAUUUGACAAUCAAAAAUGAAUACAGAUGAUUGGCAUUCGGUUUAAUAUGCCAAAAAAACUCAGUCACCUCUUAUUUAGUAUUUCUUUAUUUGAUGAGAUAUUAUAUUUAUGUGUAAUUUUCUCUUUGGAGCACUCACAGUAUGAGUUUACUAAGGAAAAUUAUAAAAUAAAUUUAACAUAAAAUAGUGUUCCCUUUCUUUAAUUCUUCAUUUUCUUUUACAUUCCAGACCAAAAAAAAAAAGAAUUCAAGGGUGAAGGGCUUAGAGUUUAUGUAUACAAAGUCUUGUAUGCAAUUGACAAGUAGGUUGGUGCAAAUAGUGGUAAAACAAAUUUAAUGGAAGACAUGCCUUGCUAAAAAUAUAAAAAGAGACUGGCCAAAGGUGUAGUAGAGCAAAAACCAGACGAUCAAAAAUGCCAUAUAGUAGUAAAAUAGGAUUACCCCACCAUAGUAAAUACUAUAGAUACCCCUUAAAGAAGAAAGCAAUAAGCUAUAAUUUAUGUAGCUAAGUGAAAAGCAGGGCAGUAAUUGAAAUCAUCACUGAAUAUUAGAGUGGAAGUCAUAACCCUCACAGUUAACAAAAUUGUAAAAAAAAAAAAUUUUUUUUUUUACUCAUUUUUGAAAACAGAACAGAGUUACUAAAACAGAAGAACUCCUAAUAAGGCUCUGAAGCCUUAUGUUUCAGAUUAGUCAUAUUUAAUGAGGUUCAUUGAUCAUAAUGGAAGCACCAGUAACUGUCAAAUAUAUAGUAUAUAUAGUUAAAUAACAGGUAACAUUAUCCAAUAGUGCAAUUAAUAAUCAAAAAAAUUUAUUGAACCAGAACCCACUGAAAGAUAAUUGGCAAAAUGGGGUCUAUUUAAGAAUAAAUCCUACAUUAUACUAUCAAGCAGAGAAAAGUAAACUAUAACAAAAAAUAUGGAAACAUUCAAUGAAUUUGAAUACUUAUAUAUAAGUGUUGUGUAUUUGAGAACUUUAAUUAAAAUUGUACUUUUACCAUUUUAGUUGCAACAGUUGAGACGCAGCAAUCUCCCCCAUCAUAACUGCAGAAAGCACGAUUGUUCACACCAUCACAAUAAUUGUCUCCAAUGAAAGGCUGCAAUAUUAAUGGAAAAAACACCACAUCAUUCAAUACUCAAUAUAUAGAAAAAAUAUUUAUUUUUGCAGUUUGGAGGAAGGCACUUUUGUAGAAUGUUUUAUUAUUUGUUAAAAAUUAUUUAUUAAAAGCAGAAAGUUCAAUAUAUUUCUGUGUACCAUACAUUUCAUGCAAUUUGUCAUGUAAUAAGGACUUGUACAUGAGUUAUGGCACAAGGUAAAACACAGGAUCAGUGAGAGGAGUGCAGCAUAUUUUUAACAGUGCUCAAAGGAUGUUGGCCUUAUUUCCUGUGUUAUUCCCUUUGAUCAUAACUGCAUAGUAAUGUAUAAUUUAGAACUGCGUAAAUAUCUUUAAUUCUUAGUGCGCAUGCAUAUUAAUUUGAAGUGCGUAGUUAUAGUAAAACUUAGCUUUGAGCAAGGCCCGAACAUGAAGAUACACCUGCAAGCUUGUUUUAGGUUAAGAUGUUAGGAUAAGAUAGAUGAUUUUGUUAUGAUUGGAUAAUGCUUGUAAGAGUACCCCUGUUUCCUUUUGAACAUAACCUGUUACACAGUCCAUUAAAUGUUAGAAGUCACUUUGAACCUUACUUUGUCUUAUCUCGUUCAUUGGGGCUCCUCGCCAUAUGGUUUGGGGAUAAGGAGAAGUACAGAGAGCUGCAAAUUGAUACAAAAGGCCAUGGCAAGGGAAAAGGCCUGACAGAGAAAAUUUCUCACUAUCAAUUGGGGGCUUUUGUCUGGACCCGAAAGAGAAUAGUUGGUGAGUACAUUUGAUGACAUUUGACUUUCUGUCCUUUGUCCUUUUGUCUUUUGUAACUCCCAACUACAUUUCUCUUCGGUACUGAACUUUAGAGUGGGUUGAUUGUAGGGACAACCCGGCUGUGGUGUCUGCUGUGGCAGUCGGCGUAUUAUGGCCGGGUGAAGUCUCUUCUGCAGCGUCAGAGGUGCGGUCUUCUCUGCUUAUUUAAGGAGAAGAAUUCUUCAGCAGUAACUGAGGAGAAGACCCACCGUAUGCGGUGUCAGAAGUGGGUCAGCUAAUUUUGUUUUCCAACAUAUAUCGUUUGUAUAUGUUGAUGUGUAGGUUUGGAGGGUGUAGAGUAGUUAAGGGACAAGGAUAAACCCCCUAAUCCUAUUUACUAUUCUCUCUCUUCCGAUUUCUCCAGUCUCCUAUUUCAUAAAGUAUAAGUUUGUUAAUCUGUUUUAUUGUUAAAUAUUUCUCACGAUAUCUGUGUACCUGGUCUGAUUGUUAAUUCAAUAACAUAAGCCCACUACACUUUCUAUGAGAGUGAGAUAGUGUGAUUGUUUUAUGUUGUAUACAUGAUGAGCCCAGUAUUUUCAUACUGGGACAAAAGUUAUUAGUAUUUGAAAGUUAAUUCCCCAUAUGGGAUAACUUGUAUAGAACACCAAUCACCACAUUUUCCCUGCCCUGUGUGUUUGUUGCAGAGGAUCUGUAGAAUAUUGCAUAUUCUAUGUUUCUAUUGAUUAUAUAUAUGGAUGUGUGGAUUGACAUAAGUAACAAAUGGUAUCAAUAAGUCAAAAGGCUUUCUUUGUCCGUGAGCUCUGGAAUGUGGAUUCGGGGGUCUUUUCCUUAUAUGGCUAGAGUUAAAUGCUGACGUUAGUAUUAGCACAUCUUUAUAGUAACAGAGGGACACGAGGUCGCUCGCUCUUGGCUCUGGGCUCUCUCUAGAUGUAAAGAUGUAAGGAUGCAAAAGAGGUCCAGCAAUUAUCAUCUGCUGUUGAAUGUCCAUAAUCCUGUAACAUCCUUUAUUAUGUUUUAUUAUGUAUCUGUAACUAAGAAUAAACCUGAAGAAACCGUAAGUCAGAUUGCGUAUUACUACUUUUCAAUAAUAUAGACAUAUAUUAUUGUGGCGAGCAUUUGGCCCAAGAAUAUAUAUACAAAAGACGUGUAUAUAUAUAUAUAUAUAUAUAUAUAUAUAUAUAUAUCAAUCAACUGAAGACAAGAAGAACUUAAGAGGAUUCAACAUAAACACCAUUCUAAAAUACAUUUUACAUUGGCCAGCCAGCCAGUCUUCUAUUCAAGUUUUGUUCCCACUUCAAGGGGGGAGAGAGAAGAAUCAAGUUACAAAGCUAUUUUGGAACUGGGAAAACAAACCUGAAGAGAAAAAAAAGAAUCUAGACUGUGGGUUGUAAGAAAAAGAACAUUUUCAAAUCACAAAGACUGUACAAGAUUAUUUUCUACAACUGAGACAAAAAGCACAAGAUACAACGUGAAUUCUAGAAGCAAGCACGUGGCAGAGAUUGGCAAUCAUCCAGCCCAGAACUGCGCAGCUGUGUGGAUGAAGCAACGAAAUAGACAGAAAUAACUGAUCUGGUAAAGCGUGACAGAUCCUUGUGGCAGUAAAUCAGGAAAGCAUUCCUUCAGACAACUGGACAUCGACUGUUGGAAAGAGACUUCAUCUGAUCUGCAAACUGUGAUGGAAGAUUCUACAGAGUUCAUUUGAUACAGAAGAUUAACAGACUUACAAAGAAAUAAAAGAUUGGCACUAACAUACAUAUCGAUUCCUAAAUAUUAACGAAGAAGAAAAGAGACAAUGAAAAGUUAUAUAACAGUUAUGAGUAUUAAUACCAAAAGAGAGUACUUAGAAAAUUAUGAAAGGAUAGUAUUAUGAAGAGAACUAUUACAUUAUUACCUAUACAUAGAAUGAGAAGUAUCAAAAGUAGAUAAAAUAUGAAGUUCAUAAAUUAAGGAUCAUGGUUAUUUAAUACUACAAAGAAUAAGUUCAAUAGUAUUUCAUAGAUUAACUAGAAUUAACUAGAAUAAAUAUUUUGUUUAUAUCGAGGUAGAGUAAAACAAACAAUGGUAACAUAAGGAAGAAAACUAGGGAAGGAUAAUUUAUAUUAAGUAAUGGUAUACAUUAAGAAUGCCUUGGAUAUAAGAGUUCAGAGAUCCAAGAGGAAUUGAAUUGAAUGGAAAGAGUAUAGUACACAAUUAUAUUUGACUUAAGUCUAUAAAGGUAUGGACUAGGGAGAAUAGGUUUCUGGAUAUGGUGAUAUCCAAUGAAUAAGUUGUUUUAUGAUUACCCUGAGUUUGUUAGACACAGACUAGGAAUAAGAGUUUCUGGGCAGUAUGACCCCAAGUUUAUUUUAUUUUAUUUUAGUCAGUUGAAGUGUACUAAGGAAUACGGAUUGGUCAGAACAUUAGGACAAUCCUGCUUUUAAGAUAUAUUACAUUAAUAAGUCAUCACAAUGCUAAUGAAGAGAGUGAUGCUAAUGAAUUUAAAGUAUUCUUUCCAAGUUCUUUUAAAGUAAACCAUUCUCCGAUUGAAUGGGUGGACACCAAAUGGCCGUCCACACUCCGGUGGACACGUUGGUCUGAGAGCAUACUACACAAUGAUUUCACACAAAUCCUAGUGCAAUGGUCUUCUAAACCAGGUUGCUCCACCUACAUAUCCACGAUGUAAAUAUUUGUAGAAAGAGGUGAAUUGUUAGCACGUAGCAAUGCGCUGUAACUUUGUGUAACAAUUUCAAACCAUGUAUGAAUAUACCACAAUGAAUACCUGUACAGUUGACAAUGCAUAUACCCUGCCUGUUAUUGUGAAUAUUUGCCUUACAUGACAUGAAAAAUAAAGAAUAAAAAAAAAAGGGCGGGGGGGAUUGGAACUCUGGACACUUGCUGCCUUAAUCUUGCUGUCUUGUCUCUGAGCCACACUUCAGUUCAUGUUUCUGCCUGAUGUCCUAUCGUGUUUUCUCUGCAGCACUAGGGGGCUGGACUUUACCUGUGGCUGCUACUAUCUCUCUAUGUCCACCCGAGGCAAAUAACUCAUUAUCAAGAUAUUUAAACCUGCCUCUCCAUGAGAACAUUGUCAGCUCUUUGAUUCUGGUGACCGUGUGUUGUUCCUGUUUUGUCUCCUGAUACUUGUUCUCCAGAUUUACCGUGGCUCCUGACCUCUGCUUUCCUCCUUGUUUAUCCUGACCUCUGGCAUCCUCUGACUUUGGCUUAUCCUCAGUGGAUCACAGAAGGAGCACCUUUCAUGCACAGCCCCUGUGCCCAGAUUCACAGUCCUGGUGGUUUCUAACCUUAUCAUCUUGGACUGUGUAUAUCUACAAGGGUGAGCACAAAUAUCUGUCUACCAGACUUCCACCUCAUGUAAGACCCUGACAAUCAUAUUGAAUUAGGUAUCUUUGUCUGUGACCACUUUUAGGUUAUAUUUCUUAUUUUUUCUUGUCCUUACAUAGUAGGGAACCUCAAUAUAAGUAACAAUUAUCAGUAACUAAUAAAGGUAGAUCAAAACAUGCAAAUGUAUAUAUCAAUAUAAAUAAAGCACACAGCUCUAAAAUUUCAAACAAAAAUCUAAUAGGAGAGAUGUGAAGAUCUGCUCAAAGAGGAUUACAAAUAAAAGGUACUGUAAAAUAUCUAAGUAAUAAAAGCCAAGAAGAAACAAUAAAAACAUGAAGAUUAUAAAUAAAACUGGGCAAAAAUAUAGCUAAGUAUAUAAAUGUAAUGGAAAUCUUAUAUAAAAUGCUUAAAAUAAAAAGAGACACAAUGGGAGAAAAAAAACAAAAACUGAAAAAAAAUAUAUACUACAGAUAAAAAUGGGCAAAAAUAAUAGGAAAAAGGUAAAAAAAAAUAUAAAAAUGUAUAAAAGGCAUUCAAUUCAAAGUCAAUAUUUAAACUUUUGGGUUCAAGGGUAUCCAGUUGAAAAAUCAAUUUUGCUCCAGUUUUAGCUAGUUCUUUCUCCAAAUCACCCCCUCUCCAAUGGAUGUUAACCUUUUGGAUCCCCAAAACCUAAGUCUCUAAAUUUCUUUAAUGGAAGUGAUCAAAGUUUCUUUCCCCCUUUUUUAAGAGCCAAUAGUGUGCACACUUGGGAUUGGAAGCAAUAGUGGUUAUAUACCUUUUCCCUUUCUCCCACCUCUCCCCCUUGCUUUGCUUUCACCCAACAUUUUCCAUGGCAAGCUUUUAUAAUAAUAUUAUCAUUAUUCAAUUUUAUUUUUCAAGUUUGAUGUUAUGUUAUAUUUUAUAAAUUUCUAUAUAUUGUGUAUAGGUUCUUCCCUUUUGCGAUUUCUUCAAUUUUGUAUAAAUCUAUAUAAGGAGACAUAAGGAUACCACCUUAAAAGAGAGCAGCAUUUGUGCUGGUAACAUAUAUAUAUAUAUAUAUAUAUAUAUAUAUAUAUAUUCACAAAGAUUAUACUAUUGAGCAUUGUACAAACAACGCUCAUAUAUUUCAUUUUACAGUACACACAGACUGUCAGAUUUGGGCAUUAUAUUUGUUGCACAGCUUCCAAUUCUAAAAAUGCAACUCUUUCUUGUGAGUGGUUAAAACUAAAUUUAAGAUUAUAGGGAUUUCAAUUAAGACAUUGUUUAAAAAGCUCCAAUGAUAAAAUAUCUCCACUCCAGAUAAAGAACAAUCAUCGAUAUGCCAUAGGGCCAUAGGAUUUGCAUUGAAUGGGGUGUCGGUCCAGGUGAAUUCCUCUUCCCACAUCCCUAUGAACAAAGUGGCGUAUCUUGGUGCAAAUCUAGCUCCCAUGAUAGUCCCCUCAAUUUGAAGAUACAAAUUGCAGUAUGCCUAGAAAAAAAAUGGUCAGUAUUUAUGAAUGUUAUACAAUUUAUUAAAAAAAAUCAAUUUGGUCAUUGCUUGAAUCAGAGUGACUGGCCAGGGCAUUCCGGAUGGCCUUGCAGCCCUGAAGUGCUUAAUCACUAUGUAAUGGGAUGUAACAUCGUCCUUCCAUUUUACUAUUGAUAAAAUCCUUUAUGUAUCAACAUUGUAUCACAUGUUCAUCCUCACCUUGUGGUGUCCGUAAAUGCAAAUGCCUUUCUGGCAUUAACAGAGGUGCUACUCAGCAGCCCUGUGCCAGUGUAUCUGGCUCCUGCGGCAUGUUCAAAGACGCUGGCCACUGCGGAUCCAUUCCAAUUUGUAACCCCACGUCCGCCCACGUUGUUGACGACGUUGACGUGCGUGUGACGUCACGCAACGGACGUACACACACAUUCUGGGGUCAAAGGUCGGGUAUGGCCAAUCGGAUCUGAAGGAGGCUUAUUUAAACUCCUUUUUCCUUUUCCUCAUUGCCUUGUCAUGGUUUCCCUUAGUAGGUUAUCCGAGAGUGUGUUCCUUAGCGUUUAUUUCUGGUUAUUGACUUUGGCUUCAUUUUGACUUCCCUGUAUUCUGGUAUCCUUGACUUUUGACUUUCCCUCAUUGUUGUGUUUCAUUCUGUGUCCCCGACCUUGCCAAGUAUUCUGACUAGUCUCUGGUACGUCAAGAUUGGCUAGUCUAAGGCCCGGAAGACGUUACCUUUAGUCCUAGGUGUGAUACAGUUCUGCGUGCUGGAUCAACUAGUAUCCCGACACAUUGCCCUUAUGUAUCAAAAUUUUUUUGUGAACCUUUACUACAAUACUAGUCACUAGAUGUUCCGCCACCAUUUUAGGGCCUUCCCAGACAUUGGUUUUGAGGUGCUUUGGGGUGAUCAUUGUUGGAGUGAUGUGCCUGAUGGUUUAGUUGCUUGUUGGUGCAGUCCAUGCACUUUCUUCCAAUUUUCACCAGAAGGCAGCAAAUAUUUCACCCAGCCUAGUCAGUACAUCAGGCUGACCUAUACAGGUACCACCGAGACACAAGGGCACCGCUUGUUAUAUCAGCUGUCUGUGCCUCCCCUUGCAUUCCAGCUGUAGUGGGGUAGCCUGGGGGGAGGUAACGGUCCAAUUGUCCACUGGUGAUUGCUUCUGGGCGUCUCUGAGCCGGGAGAUCACCCUCCUUACCCGCCCGGUGCAUACCAGGCUGUACACUUCAUUUAGGGGUAAGUGAGCUCCCAGCGGGUUGUGGAUCUCCUCUCUUCAUGUCCUCAAUCAUAAGGGGCAGAUUGGUUGCCAAUGGUGGCCCAGUUCAAGCCUGAGAUGGCUGUGAAAUGCUUUGUUGCUCAGUUAUGUGGGAGCUUAUAGAAAACACAGCUCUCGGCCAUGAUGGUCAGGCCCCGCCCCACCCCACCCCAUUUUAGUUUUAUUAUAAAAUUGUCAGUAAUUAUUGAGUUUAAAUGAACAUCAUAUAGUUUGGACUAGCCAUUGAAUUACAACUUCCUACAAAUUUAAGACUUGAGCAGUAUCAAUACUUCUUAAUUGUGCUGUCAAUGCUAAUAGUAUACAGCAAUUCACUGACAUCCUGAUUGAACUCAUUGGGAAAUAACAUAUAAAUGACUAUAACCCUUUCCUUAUCUCUGGGUCCCCAGGCCUGUAACUGUGUGUGUGUUACUGUGUACAACUGUGUGUAUCUGUAUGCCUGUACCUUUGUGUGCUACUGUCUGCUACAGUGUGUGACUGCCUGUAACUGUGUGUGACUGUAGCUGUGUGUGACUAUCUGCCUUUAACUUUGUGUGUCUAUCUGCCUGUACCUGUAAGUGUGUGAUUCUAACUCUGUGAUUGUCUGCCUGUAACUGUGUAUGUGUGACUGUCUGCCUGUAACUGUGCAUGUGUGUUUAUCUGUUCUAUGUUACAUUUUGUAUAUAUUGUGUAUUAAUAUUGUUUUUGUAUUUUAUUGUACCCUAAUGUAUCAAUGCAAUGUUUUGUGGACGCAGGACAUACUUGAAAACUAGAGAAAUCUCAAUGUAUAUUUCCUGGUAAAAUAUUUUAUAAAUAAAUAAAUCUGUCUGCCUGUAACUGUGUGUGUGUGUCUGUGUGUCUAUCUGCCUGUAACUCUGUGUGUGUGUGUGUAUGAUUGUCUGCAUGUAACUGUGUGUGUGUGUGUGUGUGUGUGUGUGUUACUGUACUUCUAUAGCUAUAUGUGUUUGUCACUGUCUGCCUGUAAAUGUGUGUGUGCAUGUGUAAAUGUGUGACUGUGUGUUUGACUAUAUUUCUGUAACUGUGUGUGUGACAAUGUGCCUGGGACUGUGUACAUAUGACAAAAAUUGACAAUGUAUAUGUAUAACUGUGUGAAUCCGACUGUGGGCCUGUGUGCAUGUGACUCUGAAAAAAUAUGCACCUGCAUUCACACAUGGGCCUACAUGCAUAUAUCUGAAUUAAAUACCAAUUGCACACAGCUAAUAAACCCAGCAGUAAUAUCACACAUAGCCAAUACACCUAUUACAAAUAUUACACACAGCCAACACAUAGCAUACGUAUCACAUACAGCCAUCAUGCCUAUCACACACACACAGACAACACACACAUUGCAAAAUUAUUCAACCCCCAUUGAAAAUCAGGCUUAUUGCCAAAAUGUACAGACUUUCAGCAGGUGUUUGUCAUCAAAUUCAACUGAAAUGCAACUUAAAAUUACUUCUCCAAUCUCAAAAUUAUUCAACCCCCUGAAUAGAAUCCCACAUAACUGCACAAAUAGGCAUAAUGAAAUCACAAGCUAUGGGUGUGGCAAUCAAUGGAAAUAGACUGACCUUGCGAUGCAAAAAACUCCCUUCAUGUGGGAUACAUAGACUACCUGGGAAUUAAACAGCCUAAGAAACCAUCAAAGAUAAUAGAUGUAAAUUACGUACAUCUAAUGAUAGAAUUAAAUAGGAAACUAGGGGAAUGGAAAAACCUACCUAUCUCAAGGAUGAGGGAAAUGAAUGCUAUUAAAGCAUAGAUUUUACCCAACUGGCUGUAUUGUUUAAGAUUAAUUCCAUUACAGCUUCCAAUUUACUUCGUUAAACAGUUCCAACAACUAUCUGAAAAUUUUAUAUGGUCAAAUAAAAAAAAAACAAGAAUCGCAAAGGAAAUAUUAUAUAGAAGUAGAAUGAAGGGGAGUAUGGCCUUUCCUAACCUAUUGCAAUAUAGUCGCUCUAAUACACUAAUGCACAUACAUUAUUAAUAUUAUUUUUUUAUUUAUAUAGCGCCAGCAAAUUCCCUAGUGCUGUACAAUGGGAUGUGUUAAAACUUUCUGCGUCUAGAAAUGAAGACUAGUUCUUGAGAGAACAAAAUAUGCUAGAUCUUAAAAAUAUAAUAUGGAUUAACCAAUAACUUUUAAAGAAAAGAUUAUUUCAAGCUCAGGAGAUACUUGUCCUUAAAAUAUUAUUUCAUUAUGGAACAGAAAAAAAUGGGACUGAAAGAUAAAAUAAUAAAACAAACUCCGUUAGAAAUAGUAGAACAUAAUAACCCAGAGAUGAGGGAAAUGGAUUGGUAUAGGUAUAAAAAUCUAAAAGUGAAAGCCUUUUUAUGGAAUCAAUCCUAAAAUCUUUGAACAACUUAUUUCUGAAUUCAAAAUACAACCUAAAGAUUAUUAUAUCUUGAUACGUAUUAAAUACCACGUCACAGCUCACUUGUUGGCAGCAUUAGAAAAAAUCUUUUUUCACCCUUCUAAUAAAAAUAUUAAAAAAGUCAAACCCUGCUUCAAUUAUUAGAAACAAACAGUAAAACAAGUGCACAGAUUGCUUGGACUAGAGAUCCUGGAAUUGACAUCAGGGCCGGACUGGGAAUUAAAAGCAGCCCUGGAAACAAAAAUAUUUACCNNNNNNNNNNNNNNNNNNNNNNNNNNNNNNNNNNNNNNNNNNNNNNNNNNNNNNNNNNNNNNNNNNNNNNNNNNNNNNNNNNNNNNNNNNNNNNNNNNNNAGCCCCAUAAUGCAUCGCGCCAGCAUAGUGUGCAGAUACAGAGUUAGAACAGAUAACUUAAAAUUAAAAAGUACUUCAACGUAAAAAGCGUACUCAUAGGCUUCAAAAUAAACAAAAGUGCAGAUUUAUUUUAAGCAGACGUGCCUUUUCAUGUAAUCAAUGUUUCAGUCCAACUACCUUGACAUAUUAAGGAAAGCUUGUUAAUGGGACUGAAAUGGUGAAUGUAUGUAGGGCACAACUGUAAAAAAUUUUUAUUUUGAAGUCCUGUGGGUGUGCUCUUCACUUUAAAUAUGUUAUUGUGCUGGAGUAUGCACCUAGCAACAAGACUGGGCCAAUAUCUGCUCAUUACAUAUGGUACAUAUUAAUGAAAUUUCUCUGUGUAUUAUGCAUUUAUAAAUGUACAUUAAUAUGUGUAAAUAUAAUAGAGAUAUAAAACUAAUACACACAUUAAUAUACAUGUCAUAUACUAAUGGCGGAUCCAGAGCCUGAGCCUGAGAGGGGCACUUGUAGAUUAUUUAAAGAAAUAUUCCAUGCACAAUAACCACUACUCCUCUGUGUAGUGGUUAUGGUGCCAGGAGCGUCGGCACCCCCUCCCAGAGUAAGUCGUCAAACCGUUUAAGAACAGUUUGACAACUUACCUGGAGUCUGCUGGGAUAUGGGGCUGUAGUAGGGUAUAGGAGCAGUGGUGCAAUGUGUGUGAAAGGUUCAGUGUGUGGGUGGGCAGUGUGUAAAUAUGUAUGGUGUGUGUGUGUGGGGGCAGUGUGUGAAUGUGUAUGGUGUGUGUGUAUGGGGCUAGAGUUCACUCCUACUACUGGGACGACCAGGAAGUGGUGAGAGUGAACUCUAGCCCGUAGCUCCAGGGCUAGAGUUCACCCUCGUGAGAGCCGGAGCGUUGCCCCAGGUCCUCUCUUCCUCCCCUGCCGACUGGCUGCACGGUGCCUGUGGAACGGGGAGGGAGAUCGGCCGGCAGGGGAAGGCCUUGGGGGCUUUGUGAUAUAUACUGCCCCUAUGUGUGUCUCUUUAUCUCCAGCCCCUCUGUGUGCCUUUUUGUCUCCCCCAGUCACUCUGUAUGUUUCUUUCUCCCCCUCACUGCUCCUCUGUGUCAAUGUCUCCCCUCUCCUUCCCAGUCUCUCUCUUCCCCUCUGCCUCUUUCUUCCCCUCCCCUUGUGUGUCUCUCUCUCAUUUCUCCCUCUUUGUCUCUCUCUUCCCCCUCUGCCUCUUUCACCCCCUUUCCCUGUGUCUCUUCCUCCCCAUCUCUCUCCCUCCCCCUUUCCCUAUGUCUCUCCCCUCCUCCCCCCUUUCCCUGUGUCUCUCCCCAUCUCUCUCCCUACCCCCUUUCCCUGUGUCUCUCCCCAUCUCUCUCCCCCCCUUUCCUUGUGUCUCUCCCCCCUCCUCCCCAUCUAUCUCCCCCUCCUUUCCCUGUGUCUCACCCCUUCCUCCCCAUCUCUCUCCUCCGCUUUCCCUGUGUGUCCUCUCCCCCCAUCUCUCUCCCCCCUUUCCCUGUGUCUCCUCCCCCUCCACCCCAUCUCUCUCCCUCCCCCCCUUUCCUGUGUCUCUCCCAUCUCUCCUCCCCUUUCCUGUGUCUCCCCUUUCCUGUGUCUCUCCCUCCUCCCAUCUCUCCUCCCCCCUUUCCCUGUGUCUCUCACCAUCUCUCUCCCCCCCCUUUCUCUGUGUCUCGCCCCGCUCCUUCACGGCUCCAGGCACUGCUUGUUGUGAGUGUGAGCCACUGUAAAUUAAGGGCAGAGGGCACUUGCACUGCGGUAAAGAUGGGGCUGGGCAGGAGGAGAGUGCAGUGCAAUCAGUGCACUCCCCUCCUGUGGGUCACCAGUAGACUGGUGCACCUGCCCAGGAUCAGAGCCGGUGCAAGGAUUUUUGCCGCCCUAGACAAAAUAAAAAUUUGCUGCCCCCCCAUGUGACAUCACAAUGACCCACCCAUAUGAACUAAUGCCAGUGCUGCACACAAUGUGUGUUUACAUUAAAAAGCCUGCAGGGACCAGCUAUAGACACCAGAACCACUUCAUUAAGCUAUAGUGUCCCUUUAAUGUGAGGUACAUUAUAGAUUAGUGUCACUAAUAAUAUACUAGAUUGCCUACUUACAAGCAGAUGAGGAUGAUGGCUGCAGUUUGGCUCCACUGGUCUGGUGUAGAACAGGAUCUCUGGAGGCUGUUUGCAACUGUGGUCACAAAAUUCAAUGUUCUGGGAGAAUUGGAAGCAGCUCCAUUUUUUGGGGUCUGGGCCCCAGGGCCUGACGGUGAGUAUGCCCAUAAGGCCCACUCAUAAGUUCCACCCACAUGAGUUCGCUCACAGGGAGUGGAGUGUGUAGGGGAUGUGUUAUGUGUUAUUGUAGGGGAUCUAAUAUGUGUGCUUAUGGUAUGUAGUGUAUAGGGUUACCAGUUUGUGCAGGUGAUGAGUGUGUUUGUGUGUAGUGGAAGCAGUGUGUAUUUGUGUAUAAGGGAUGUAUUAUGUGUUUCUGGUUGUGUGUAAGGGAUGCAUUGUGUGAAUCUGUGUUUGUAUGCAUAAGGGAUGCAAGUGUGUGUCUGUAUGUGUGUGCAUGAGAUGCAUUGUGUUUCUGUGUGUAUGUAAGAAAAGAAGUGUGUGUGUUUGCAUGUGUGUACGGGUUUGCAUUGUCUGUUUCUGUGUAUGUGUGCAAAGGAUGCAUUGUCUUUGUGUGUAAGGGUUGCAUUGGGUGUGUGUGUGUAAUGGAUGCAUUGUGUGUUUCUCUGUGUGUAAGGGAAGCAUGUUGUGUUUCUGUAUAUGUAUAGGGAUGCAUUGUGUGUGUGUGCGCGCGCGUAGUGUGAAAGAGCUCCCUGUCUUGGCCCCUGUCCUAUAGAGCUGCCCCUUCUGUCCCGUAGAGCUCUCCCCUGCACCUUAGUGGUCUCUCCUCUCCCCCACCCUCCCCUAGCGGUCUCUUCUCACACUCACCCACCCUCCCUGUGCUCUUCUCAUCCCCCCCUCCACCCUCCCUGUGUUCUUCUCACUCCUCCCUCUAUGUGUUCUCCUCACACCCCCUGUGUUCAUCUUACCCCCCUCUUCCCUGUGUUCUUCUUACUUCCCCCCUUGGUCGUCGUAUUCCCCCACCUGUUCUUCUUACUCCCCCACCUGUUCUUCUUACCCCCUUCUUCUUAUUGCUCCUCCUUCUUCUUCUUACUCCUCCCUCUUCUUCUUACUCCCCCCUCUUCUUCUUACUCCCCCCUCUUCUUCUUACUCCUCCUUCUUCUUCUUACUCCUCCUUCUUCUUCUUACUCCUCCUUCUUCUUCUUCUUACUCCCCACUCUUCUUCUUCUUACUCUUUUUCUUUUUUUUUUUGACAAUCUCGUGUUUAUUAGUAUUUUAGGUAAUGAAUACAGAACAGAACAUAGUACAAGAAGGAAAUCCCCGGCACUCAAUUACAUGAUGGAGACGUCUUGCGGUUGCCUCGAUGCCCGAGUGCUGCGUCCCCUUUCCCCCUCUGCUAGGACUCCCCCUCCUGCUCGCCAUCUCGUCACCUUCCACCCCCCCCCCCCCCUUACCCUCUCAACCGGCUUCUGUACAGCGAUAUAGAAUACCAGGGCCAGUAUAUGAGUAUUAGUUUGUUGCCCAUCACGCCCCCUGCUCAUUUCGCUAUGGCUAGUGUUCCUAAGGCUCUUCGCCUCAAGCUCUAUGCGUCAGGGCCUGUGCCGCAAGCCCUUCCUGAUAGCAGGUUAGUGUGGGCGUUGCGUCUGGUGCCCCCACAACCACUGCCGGUGAGUUUUAUGGAGUGGUCUCCUGUCACCUCUUGGCGGGCGCCCCCCCGAGGCUGUCCCCCUCUCCAGUCCCUCCAGUGUAUUCGUGAGUCCUAAGACCGAGUUAGAUCCAUUACACCUCGUUGUCCCCUACUCCCCCCCCUUGGCUAUGUUAUCCCACACUUCCACAGUAUCGUCCCCCCCGUCCCUAGUCCCUCGAGCUCUAGAACCACCUUGCCCACCUUCCCGCAGCGUACAGCUUAGGUCUCCCCAGCCCUCCCUCCCCUCCUCCCUUCUCUCCUCCCCCCUCCCCUUCUGUGCCUCUACACUCCGUCCUGUGUCGGGAGUGUUAACUAAUCGUCCAUCCCUGGUUAACGUGGCUCUUGUGCUAGGCUCGCGCCCAGUGUGUCCCUGUCUCGAUCCCCCCCCCCCCCCCCUCCCCCCACUCGUAGCAAGUUCCCCCCCCCGGUCACCCCUCCGCCGGUACUAUUGUCAUUUAGCACUCGUCACGCAUUGUGGGCUGGGCGGGCUCGGGACAUGUGGAGGCCGUCGCCGGUCUCCCCAGGGCAUCUCCCCCUCCGUGGCAGGCAAAACCACAAUGGAAACUAUGAAUAAAAUGCUACCCUGGGUGGGCGCAUUUGUGAAACCAAAUGCACGUAGUCGACAGAAUGGAUGGCGGCCAUUUUGUAUCCCGAACGCAGGCAGUGGUACCUGGCUGUCAAGUGCUUGGAACUGAUUUAGACUAGGCACUCCUGCGAACAGUGGUGAAGAUGGAACUGCUGCCCGUUCAAGUUCCCGACCACUUAUACGAACGGCAUUCGGGAGAUGUGAACUACCGUCGAGGGGGAGCAGUCGACGCUUGAAAGCAUUCGGAUAUUUUGUGUAGUUUUCAUAGGGAUAUCCUCGAACUGAGACCUGACAAUUCCACGAUUUAUCUGGAACUAUUUUGGGCCUCUAACUCGUGGCCGGACAGUCAAAAUGUUACGUUGAUGGCAAUUCCAAACCACUGAACCCAUCUGUAAUGGACACGGGUUUAUUAUGGUCUUAUUCAUUAGAAAUCACUUAAUACAGUUUAUUAUGUUGAGUGCCAUUUUAGAAUUGUACCAUUAGGGGGAGUAGUGAGCACCUUUUUGGAGACUUUCUUUGUCUGAGCCAUGCGGCCAAGAUGUGUGUCAGUUUGGAUAUUAAUUGUUAAAUCAUAUCUCUUCGAGUGUACAUUCUUUUUGUUUGUUUUUUGGGUAAUACUUUCAGGAGAGUGUUAUUUGACUCCCAUUGUGAUGCAUGCCACAUGUGACUAACUCCAUUUUGGAAUAGCCCAUAUGGUGAGUAGACUCCAUUUUGGAUUCAUCCUAUUUCAUUUGUACUUUGGGAGCAACAUCUAAAUUAUUAAGAUAUACCAGUUAAUACCAUAUCUGGUAUUAAUUUAGAUAUUUGGAACAAUUAAUAAAAUUCUCAGUAUAUUAGCGAUAAUUUUCCAUUUCACCAUCUGAGUGUUUUUUGGAUCUCGACUAAUGUAUGGGGGAAAAGCUAUACUAGAGAUAUUUCCCUUCACUAUUGGAUAGAGCUAUUUCACAUUGGAAACGGAAAUCCAUGGUGGCGAUAUACUGCCGGUCCGCCACAGGGGCUUCUGUUUAAAAAAAAAAAAAGCAGGUCAGAAUUGUGGUAUAUUAGGAAAUGCCAUGCCUUCCAGUUUGGCGGCUGGACACUCAAGGUCAUCCUCUUGCCCACACAAACUUCAUUAGGUGGCUAUUUACAGAUUUAAAAAAAUGUACGUGGUAGUUGUAACGGCAAGGCGCGGAAAUUAUAUUGGAGUCUAGGGAGUAGUGACAUCUUAAUUGUGACAAUUCAUUCAGUCCAGGUCAGGAACAGUGGUGUCCAACUGUGCAAUAGUCUGUGACAGUUGUUCCAAACUCUAAAACAGUUUGCUGCAUAAAGGUCUGCAGGGUUUUCGAUAAAGGUUGAGUCCUAGAUAUUCAAUAUUGUCAGUUCUUCAUUUAAAAUCAUAGGUCUGAUUAAGCAUAUAUGAAUACCAAUCAAAGGUUGCCUCUGUUUACAGAGGAGUGUGUAUAACAAAAGUGCACAAAAGAGUCAAAAAGUGAUUUACAGGCAGCUCAAUACACUAGUGUGGAAAUAUCCUCUAUUCCACUGAAUAAAUUUAGUAGAUAUUGGUGCGGUGUAAGUGACAAGGACCUACACCUAUAAGUGGAGCGCUCAAACACAGAUAAAUCUUACCAAAACGUAGUCUCAUUCAAUGGUAAAAUAUGGGGUACAUGUCAAAAUAAAAUACAGAAAAUACAAUAUAGUGUAGAUGGUACUAAAAAAUGGCUUCACAGUGAUUAUAAUAAUAUUGUGUUGAAUAUUACACUCACAUUUCAAGGAGCCUGUAUAUAGAAAACACUGGCUCCGUAUAAAGGCUUGUGUGCUGUUAUGGUAGCACCACCCUCCUACUUCGGCUUGAAGAAUUUCUCGAGAACACGAAAAAAGAGAAGAAAGCAAACCGAUGUGUAGACUUCUGGUGAUAAAUGACACAGAUAUGUGUUCAAUAAAUGAGGUGCUCACCUGGUCCUGAGCCUACGAAUCCCGGCUCUAGGUAUGUGGAUUUUGUGCCAAUUUGAAUGGGGAUGGCACUACCCCUGUGAGGAUUCCUUGGAGGCUCCAAAAAGAACUUGGAUGAGGUAUUAAAUGAAAAUGGUAAAUUUAUUACUUUAAAAUAAACAUAAAAACAAAGAUGAUAAAAGUCCUCAAAUAAAAGUCCUUUAAAAAUGGCCAAUACGCGUUUCACUCUCAAAUAGAGCUUCUUCAGUCAGCUACACUAUAUUGUAUUUUCUGUAUUUUAUUUUGACAUGUACCCCAUAUUUUACCAUUGAAUGAGACUACGUUUUGGUAAGAUUUAUCUGUGUUUGAGCGCUCCACUUAUAGGUGUAGGUCCUUGUCACUUACACCACACCAAUAUCUACUGAUUAAGCAUAUGCUUAAAGCUUGGGUUUUGCUGUCAUUUAGGGAAUAAUAAGAUACCAUGCUAUAUUGUUUAAUCAGAGUGAGUAAGGGAGGAAGAUAGUCUGUCAGAUGGGUAAGGAAUAGUAAAAUAGCAUCCGCGAAAGCGCUAAUUUUAAUAUCUCUAGCACAUACUAUCAUGCCUUGUAUACCCUGGUUUUCCUGUAUAGUUUGUGGUAAAGGCUCCAAGGCCAGUAAAUAAAGGAGUGGGGAGGGGUGGAAGGGAAGGUUGGGGAAAUAAAACCACUUCGUAGUACCCGUACUGUAGGUAAAGCAUAUAAUGCAAAUGUAUGUUUAAUAACUUAAGAGUGGAACCCAUAGGAGGUUAACAACUGUUUCAGAAAGCCAGGCAAGGCAGUCGAACACCUUCUUAGCGUCCAAUGCCAAGAGCAGACCACCCCCACUGGACCCCCAAAACUACUCAAGCACCAAUGACUGUUUUCUUGUGUUGUCUUGUCCCUGCCUUACUGCGACAAAGCCUGUUUAGUCAUCUGUGAUGAGUGAGUAGAGGAUGGGGUUUAAUCUAUUGGCAAGUAUUUUGGCAUACAUUUUAGCAUCUGUGUUGAGGAGGGAAAUAGGUCUGAAGUUUUUGCAGGAAGUGGGCAGCUUACAAGGCUUGGGGAGAGUGACUAUGGUGGCCAAUAAAAUCUCUGUGGAGAAGGAGCCAGUUUCCGAGGUCAGUUUUGGAUGAUUUCCAAGGUGGCAGCUUUUUAAUGUGUCUAGUUCCCCAGUGUCAGGAUUACUAGUGGAUCCAGCUAGCAAUUAUAUCACACCUAGGACUAAAGGUAACGUCUUACUGGGCCUUAGAAUGGCNNNNNNNNNNNNNNNNNNNNNNNNNNNNNNNNNNNNNNNNNNNNNNNNNNNNNNNNNNNNNNNNNNNNNNNNNNNNNNNNNNNNNNNNNNNNNNNNNNNNUAUGGCCCUUGGGGUGUGUGAAGAAAACCCCUGUUUUAUGGACUUACUUAGUUCGACUGUUUUAACCCCCACCCCCCAGAACACCAGUUAAACCCUUAAUACCUUGUUACAUUCAAACACUGUCUGAACCAAUAACUGUCAUAUUUUCAACCUCUGUCUGACCCUUUUAACUGUCAUUUUGUUUUCCUCAGAGCAGGAGUGGUUUUACUGCAUGAAUACUGUUGCUUUGUGUGCCAUUAAACAGACCCAGCAUUACGCCUCGGCUCAUGUGUGAGGGGUUAUGAUAUGAGUGUCUACACUCUGCCUGGAAGGAUUAUUCGCUAACUACUGGGAGAAAAGGAACCCAAGACGGUCAGAGAGGGUUGGACCGUCACACUGUGUAAAAGUGCAAGGGCCUUAUGUGUCCCAUCUGCUCCUUGUUUGCCACUGACAAAAUCCACUUGAUCAAAGUGGUUGAAUGUAGGUAGAAUAGUAGUAAGCCUGUUAGCAUAAACUUUGGCCAAUAUUUUGACAUCUGAAUUUAGUAAGGAUAUGGGUCUGAAAUUUGCACAUUUGGUUGGGGAUUUUUACCUGAUUUGGGUUAUGUGGCUACCUCUAACUAAGUAAGGUUUCUAAUGAUGUUGCAGUUGUGGGGGGAUGAUGUAGGCACACCUUUGAUAGUACACAUUCAGGAGACCAUCUGAACCAGCGAUUUGUUUGAUGGCAAAGCAGAUAUUACUUUAUCUAUGUCCUCUAUGGGUUAUUGGUUUGGCCAGUUGUGUUUUCUGGGCCGAAGUUAAGAAGGGUAGGUCUAUUUUAGAUAAAAAGACAGAGAUCUCAUCACCUGUAAGUUGGUGAUCUUGAGGGUCAUCUUUGAAAUUAUAAAGCUUGCUAUAGAACUCUGUGAAUGUGUUACUUAUGCCUUGAGGUUUCAUAAUUUAACGUCAACCUAUAAGUCAACAUUAUUGGGACAUGAUGUGACCAGAUAAUUGUCCCCUAUGGUACAGGAGGUAAAUUGCUUUAAAGAGGACCCUAGUAAAAGAAUGACGUCUAUUCUUGAGUAUGUCCUAUUGGGUAUGUAAGUAGCAUUAAUAGCAUCUAUGUGAGUAGCAUGAAUAGCAGUCAUAAGUUAAAUUGGAGCAAUAAGUUUGUUAAUUCUUUUUUAUUGGGACUUGAGUGACCUGUAACUAUGGGAAUGUUUCGGCGUGAAUGCAUCUAAGCUAGGGUCCAGAACAUGGUUUAAAUCACUGUUGCGGACCCAAGGUAACCCGACUGGUUACCUCUGCUAAUUCCCUUCCUUCAACUGGUCCGGAACCACUUAUAUGGUAAAGAGACCCAUUUCCCCCUCAGUAACUGGAGAAGACCUAGUCCUGGAUGUACAACACAAUUUUAUUGGCCACACAGGGCUUUUAUGCAUACCCCGUGCAAGGGGUGGACCACACACACAUACAAAGACACAUCCCACAUUCUAGGCUCCAUUUGUGAGGGACUGAGGCGAGGAAAGCAUCUCCUUUCAGGGUACGAAUGCUCCCCCUGGAUGGCGUUUGUCUGUUUGAAUGGUGGGCACCCAUUGGAGCAUUGCGUAAUAAUUACUUCCCUUGCUGUUUCACACCUAUGUUGCUGGUGCGAGCAUUCUGAUUUAGUGUGAAUGUUCUAAUGGGGCACCGAGGAGUCCCUCUUUUGGGAUACAAAUGAGUCAGGAAACAAUCCACAAAUGCUCCCCCUGGUGGAGUUCGCCUGUCUGAAUGGCACCCACCCAGGGAAGCACUCAUUAAUUGUGUCCCUUGCGGUUUGCGGUUUUGACACUUAUGUUGCGAGGUGAUUGGGAGGUGUGAACAUUCUAUACUAAUAUUCUAAAUGAGGUAUUGGGGUGGUCCCUGUUCAGGAGGUGAAUGAAUUCCCUUCAUGGAAGCACUACCGAACAGGGAAUGGGCACAAUAAAUGAAAUACAGAGAAAACACACAUAUUACAAGCGGGAACAAAACGAACCGGCAGCGGUUCCGCCACAAUCACCACAAGUGGUGGAGGUUAACACAGUAAAGGAGUUUAAGCAUGUGUGGGAUAGGCAUAAGGCUAUCCUAACUAUAAGAUAAGGCUAGGGACUAAUGAAAGUAUUUAGAAAAUUGGGCAGACUAGAUGGGCCGAAUGGUUCUUAUCUGCCGUCACAUUCUAUGUUUCUAUGUUUCUAACUGAUAGUUGUCCAGCAUUGGCAGCUGGUUAAGCUGCCACAAUGUGCAAAAAAAAUUACCAACAUGUACAUAACAUUGUUCAUAAAACACAUAAGCAGAGUGAAACCAUAUAGGGAAGUGUUUCAUGCCAAAUUGAGGGAUCUUAGCUUUAGGGAAAUGAGUCUCCUGAAAACGUAAAACAUCAGUUGCACGUUUCCAUGCUUCAUUUAUCUUCCUUACCAUGUGCUUUUUAUGGGGCAUAUUAAGCCUGUGCGCAUUAUGAGAAUGGAUUUUCAGUGUGGUAGCAUAGUAUUUACUGUCUGAGUGAUUCAUCUAAAAGGUAGACCAUAGUGCUAGGACCACAGAUUUGUAAGUUUUAAGUUUUAUACUGGUAGUACAAAGGGUAUACAGAAAUUGUGGCUUUAGUGGCCUGGAUGUGUUAAUGAUUUGUCCCUUGGGGAUAUGGCUGGGAUUUACGUGAGGAAAUAAGGAAAGAAUAGGUCGGCACCAAGACAUAAGGAGAAUCAUAAAAUAAAGUAUAUACAAUGGAACCCGAGUACAGGACAAAGAAUUUGUACCCUGAGGAGCAUUGGGGAUAUCGGAGCCGAUGUCAAUACAGGUGGCCUGUGCUGGCUUUUUUUAGUAUGGUGCCAGUUAAAAAAAAAAUAAAAAAAUAAAAAAUAUAUAUAUCAUUAUAUUGUUCACGAAACCAACGUGUGAUAAAAUACUAGAAAUAUAAACAUAAUGCACCCUGUUAUCCUAAGGUGACAUUCCCUGGGCACAACAAACAUAAAAGGAAUAAUGCUCACAUAAAACAUAAGAAAAGUGUUCUAAACACUCACUAAGUGAAUUUGCAGCUUAACUUUUAACCUUCAAAUAAAACUGUACAAUUGCAGAAUGUUCACUUGGAAUCUUGGGCAGGGGACCAUUCCUUGUCCAGUUGUUUUGGUGACUGCAGGUGCGGUGCUCCAUCUGACAAUUUCAGGUUCCAUUGUUGUAAGAACCGGAAACUAUCCGCAACGAUCUGAACAACAGAUGUUGUCCCAUUCCUCGAGAUGAUCAGGUGAGUUGGGAAGCCCCAGUGAUAUAUUAUAUGUUGCUUCUGUAGGGUCUCCAUGAUGUGUUGCUACGUUUUCCGCUGUCGCAGUGUGACUUCUGAAAGAUCAGAGAAUAUCUGAAUUCCAGUAAAUUCGGCUGGGAGGUCUUUUACCGUUCGGCUCCUUCGUAAAUGAGCUCUUUAACGUGGAAGGAGUGUGUCUUCAAUAAUACAUCUCUCGGCAGGGAGACAGAAAUAUAGUCUCCACGUGUACCGUGAGGGUACCCAGAUCUUGUAAGUCCCUUUUGAUUUCGGCCACAUUUGUUUGCCAGAUAGCUAUAAAAUUGUUGGAUUGUUGCUCCAAUGCCUUCUGUAGGAAGGAGGUCAUGAGGGAUUCUGCCUCAGAAGUCACUUUCAGAUCUGAAUGAGGACUUCUGGUUGGGGGUCGGUGUCAUCUUGAAGGCCUAACUCUGUGGUCCGUGGAGAUGUGGUUCGUUUUUUUUUCUGGCUUGUGAGGGUAACUCAUUUUAUAGCUACACUGUUUUUUGCAUUGUCCUAGAGCACUUCUUUAAAUUUAGUUUACACUAUAGUUAUGUAUAUAAACAAACCUGUUGUAGGAUUAUUGCAGUUGAUGGCACAUUCUAUAUAGAGUGUUACAAGAAUUAAACAAUAGGCUGAUGGCUAGCCUAGCUUNNNNNNNNNNNNNNNNNNNNNNNNNNNNNNNNNNNNNNNNNNNNNNNNNNNNNNNNNNNNNNNNNNNNNNNNNNNNNNNNNNNNNNNNNNNNNNNNNNNNGAGGGGAGUAAGUGAAGGAGGGGGGAGUGGGUGAUGGGGGGUGUAAAUGAAGGAGGGGAGUAAGCGGGGAGAAAGAAGAUGGGGGGAGUAAGGAAGGAGGGGAGUAACAGAAGGAGGAGGAGGGGGAGUAAGAAGAAGAAGGGGUAUGAAAAACGGGGGGUAAGAAGAACAAGAGGAGGAGGGGGGGAAAGUAAGAGUGAGGAGAAGGGGGGACUGAGAAGAACACAGGGAGGGUGGGUGGUGAGGAGAACACAGGGUGGGGGAGGUGAGGAGGACACAGGGAGGAGAGGACACUACGUGCACACACACACACAAUGCAUCCCUAUACACACACAGAAACACAACAUGCAUCCCUACACACACAGAAACACAACAUGCUUCCCUUACACACAAAGACACUCAAUGCAACACGUACACACACAAAGACAAUGCAUCCUUUGCACACAUACACAGAAACACAUAAUGCAAACACUUACACACACACUGCGUUUCUUACAUACACACAGAAACACAAUGCAUCACUAACACACACUCAAUGCACAUACUUACAGACACACACCUUGCAUCCCUUAUGCAUACAAACACAGAUUCACACAAUGCAUCCCUUACACACAACCAGAAACACACAAUACAUCCCUUAUACACAAAUACACACUGCUUCCACUACACACACACUGCAUCACCUGCACAAACUGAUAUCCCUAUACACUACAUACCAUAAUCACACAUAUUAGAUCCUCUACAAUAACACAUAACAUAUCCCCUACACACUCCACUCCCUGUGAGCGAACUCAUGGGUGGGUGGAACAUAUAAGUGGACUUAUGAGUGGGCCUUGUGGGCAUACUCACCGUCAGGCCCUGGGGCCCAGACCUUGAGCUGUGUAAGGGGCCCCCCAAAAAAUGGAGCUGCUUCCAAUUCUCCCAGAACAUUGAAUUUUGUGACCACUGUUGCAAACAGCCUCAAGAGAUCCUGUUCUACACCAGACCAGUGGAGCCAAACUGCAGCCCAUCAUCAUCCUCAUUUGGUUGUAAGUAGGCAAUCUAGUAUAUUAUUAGUGACACUAAUCUAUAAUUUACAUUACAUUAAAGGGACACUAUAGUCCCCAGAACGACUGGAGCUUAAUGAAGUGGUUCUGGUGUCUAUAGCCGGUCCCUGCAGGCUUUUUAAUGUAAACACACACUGUGGGCAGCACUGGCGUUAGUUCGUAUGGCAGCUCAUAUAGGUGGGGCAUUGUGAUGUCACAUGGGGGGCGGCAAAUAUAGCUGUUCCCCAUGCAGCCACAGGUGCCACUGUGCUGGGAGAUUGUGAUUACUCUUCACUUCCUCCCAGCUUACAGAGCAGCGCAUGGAAGAGAGAGAGGAGCAUGAUUUAAUCUUACAACAAAUCCAGUAAGCAAAUCUUUAUAAAUUUGGGUGGGAUCAGCUCUGUUUCCACAGUUUAUUUGUAUUUAAUCUGAUGUCUGUAUUAAUAUUGAGGGAUUUCUAAGUAGUAACAUCAGUGUGUGUCAGCAGGGCCAGCCGUUGGGGUGUACACACUGUGCGGUCAUGCAGGGUGCCAUCACAACAGAGGCGCCCGGCGGACAACACAGCUCACAAAUUGGGGACACCAGCCUAUUCAAUUUAAACGAUUCGCUGGUGGUCCACUGGUGCACACCAGCAGUAGGUGCAGUCAGAUUAUAGCCUCUCCCUCGUGGUUCCGGCGCUCAGUUAGUGAGUCAGAGCACACGCUCAGAGAUUCUCAGCCUGCGCUCUGACAACAUUGAAAGUCAGAGCCGUGAAGGAGUGGGUAUGGCAAAGAGCUACUGAUUAGCAUAACAUCAAUAUCCGUUAUAAAACCAGAAAAAGGUGGGCAUGGAUGGUGAACUGAUUUAGUGGUGCAAUGGGCCACUUGACUGGUUUUGCCCCCCCAGGCCUAAGGCUGCCAGCCCUCCCCUGUUUGGGCCCGCUUAAAGGUCUGUGAGUAAUCUGGGGUAAGAUUAUCUUGUAGCAAAUUGAUUAACAUUCCUCUCAUGUCAUGAAAGAAUGGGUGGCAACAUACCUCUCUCCAGCACUUCCGAAACCUUCUGGCAAAAGUGCUGGAACUCUCAACUGGCUUUUGUUUGCAAGCCAGGCCUGGUGCCAUGCUUUGCUUAUCACCCUUUUCUCCACUAAAAAAGAAAAAUCUUGCAAUUCCUUUCACAUAUUCUCAAGGUCCAUAUUACUUAGUAUGUGGUCUUUGUGCAAGACUUCCUGACUGGAAUCUAUUAUAUUCUGUUACUGUCUUCCAACCUGUAUUAUCAGUGCCCAUAGUAAGGUUCAGCAACAUGACAUAGCCAGAGGGGAGCAGGAAAUAUUCUGCAGUGGCCCUCUUUGAGAUAUGUAAUGUCUGCAGUGGACUGUUUGACUGGGUCUGCGCAACCUCUAGCCCAAGUUGUCAUCUGAUUCAUGUCUGGGGGUUUAACAACUACCUAACUCCCUACAAGCAUAUUGUUCUUUCACUCCUGCCUCAAUCUUUACCCUUUUAUUUCUAAUUCUCAGAUCAUAUUUCCUUACUCCUCAUCUUUACUAAAAGCAAUAUCCUUCAAAUUUUGAUACAUCCCCUAUGAUGCCUUGACUUUAGAGUGAGUAUGGGUGCUUGGUCAUUCUGAGCUCCUGUAGACAAACAGUAAGGGUGGGGGGGGAGAAGAGGGGCUGACACACAAGCAGGGCCGGCGCUACCUGUAAGGCGACCUAGGCAGCCGCCUAGGGCACACCUUAGCAGGGAGCGCCGGAUCCCUGCACCUGGAAUCACCGCUGCGGCUCCAACACGCUUUUACAAGCCUCAGGCGGCGCAGCACUGCUGUAUGGAGGGCGGCCGGAUUUGAGUGACCCCUUCAGAGCGCUCCCUCCUUCCGGUCUCUCAAUGUAGCGUGGUCAGGUGGCGCGGAAUGCGGGACAGGAACCUCUGUUUCCUGUACCCGGCCGCCGGCGGACUGACAGGAGGGAAGUGGAGGGUAAGGACCACAAGGGGAGGGGAGGGGGAGUAAGGGCCACAGGGAGGAGUAAGGGCCACAGGGGGAGGAGAGGGGGGGGGGUAAGGACCACUGGGGACGAAGGGGAGGCGACCACUGGGGAGGAGGGGAAGUAAGGACCACAGGGGAGGGGGAGUAAGGACCACUGGGGAGGAGAGGGAUGGGGAGUAAGGGCCACUGGGGAGGAGGGGGAAAGGACCACUGGGGAAGGAGGGCAGAGGGGGAAAAGGACCACUGGGGAGGAGGGGGGAAGGUCCACAGGGGAGUAAGGACCACUGGGGAGGAGAGGGAUGGGGUAGUUAGGACCACUGGGGAGGAGAGGGAUGGGGAGUAAGGACCACUGGAGGAGGAAGGGGGAAAGGACCACUGGGGGAGGAAGUAAAGAACCACUGGGGGAGGAAGGAGGGAGUAAGGACCACUGGGGAAGGGGGUUGAAGGAACACAGGGGGGGGGUGGGGAGUAAGGACCACUGAGGGAGGGGAGGUAAGGGCCACUGAGGGAGGAGGGGAGGUCCACUUAGGGGUUUGGAAGAGGGAGGACCACUAAGGGGGGAAAGGACCACCAAAGGGGGGUAAGUAGGGAGGACCACUAAGGAGAGGGGAGGAGGGUAAGGGGGGGAUUACCACUAAGGGGGUGGGGGGAGGAGGGGAAUGUCUACUAAGGGGUUUGGCAGAGGGAGGACCACUAUGGGGAGUGAUGGAGGACCACUAAGGGGGAGAGGGGUGAGAAGACCAUCAAGGGGGGAUUACAGGGGGCCAAGGGAGAGCACUAAGGGACAGAAGGGGAGAACACGGAGGGACAGGAGGGAAGGGGAUAUCAAUAAUUGACAGGAGGGGAGAGCACUAUGAAAAAAAAAUAAUAAAAAAGAGCUGCUCCCCUCUCAGUCUCUAUCCUACCCCACAAACCCUCUCUUUUACACUACACACAUACACAAUGCAUCCCCCCCACACACAGAAACAUACAAUGCAUUCCUACUCACACACAGACACACCCGAAACACACAAUGCAUCCCUUACGUUCACACAAACACUCAUUCUCUUACACACAGAAACAAAAUGCAUCUCUUACACAAUCAAUGCACCCCUUACAGACACACACUGCAUUCAAUUAAAUACACAGAAACACACCUUGCACCACUUAUACACACACACACACACACAGAAACAUACAAUGCAUUCCUUACACUCAAACACACACUGCAUCCCCUAUAAACACACUACAUCCCUUACAGAAAUUGGUAUCCCUAUACAAUACAUUCUAUAAGAACACACACACAUUGCAUCCACUACAAUAACACAUAAAACAUCCCCUACACACAUACACUGCACUUCCUGUGAGAGAACUCAUGGGUGGGCCAUGUAGCUGGAUUUAUGGGUGGGCAUUGUAGGCAUACUCACGGUCAAGCCCUGGGGGCCCAGACCUUGAGCUGUGUAAGGGGCCCUAAAAAAUGGAGCUGCUUCAUGUUCGUUAAUUGUUGUCUGCACUGUUAAAAACAGUCUCCAGAGAGCCUCUUCUACACCAGACCUGUGGAGCCAGACAGAGCCCAUCAUCAGCUUCUUGUCCUCAUCUGGUGGUAAGUAGGCAAUCCAAUAUAUUAUUAGUGGUACUAAUAUCUAAUUUACCUCACAUUAAAUAGAUACUAUAGUCACCAGAAGCACUACAGCAUAAUGCAGUGGUUCUGGUAUCUAUAGCCUGUGCCUGUAGGCUUUUUAAUGUAAACACACUGUCUUUUCAGAUAAAAGACACUUUGUGAAGACUGGCGUUGGCCCAUAUGGCAGAUCAUAUGGGCGGGGCAUUGUGAUGUCACAUGGUGGGCAGGACAUAUAGGGCAGCAAAAAUCCUUGCACCGGCCCUGCACACAAGCUAGUGUCUGCUGCUUUUCCUCAUCCCUGUGCCAGUAUGGGGCUAAGGUUUACAUUAAUAAUCCCUAGCUAAUCUUUCUACAAAAGCUUUAGGUGUUUCCCCUGGUUUGUUGUUGGAUUACCCUUAUUUAAUUUAAAAAAAAAAUAAAAAAUUCACGUCUCUUUUUUAUUGAAAAGUUUUCAGAGGUAUAAGAACAAUACAUAUGACAAGAUACAUAACAAUAGUGCAUGAUAUUCGUGACACACUGCUCAUGCAGCGGUGGAGUCAUCGAUAACAUUAACAUCGUAGCAUAAUGACUACCAUAAAAAAGUAUAGUAUUAGUAUAUACAGCGGUGCCAUAACUGUGCUCGAAUCGCCCUCUGUUCCAAUGGUGACACAUGUAUUAAUAAGGGAACAGAGUGCUAUACAUUUGUUCAUUUCUGUACAUACACAGUGUAAUUAGUCAUAGCAUAUAGUGUUAACACACGCCUCUGGAUCUUAAGUAAUACUGCCUGUUCUAGUAUCUUAUCUGUUUAGUUCAGNNNNNNNNNNNNNNNNNNNNNNNNNNNNNNNNNNNNNNNNNNNNNNNNNNNNNNNNNNNNNNNNNNNNNNNNNNNNNNNNNNNNNNNNNNNNNNNNNNNNGAACUUAACCUCUAAUUCCUGAUUUUCACUUAGCCAUUAUGGACACCUGUUUAUCUCUCUCCAGUGUGUAGCCCUAAACUGCUUGCUCAACCCAUUAUCUUGUCUAUGCAUAAAUUGUACCCUUGCAGGAUGAGCUGUAGAGAUUUCUAAAAUCAUGCACUGUAAGAAGGGAGACUGGGUUGAUAACUGAAUACUGGUUGGAAUGAGAUUGUGACUUGUGUCAGUUUGCAUAUAACUUUUUUUAAAUUAACCCAAAAGUGUGAUAUAGUGGGGCAGUCCCAGAAUAUAUGUUUCAACAUACCUGUUGAAUUCUGGCAUCUCCAACAAGCUGGUGAUGUGGCCCUGUAUAUUUUGGCUAACCUGGAGGGAACCUGUAACGGAGCUCCCUGUACUCCGAACGAGUACCCUCCGUUGAUGGAUGCUCCUAGCGAUUCCUGAGGACUCCAAACACUGCAGCAGACAACACAACCACCGCAGACUCCACAACCGCCGUAGCUUAACUGGAGUCUCGCUGUCUUCCUUCCACCCUGGAUCAGCUUCUGUCCUCCAGGACCGUGUGGGGAAGACCUCUCCUCCAGGAGAGCGUAACAGGAACAGCUCUUAAAAGAGCUAAGUGAUUAAAAGCUCAGGGGAAUAUGCAGAGCAUAGCAAUCCCCAGUGUGAUAAAGCAGUUCCCUCCAAUAACAAGACAAGGCUACGUAUUGAGGGUCAAGAAGAUCUGUUUACUUGGCACCAAAGGGCCUUCUUUUAUGCAGGUUUCCCCGAGAUAGGACCACCCACAGGGGUUUACAGAAUAACCAAUCAUAAACGUACAUUACAGAAACACUCCCAGCAAUUACACACAAAAAUCCUCCCCUCUGCCUGUGAUCUAAUUAUGGCACACAAUGGGUUAACAUAAUUAAACACAGGCAGUAAAAAUACAGUUUUUAUACAUGUGCUAUAACUUUCAAACUACACAUCCAAUCUUCAUAAAAAAAUUGCAUAUUUAGAAUCAAUCCAUUCAGGGGAGCAACAUAUUAAAAAAUUGCACAAAUCAGACAAGGGGUUCAAAAGUUAGCAAAAGUGUAUUUUGGGGCCUGGCUGGCAGCAUGGUUUUCUGGCCCAAACCGGUUUUACAGAGGCCUCUAUCCUGGACAAUGGGGAAAAUAAUCCAAUUAUCCAGGGAUAGAGGCAGACUCCAUUAACCACAUGUUAGCAAAAGACACAAAAAGACACAAAAAUACAUAACUCCUAUUGAACUGAACAGAACCCCCACAUUCAACCUAUCCCCAGAUGGCUUGGAUCUGAGCGCUCAAUAUAUCCAAACAGCGCUCAGAUCCCACAAAUACAGUCAAAUCGCCAUACCCACUAGGUCCAUAGUCAUGGGGCAGAAGGCUGGCAAUUAGGCUUCUCCAUAACACAGGGAAGCAGGGCAAUUUGUCAAAUAAAAUAACAGUUACAAAUGGCAGUCUGUAACAGAACUAAAUACCAGCUCAUUACUAUCUUACAAUAUGCCUCUCAAUGGAGUAAGUCACUGGAGGCUGCAUUAGUGGCCUGUAUGGCCUUUAGCCAAAUUGGGAUGUGGAAUGAGAUGUCUAGGUCUGUCUCCCAUUGGAGCAUAUAUGGAAGUUUGCAAGUGGCAUCUGCAUUGUGUAAAGCAUCGUAACACAGUGACAGUAGUUUGGUAGGUGGCUUUUUACCAUUACAGCAUUGGCAAAAUGGUGUCAUUUUGGAAUCUUCACCUAAUUGGAUCUGGAUUUUCGUGAGGGUAUGCUUCACCCUGAGUGAAGUCAUUAUUUUCCUUGAGGGCAGGGAGAAUUCUAUUUGCAUGGACUGAAGGGGUUUUAGGUAAAACAGAAGGUAGGUGCAGCGCCUAAAUAGUCCUUAUAUGGGAGUAUAUGACAACAAGAAAAAAACAGAAGGAAUGUGUGAACAGGAGUAUAUAAAAAAUAUAAUAAACAUAAAUAUGAGAAAAAAAUGUGCACUCAAACUUUUUAGGAGCUUCAGUACAGCUCCAACUUUUGCGCCUGGGCAGAAUGAUCCCCGCCUAAGGAUAAAGAGCAGUGCUGAUUCUUCGUAUAUUCGUGGUUUUACAAGGUAUCCUCAUAAAACCAUAAUAUAGUGUAGUAUGUUUGGGCUAUGGAGCAGGGGUAGGUAUGAAUAUAAAGUGCGCACUCACAUGUAAUGGAGCUGUGAAUAUGGCUCCAAAUUAGAGUAUGAAGUGGUAUGAUCCCCACUCAAGGAUACACACACUACACCACACUUUAGGUCGCACUGUUCUAAAUCUGAAGGUUGUCUGACAAAAGCUGUUUUUAUUCUGUGUAUGUAUGUAUUCGGGUAUUGCUGUAAUUGAGAUCAUUCAUAUGCUAACAGCCGAAAGCCGCUAGCAUUCAUAUGGUAGUUUCACGAACAGUGACUUUACUCACUGUUCGUGAAACGAAUAAAGUACCGAAUGGGAGCCCACACACAUAGGGUCGUGUGGCUCCCAUUAACCGAUUGCAACAGUGUAGCAAUCGGCGGUUAAUUACUUUCCCGGGUGGCCGUCGUUUGGCUACCGACCAUGCGGUGGUCGGCCAUCUUGGAUCCUUUGUUAGCCCAGCGGUGUUUGGUCGCUGAGUGCCUGGAACCAAAAUCGGCUACUUGACGGUGCGAACACCGCUGGACUUCCAGGCCGUUCGGGAGCACCGGUCCUUCGGUAUUUUAUUCCCCAUUAAAUAUAUGGGGAACUUUUUAGAGGAAUGUAUAGUAAAGUAUGUUUCGUGCGGCGUUCGGUUAUUUAUGCUGGGAUCUGAGUGGUACUUUCACAAAAUCCUAUGUAUAAUAUUAAAGUUAUGCAUUUUUAUGUAAAAAGUCAGUUCUGCUGUACUGAGGGAUAAUCCACGUAACAGGAUAUUCUAGUGGGAGUAUCCCUCUCGUACAGCAGUGCAUGGUGGGAGAAAUGUCCUGUAUAUUCAGUUCCCCAUGUAGUCCUCUAAUCUAUAACCCCUGUAAAGUGACUAAGGAAACCACUUGCAUGGGGAAUCACGUAAAUACUGGAGCUGUGAAUAAAAUAGUCAGUUGACUCCCAGAACUGUGUUUUUGUCCGGUUACUGGGGGAUUUGGGAUAUUGCCUUCAUUUCCAGUGCUUCACUUGGAUUAUUAUCUGUACCAGCAGAGAUAUUGUGUUUUAACUUUGCAGCUCCGCUACAACCCACAAACUGUAUAAUCUAUAUACACAAUAUACCCUUUGUUCCUAAACACACCACCACCUAUGCACACAUUCUAUACCCCCGCCACACACACUACACCCCAUGUGCACACACAAGCACGUUGUACCUCUAUAAAUAAACACUACUGCCCUAUACCCACACUACAGCCCAUAUACACACUACAGUUUCUAACACAAUGCAACCUCUAUGCAUACAUACACUCCACACAGCCAUUCUGGGUGCUAGGCAGUACUCUCAUAAUAUAUGUGUAAGAGCCACACAGUCAGGGGUAGAGGAUUGAUUGUGAGGAGUGUGAAGGGAAGCAGCAAAAUUAAUAUUUUGCCUGUGCAGCCAAAAGAUCCUUCCACACGGAAGGGGGUCAAUGAUCUCNNNNNNNNNNNNNNNNNNNNNNNNNNNNNNNNNNNNNNNNNNNNNNNNNNNNNNNNNNNNNNNNNNNNNNNNNNNNNNNNNNNNNNNNNNNNNNNNNNNNUAAUUCUUGCAGGUGGUAUAGCUGCCCAUUCAUCUUGGACCCUCCAGGUCAUGCAGAGUCUUUGGUCAUCUUUUGCAUGAACCUCACAUUUGAGAUCUCCCCAGAGUGGCUUGAUGAUAUUAAGGUCAGGAGACUGUGAUGGCCACUCCAGAACCCUAACCUUUUUCUGCUGUAACCACUGGAGGGUCAACUUGGCCUUGUGCUUAGGGUCAUGUUAUUUCUGUGCUUAAUUGGGCAGACUAGAUGGGCCGAAUGGUUCUUAUCUGCCGUCACAUUCUAUGUUUCUAUGUUUCUAUGUCAUUGUCAUGCUGGAAAGAGCAUCCCAUGCCUUUGUGCAGAAGAAUGCAAAUUGCCUGCCAGUAUAUUCUGAUGCAUUCAUCAUGCCAUCAAUUUUCACAAGAUUCCCCGUGCUUUUAAAGCGCGCACACCCCUAAAACAUCAGUGAGCCACCACCAUGCUUCUCAGUGGGGAUGGUAUUCUUUUCACUAUAGGCCUUGUUGGUCCCUCUCCAAACAUAGCGCUUAUGUUUGUGACCAUAAAGCUCUGUUUUGGUCUUGUCACUCCAAAUUACAGUGUGCCAGGAGCUGUGAGGCAUGUCAAGGUGUUCUCGGGCAUAUUGCAACUGGGCUUUUUAGUGGCAUUGGCGCAGUAAAAGCGUCUUUCUGGCAACUCAGCCAUGCAGCUCAUUUUUGUUCAAGUAUCUUCAUAUUGUGCUCCUUGAAACAACCACACCAUCUUUUUCUAGAGCAGCCUGUAUUUCUCCUGAGGUUACCUGUGGGUUUUUCUUUGUAUCCCGAACAAUUCUUCUGGCAGUUGUGCCUGCAAUUUUUCUUAAUCUACCUGACCUUGGCUUGGUAUCUAAAGUUCCCAGAAUUUUCCACUUCUUAAUAAGUGAUUGAACAGUACUCACCGUGUCAGGUCCCCUGCCCCUGUGCUGCUCACAGCGAUCUUGCUUACCUCAUCUGGUCCCUGUCUCCAGAUUGGCAGUGUGCCUGACACUACACGCUCCAGAGCAGCUUCCUUAUAUGUGUGCUGCACCUGGUCAUGUGACCCAGCACACAGUGAUGACCUCAGAGACCACAAGGGAGGGAAGAAACUCCUUCCACGUGUUGUGGUUAACACUAAUUGGAGAUUAGCCAAUCAGACACAUCCUAUGUGUAUAUAAGCUAACCUCUCCCUUGCUGUUGUGGUCUUUGGUUUACCAUUGAGCGUUGCACUUAUUUGGAUUUCCUGGUUACUGAUAUUUGACUUAGUCUCUGGUUAUUCCAUCUCUCUGUUUCCGUUGACCUCGGCUCGUGGUUUGACUAUCCCUUUUUGCAUAAUCCGACCAUUCUAAGGAUCGGUAUUGCAAUUCUCUCUACUCUGUCCUGUCUGUGUGUUUGGGUUCCAUAGUGAACGUUACAUUACAACAGGGCCUAAUGUACCCAGCAGACAUCAUGCAGCAGUUAGCUGUUCAGAAUUCCAAGCUGGAGGAACAAGACCACCACUUGGAUCAGUUCGCACAAGCGUUACAGACUAUUCUGCAGUGCACCGCUCACCUCCAACCGGGGGCACAACAAACCAAUCCACCGGUCCCUGUUAGCAUACCUGUACAGGAAGUACCUGUACAGAUAGUUCCUCUCACUUGGUACACAUGACACCACCCCAAAGGUAUAGUGGUGAUCCUGCCCUUUGUCAUGGGUUUCUGUACCAUGUUGAUAUACACAUGGUUAUGAACCCAUGCUCCUUUCCUACUGACAGGACAAAAAUAGCCUUUGCCAUUAAUCAUCUCUGGCAGGGCUUUAGAAUGGGCAAAUCAUAUAUGGGAAUCUGCUCCCAACAUCACCUAUGCUGAUUUCCUGUCGUCCUUUCGGAGAACGUUUGACAUGCCUGGUAGGAUAGCUUCCGCUGGGAAAGCCUUGUUACCCAUCAAACAAUGUUCCAGAACAGUGGUAGACUAUUCCAUAGAACUCCAUACUCUAAUGGCGGAAGUGGCAUGGAAUAACGAUUCUCUGGUAACAUCUUUUCAGGUAGGAUUAGCCGAUUACCUACUCGAUGAGAUAGCAUCCAGAGAGGUACCCAUUUUAUUAGAUGAUCUCAUCGACUAUUGCAAUUGUUAUAGACAAUCGCAGUAGACAAAGAUGCUCUAAGCGACAGUCUUAUAACUGGAUGCAGGUUCAAACCUUGCCCACCUUGCCCUAUGCUUCUGUACCUGCUUUGCCUCCCUGUAGUCCACCACAAGAACCUAUGCAAUUAGGAACCACUAAGUUACCUGAAGAGGAGAAACAAUGCAGAAAGAGAGAAGGCCUAUGCCUCUACAGCAGCAAAAAGGGGCAUGUAAGGACAACAUGUCCUGACCUGCAGGGAAACGCCAGCACUUAAGAUCAGAGGAGGGGUUGGUCUUGGGUGCUAUGGAGUUAUCCCCUCACAACAAAAAUUCUAGACCACUUCUAGCGGUUACCCUCACCUUUAACGGUGAGAACAUACAUACCAAGGCCCUACUAACUCAGGUGCAGCUGGCAACUUUAUUGACCAGUCCUUCGCCAUGACCUUGGUAUGCAAGACCUCACCUCUAGCCAUGGAAGCACUCGAUGGCAAGCCACUCACGAACCCUAAGGUGACUCACGAAACUCAGGGGGUGCACCUCACCGAAGGCACCGUACACUAGGAGAGCAUUGCCUUUCUUCAUGUCCCAUAGUCCUUGGGUUUCCAUUGUUGAGAAAACACAGCCCCAUUAUAGAUUGGGUCACUUUGGACAUAUUGUCUGGGGGUUCUACCUGUUUAUUACAGUGUCUCAUACCGUUUGUUCAUUUAACCUGCCCUCGGCCCCUCCUCUCUCUUUCUCAGUACCUCCACAGUCAGUGGCGGAUCCAGAAACUAAUCUCGGGAGGGGCACUGGCAGAUUAUUUUAAGAAAGCUCUCUGUAGUGGUUUUGGUGCCCUCCCAGAGUAAGUAGUCAAACCGUUUAAAAAACGUUUGAUAACUUACCCAGGUCUGCCGGGAUAGGGGUUGUAGUGUGUAUGUGUGUGAGGGGUGCAGUGUGUGUGAGGGUUGCAGUAUGUGUAUGGAGGGGUAGUGUGUGUGAGAGGAGUGCAGUGUAUGUAUGGGGUAGCAAUUUGUAUAUUGGGAGCAGUGUGUUUGUGUGUAAAGGGUGCAGUGUGUGUAUUGGGAGCAGUGUGUUUGUGUGUGAGUGGCGCAGUGUGUUUUUGUAUGGGGGGUGCUAUGUGUGUAUAGUGAGUGUAUUGGGGGCUGUGUGUGUAUUGGGGGCUGUGUAUGUGUGUUUAUGGGUGGCAGUGUGUGUGUAAGGGGGACAGUUGUGGGGUUUGUGUGAGGGGGGCUGUGUGUCUGUAAGUGGGGAGUGCUUAUUUGUGUGUUGUGGCGGGGUAAAGUGUGUGUGUAAGGGCUGUGUGUGUGUGUGUGUAAGGGUGCUGUGUGUGUGUGUAGGGGCUAUGUGUGUGUAAGGGGUGUGUGCCUUGUGUGAGUGGGUACAGUGUGUUUUUGUGUGAGGGGUGCUAUGUGUGUAUUGGGGGGGUGUGUAUUGGGGCUGGGUGUAUAAGGGGGCUGUGUAUGUAAGGGGGCUGUGUGUGUAAGAGGAGGGCUGUGUGUGUGUGAGAGGGGGCUGUGUGUGUAAGGGGGCUGUGUGUGUGUGUUAGGAGGGGCUGUGUGUGUGUAAGUGGGGGCUUUUGUGUAUGGGCUGUGUGUGUGUAGUGGGGGGCUGUGUGUGUGUGUUAGAGGGGCUGUGUGUGUGUAAGUGGGGAGCUGUGUGUGUGUAAGGGGGGCUAUUUGUGUGUGUAAGGGGCUGUGUGUGUGUAAGGGGCUGUGUGUGUGUGUGUGUGUGUGUAAGGGGGCUGUGUGUGUGUAAGGGGUUGUGUGUAAGGGGGGGCUGUGUGUGUGUAAGGUGGGGCUGUGUGUGGGGGCUGUGUGUGUAAGGGGGGUGCUGUGUGUGUAAGGGGGCUAUGUCUGUGCAAGGGUGGGUUGUAUAUUUGUGUGUGGUGCAGUGUGUAGGGGGUUAUAGUUUGUGUGAGGGGAUAGGGGGCAGAUUAAAGAUAAAAAAAUUAUUAUUAAAUAACUAAAUAAAUAAAUAUAGAUAAUGUCCCCCCCUCCCUUCUUACUUUUGCCGAGGGAGGGGGAGAUACUGCUUUCUCUUCCAAUCCCUGGUGGUUCUAGUGGAGAACGUGAACUCUAACCUGCAGCUCAGGCUAGAGUUCACUCUCGCGAGAACGGAGCGUUGCCAUGGUAACCGCGGCAACGCUCCGUGAUUGCGAGAGGAGAACCCGGCAGAGCUGCAGGUAAGAGCUCCCCCGGGUUCUCUCUCUCACUCCCUGCCCUGCCAGCCACCCAGCAAUCUGCCUGUGGGCCGGGAAGGGAGAUCGCUGAUCUCCCCUCCGGUCCGUGAUGGCAAUCAGCAGGGCUGGUGAUUGGAUAGCACCAGCACUGCAUGGGCCGGCAGGGGAGAGCCUCGGGCAGCUAUAUAAACUCGGGAGGGCAACUGCCCCGUUGCCCCCCCCCCGAUCCGCCAAUGUCCACAGUACAUUGAUUUAGCCCAGGUCUUCGAGAAAAGAGAGGCAAAAAAACUCUCUCCUCAUCGCCCUUACGAUUGUGUGAUUGAUUUACCCUUUCUGAGCAUGAGAAUAAGGUCAUGGAAGAAUAUAUCGAGGAGUCCCUAAGGAAAGGGUUUAUCAGGCGAUCCUCUUCUCCGGCAGGUGCUGGCUUUUUCUUCGUAUCGAAGAAAGAUGGUGAUCUCAGACCCUGUAUUGACUAUAGGGUUCUGAACAAGAUAAUGGUGUGGAAUGUUUAUCCAAUUCUGCUUAUCAUGGAAAUAUUUGACCGCUUAAAAGGUUCCAAGUGGUUUACUAAACUGGAUCUCAGGGGGUCGUAUAACCUGGUCAGGAUAAGAGAACAAGACGAGUGGAAAACCACUUUCAACACUCACAGUGGCCACUAUGAAUAUUUAGUGAUGCCCAUCGGCCUGUGUAAUGCCCCUGCUGUCUUCCAGGACUUUAUAAAAAAUGUCUUCCGAGAAUACAGGCACGUAUGUGCUGUAAUGUAUCUGGAUAACAUAUUGGUAUAGUAGCCUGAAUUGGAAACCCACCAUAAACAUGUCAGAUCAGUACUAAAGAAACUGCUAGAAAACUGAAGGGUUAUGGCCCGGAGGAGCAUUCCUAGGUACCCGCCACUGAUUUGAAUGCCCCUAGUCUUGUUAGGGCCUUCCAUGCUCAUUUUCUCUUGAAGCCUUCGCCUUCCCGCUUCAUAUGAUCAUUAUCCUUCAAUAAGAAAUUUUUUUGAAUGAUCAGUCAUAUUUUCAAAAUGAAUGCCAAAAUUUGACAAUUUCUGCCCGGGUAUGCAAACUUUUGAGCACAGCUGUAUACAUGAGUUUUUUAAACCUUGGUGAAUUAAACUGCUUUAUAAGUAAAAUCCCUGUAAGACAAAAAUAAGGAAGAGUAGUGAAAAAAUGAUAGCAAAGUGCAUUUUUUUAUAUUUCAAUGGAUUAAAACCACUGAAAGGUGAAGUAAAUAUCAUUGAUUAUAUUAUUAAAAUGGCACUUGCCAGGAAGUGGGAUAUAUUAGCAACACGUCACUGCUUGAAUUUAAUGUGAUGCAAGCAGUAAUAUUAGACAAGCAAAAAGAUCUGAGUGAAUUUGCCAAGGGACAAAUAGUGAUGCCUACGCGACUGGAUCCAAGGAUUUCCAAAACUAGUCUUGUGUGCUGUUCCUGGUAAACAGUGGUUAAAACCUACCAACGAGGUGUAAAGUAGGACAACUGGUGAACUAGCAUGGGAACCUAGAGCUCACUGUCUGAUUGAUCACACAGAAGAGCUACUGAGCUAAAUUUGCUGAAAACAUAAAGCUGGCUAUGAUAGAAAGGUGUUAGAACACACAGUGCAUCACAAUUUGCUGUGCAUGGGGUUGCAUAGCUGCAGACCUGACAGCAUGCCCAUGAUAUCCCGUGUCCACCACUGAAAGUGCCUUCCACGAGGACAUGAGAAUCAGAACUAGACUACAAAGCAAUGGAAGAAGGUUGCCUGGUCUGAUGAAUCACAUUUUCUUUUAGAUCAGGUGGAUGGCCAGGUUCCUGAUAUCUUCCCAUUGUUUACCGAGGGAAGAUAUGCACUACGGAAGAAGGCAGCCCAGCAGAGGCAGUAUUAUGCUCUGGGCAGUGUUCUGCUUGGAAACCUUGGGUCUUGACAUUCAUGUGGAUAUUAUUUUGAAAUGUACCAUGUACCUAGAGAUUGUUGCAGAUCAUAUACACCUCUUCAUGGCAAUGGUGUUCCCUGAUGGCAGUGACCUCUUUCAGCAGUGCCACACUGCAAAAAAUGUUCAGUAGUUCAAGGUGUUACCUUGGCCUAAAAAUAUCCCCAGAUCGCAAUCAGACUCCACAAGACUCCACAAGACCUCUGUGGGAUAUGCUGGACCAUAGCCCACCCAUUUCAACUUGCAGGACUUAAAGGAUCUGCUGCUAAUGGCUCAGUGCCAGAUACCACACAAGAAAUUCAGAGGUCUUGUGGAGUCCAUGCUUUGAUGCCUCAGAGCUGUUCUGGCAGCAUGAGGAAAAACUAUGAGUAGAGUUGAGCGAACCCGGACUGUAAAGUUCGGGUUUGUACCGAACAUUACGGUUUUUGGACCCCGGACCCAAACACGGACAUAUCACUGUAUGUUCGGGUUGGAGUUCAGAGUUCAGCGAUUUAAUGGCGCAUUUUGAAAGGCUGCAGGGCAGCCAAUCAACAAGCGUUUGACUUGUGUGCCCUUAGAAGCCAUCACAGCCAUGCCUACUAAUGGCCUGGCUGUGAUUGGCCAGUGCAGCAUGUGACCCAGCCUCUAUAUAUAAGCUGGAGUUACAUAGCGCUGCACGCACAUGAGCUGUUAUUAGUGUAGGGAGAGGAUGCUGCCGCUGUUAGGGACAGAUUAGGAAAGAAUUCUGCAAACUAGUACAUUAGUGGGGUGCACUUCAUAUCUGAAGUGUACUAUUUAGCACCAAAAAAAAUUGACUUUUUAAAACUCCGAUAUAACCGCAGUAUUUGACACUUCUAUUUGACUAAUAGAAGUGUCAAAUAUUGCGGUUAUAUCGGAGUUUUAAAAAGUCAAUUUUUUUGGGUGCUAAAUAGUACACUAGUGGGGUGCACUUCAUAUCUGAGAGUCAAAUAGAAGCAUCAAAUACUGCUGUCACAUUACAGUUUUAAAACUUACAAAUUUUGGGGUGCUAAAUAGUACAUUUGGGGUGUGCUUUUCAUAUCUGAGAGUCAAGUAGAAGCAGCAAAUACUGCGCUUACAGCGCAGUUUGAAACAUUAUUAUUUUCUGGGUGCUAAUCUGCUAAAUAGUAAAUUUGGGGUGUGGUCUUCAUAUCUGAGAGUCAAAUAGUGCUGUGACAUAGCAUUUUUAAACAUUCAAAUUGUUUGGCUGCUAAAUAGUACAUUUGCAGCCUGCGGUACACUUCAUAUCUGAGAGUCAAAUAGAACUGUCAACUAUUGUGCUUACAUUACAGUCGUAAAAAUUCUAAUUCUUUAGGUGCUAAAAAGUCAAUUUUAUGCCUGCACAUCAUAUCUGAGAGUCAAAUAGAAGCGUCAAAUACUGCGCUUGAAGCACAGUUUGAAACAUUCUUAUUUUCUGGGUGCUAAUCUGCUAAAUAGUAAAUUUGGGGCGGGCUCUCCAUAUCUGAGAGUCAAAUAGAAGCGUCAAAUAUUACGGUUGCAGUGCAGUUUGAAACAUUCUUAUUUUCUGGGUGCUAAUCUGCUAAAUAGUAAAUUUGGGACGUGCUCUUCAUAUCUGAGAGUCAAAGAGAACCGUGAAAUAGUGCUGUGACAGCAUUUUUAAACAUUCAAAUUUUUUGGCUGCUAAAUAGUACAUUUGCGGCCUGCGGUGCACUUCAUAUCUGAGAGUCAAAUAGAAGCGUCAAAUAUUGUGCUUACAUUGCAGUUGUAAAAAUUCGAAUUCUUUAGGUAAUAAAAAGUCAAUUUGAUGCCUGCACUUCAUAUCUGAAAGUCAAAUCGAAGCGUCUAAUAGUGUGCUUACAGCGCACUUGUAAACAUUCUAAUUGUUUUGCUGCCAAUCUGCUAAAUAGUACAUUUUGGGGCCUACUCUUCAUAUCUGAGAGUCAAAUAGAAGCGUCAAAUAGUGCGGUUACAGCGCAGUUUGAAACAUUCUUAUUUUCUGGGUGCUAAACUGUUAAAUAGUACAUUUUGGGGCGUGCUCUUCAUAUCUGAGUCAAGUCGAAGCAUAAAUAAGUGCGCUUACAGCGCAGUUGUAAACAUUCUAAUUGUUUUGCUGCUAAUCUGCUAAAUAGUAAAUUUGGGGCGUGCUCUUCAUAUCUGAGAGUCAAAUAGAAGUUUCAAAUAGUGCGAUUACAGCGCAAUUGUAAACAUUCAAAUUUUUUGGCUGCUAAACAGUAAAUUUGCGGCCUGCGGUGCACUUCAUAUCUGAGAGUCAACUAGAACCAUCAGAUACUGUGUUUACAGCGCACUUUGACAAAUUCCCUUAUUUUUUUGCUCCUAAGAAUUAAAUUUGGGGUGUGCACUUCAUAUCUGACAAUCAGAUAGAACCGUCAAAUUUUUUUUGGGUGCUAAAUAGUACAUUUGCAGCCUGCACUUCAUAUCUGACAGUCAAAAAGAACUGUCAAAUACCAAUAUAACAAUAUUGUAAUUCGGGGGCAAUACCCUCACAAGUCAAACUGAUAGGUCAGUUUAUAGGGAAAACUGUUGCCUGGAUACAAUUCUAAAACAAUUCCCAUAUGUCCUUUGCAGAGUUUACAUGCUGGAAAAACACAGACCAUGCCGGUUGUUGUGGUCGUGACCGAAAUAUGAAUAUUAAUCUCUUAAUACAUAAUAAUUAAGCAAUACGGAACAACAUUAAUAUUUUUAUAAUUCAUGGUAUUAUGGUCGAAUAUGUGGAUAGAAAAUACACAAAACGUUGUAAUAUUAAAUGUAUAUUUAAUAUAACUAUAAUAAAUAAACAGAUGCUAGCGGAAUGUCAAUUUCAAUAAUUAUACAAUACAAUACUACACAAAACACUAUUGGUUGCUAAAUAUUAUACAAAAGGCUAUUACAAUUGCUAACUGUUACAAUACAAACAUAUUACUUACAAGGCCCCAGCCAAAUGGCUGGGGCUAAGUCAGAGCUGGUACUACAUGAUCAGUCAGGUACAGGCAAACAGAGAGCUAGCUUCUCCUCACAUCUGGGUUUUUAUUCAGUGUAAGUAGGCUGGCCUGUGAUGUCACUGCCAGAAGCACAGGUCUUCCUACACACUCCCCCUAAUGGUGCCCCCAAAGCAUUACACUAAAUAUGCUUUACUGACAUCUAGUGGUGCGUCUAAAGCAUUAAGCUCAUUAUGCUUUUUUAUGACAAAAAGUCAUUAAUUAAUAAAUACCAUUACAAACCACCCUUUGACUUAUGUCAUAAAACAAACAUUAUAAACCCGUACAUCUUGAAUCUACCCUAUUUUAACAGUACCUGCCCUACAACAAAACCCACCUUUUUAAGAAUGAUACCCAUUUACCCGUAAAGUUAUGACACUUUAUUGCUUAUUCAAUAUUUUUUUUUUUUUUUUUCAUUGAGCACAUGCAUCACCAGUUGGGAAUAACCACUGAGCACAUGCAUUAGCAGUUGGGAAACCUUGGCCUUAAAUAGGCAAAUACCCACCCUUGUAAUAAUAGACAACUCAAACCAUGUUUUAUUAGAUUAACCAAUGAUAUUGUGUUCAUGUGAGGAUGUGUUUUGGAGCUUAAUAUAGUAUUAGACACCACAAACUCAUAACACCUAUGAAUCAUGGCACAGACCGACUCGAUUUCUGUAGCCUCUGGCUGGUCUGUGUGCCUGGAAUUUUCACAAACAUUAGGUCUGGAAACUGGAUACUCUAUUCUUCGACAGUCUCAUAGAACAUACGCAUGGAGACAGGGAUGAAUGAAACAGUUCAUGUGAUCAAGGACUUUUGUGUGUUUGUGGUCACAUUGUUUUGUUUUUUCUUUCUUUAUUCCAUUAACCACCUUGACGUAACAGUUUCCUGCUCCUGAUGCAUUUUGUUCCGACUCUCACCACUCUUAGCUGCAAUAUUUUUUCUCCUUACAGCAACAGUUGAGCAUAGUGUCCAGUGCUUCUUCUUCUUCUGCUUAAAAUAUCCUUGCUUGAAAGUUCUUGAAUGAAAACACAGGCAAUGACGAACACAAACAUAAAUAAUAACUGUGCCAAUCAUCACAAGUACCAUUUGAUUGUGGUGUCUUAACCAUAUUUUUUCCUAUGGCGUUUGGAUAAAUACCUACACACCUCUCUUCACAUCCAGCACACUCCUGAUUCACAGAUAAACACAAUAUCACUGCUGUAUCUACCAAUUUAACCCAAACACUCGUUAUUACUGCUGCAUUUACCAAUUUAAUCUAAACACUCGUUAUCACUGCUGUAUUUAACCAAUUUAAUCUAAACAUUAACCAAAACAAUUACAUUCCUAUUUACCACCCUUCUAUUUAAACAUGUAUAGAUAACCCAAAAUGCCUACUUUCUCUUAUCCCUCUUAUCAUUCUUCCGUUUUUUUUUUUGUUUUUGUUUUUGUACUGCAACCACUCAUGCACUUUACACAGACACAAAUCAAGCACCUACUGUACAAUGGGGUUCCCUCGUUAGAGCCCUCGCACCCCAGUUUGGUUUACACAAAAAUACCACCUGGUCCCUAUGGGUCAAUUCCCCCCUUUCCCAGGCAAGCAUACAUACAUACAUACAUACAACAAUAAUACAUAAGGGUUUCAAUUGCAAUACAAUCACUAGAAAUAAGAGAAUAGUAUGCACAAAAUCAUAGCAUAGACGUGUUAAAUAGACAAUAAAACAUUCAAUAGCUCAUCAAAGGUCAACAUUUAAACACUGGUCUCCAUCUGAUAUUCUAUCUGUGUUCCAAUGUCCACCUCUGGUUUCUGCUACAUCUGAAAAGGUUAGGAAACAGAUCAGGAUUACUUUCCUAGUCACUUAUAGCGUAUACUGCAAAUAUUUUACUUAGAAUAUAUAUAUAUAUAUACACACAGACAUGUAAACACAUUCCUUCAGCUUUUCAUUUUAUAAACAAUUUGUUCAACAAGGUAACUUUCUUAAUUUUCUACUCGGCUCUUAAAAUAAACAAUCAGCUAAUAGCUGCAUUCUGCAUCUUCCUUGCAAUUCAGGAGUACACAACACUAAAAGUCCAAUACUCAGUACCCCCUAGCCUAAAUUCUCCACCCGCUACUGUAACUAAGUUUACAGCCCACGUUAUGGCAGUUCACCCGCUAGGCAGAUAUGCUCAGCACCCCCUAGCCUAAGUUCCCCACCCGCUACUGUAACUAAGUUUACAGCCCACGUUAUGGCAGUUCACCCGCUAGGCAGAUAUGCUCUGUACCCCCUAGCCUAAGUUCCCCACCCGCUACUGUAACUAGAUUUACAGCCCACGUUAUGGCAGUUCACCCGCUAGGCAGAUAUGCUCAGUACCCCCUAGCCUAAGUUCCCCACCCGCUACUGUAACUAAGUUUACAGCCCACGUUAUGGCAGUUCACCCGCUAGGCAGAUACACAAUACACCCACGUAUUACUUAUUUUAUAUUUCCUGGUCUCUCAGGGAUAUACAAUAGCUAAUCCCCUUCCCAGGGCAAUAUAAAACUGACACAAACUUUUAAGCAAUACAGGAUUUCAAAUGGACUUAUGAGUAACAAAUUUCUAGCCAACUUAAACAUGUUUAAUAACUUUCCACCCUUUGGUUAAAUUAUAGAGGAGUGAACCACAACACCUCUUCCGCCUCUGAAAGGAUAUAGGUCAAUAUGUCUCAAAGUUCAACACUUCUGACAGCUAUGAGUGACUCCCUAUUAAUUUCUAGCCUUUCCACGGACAUGCUUGCACCUCGCGGCUAAGGGCCUGCACAACUAACCACCCUGUGAUGGCAGUGGCUUUCCGCAUGGGGGUGACCGCCCCCGCAAAAUUAUAGAGCAGCCUCUUUUCCGGCUCGAUUAAAGGUUCUGGGCCAAUAUGUCUGCAAUUUAACCAGUACACUCACGUAUCACUUAUUGUAUAUUUCCUGGUCUCUCAGGAAUUUCUAUUAGAUAGCGUAUCCCCUUCCCAGGGCAAUAUACAACAAAAACUAGUCACCAAGGGUCUCUAUGGUCAUGAUAGGCCACCCUACCACUAGUGUAAUACGCCCUUUUUUUAAAUAUAUUUCCUGGUCUCUCAGAGAUUUUGCCUAUCCCUUUCCCAGAGCAAUAUAUAUAAACAAUUACAAAUAAGUUACAAAACGCUACUUAUAAGUAAUACAGGGUUUCAAAUAAUAAUAAUACAGGAUAGAACUGCACAACAACUAUUGGGUAUGCUCCCCCUUAUCCGGACACGUUUAAAUACCCCCUAGCUCAGGUUCCCCACCCGCUACUGUAACUAAAAUCACAGCCCACGUUAUGGAGGUUCACCCGCUAGGCAGAUACACCCUAAUUCAAAGCAUGGAAAUAUUAAAAUCAGUUAUAGAUGGCUUCUAAAAUAAUAUAAAUCUUAAUCUGAGCCCCUACACUUACUUUGUUAAAAAUGCUAACUUGUUAAAAUAUUCAGACUAAAUAGGACAAAGGAAUUAUUUUACCAUUUUUCAGUUCAUUUGUUACCAGUUCCUGCAUAUGUCCAGUAAUUCCUUAGUCCUGAAUAAUAAAACUGAAAAACACUCCACAAAUUGAUUAGUUUAGGCAAUUACAUUUACAAAACAAUGCAGUUUAUUUUUUUUUCUCAUACAGGCAAGACUACCCACCCCCAACAAGGACAAAUUCUCCCCCAGCUGUAGCUGAAAAGCAUGGUCACACAGCUGUUAAAAAGGUGGUCUCUCCUUCAUGAGUCAAAAACAUAUAUAUUUAUACUAAUAUUCUGUGUAUACGCACACAUAAAUCUAUUAUUCACUGAAUCUGCUUUACUAAACGUAUCUUUUUCUUAACUACUAAUUUAAUACAUUUUGUCCAAAUCUCUUUUCAACUAGACAAAUCCAUGAAUGCCAAACAAAUGUAAAUUAGUACACAAACAGGGUCAAAUUUUGCAAUAAAACCUGGUGAACUAGUUUAGUGAAAAGUCUUUUCCUAUGCAAAUGGUAGCAAACAAUGAAACUAGGCCUCAACUCAUUCACACCAUGUGGUCAAUGGUGGAUUAAAAUCCACAUGGUCAGACAAAAAGUAAAAUUGUUUUUUGUUUUAUAUAUAAAAAUGACAAAAGGUUGGUAAAACGUAACAAGCAACACAAUAAUUCAUCACUAUGUUCUACAACAAGAGAUAUCUUAAAAAACAAAUAUCUAAUCCCUAUCUGCUAUCUGCAUUCAUUCCAUUAAAACCAAAUCAUCAUUCAUUUAUUCAUUUGUAUACAGACAGACAAUUUACAGUAUGAUUUAAGCAAAAUGCAUAACAUUUAUAUUUUCCCCAAUAUUCAAGCAUAAUCCUGCCGACUACGCCAAAUGUUGUGGUCGUGACCUAAAUAUGAAUAUUAAUCUCUUAAUACAUAAUAAUUAAGCAAUACGGAACAACAUUAAUAUUUUUAUAAUUCAUGGUAUUAUGGUCGAAUAUGUGGAUAGAAAAUACACAAAACGUUGUAAUAUUAAAUGUAUAUUUAAUAUAACUAUAAUAAAUAAACAGAUGCUAUCGGAAUGUCAAUUUCAAUAAUUAUACAAUACAAUACUACACAAAACACUAUUGGUUGCUAAAUAUUAUACAAAAGGCUAUUACAAUUGCUAACUGUUACAAUACAAACAUAUUACUUACAAGGCCCCAGCCAAAUGGCUGGGGCUAAGUCAGAGCUGGUACUACAUGAUCAGUCAGGUACAGGCAAACAGAGCUAGCUUCUCCUCACAUCUGGGUUUUUAUUCAGUGUAAGUAGGCUGGCCUGUGAUGUCACUGCCAGAAGCACAGGUCUUCCUACACACUCCCCCUAAUGGUGCCCCCAAAGCAUUACACUAAAUAUGCUUUACUGACAUCUAGUGGUGCGUCUAAAGCAUUAAGCUCAUUAUGCUUUUUUUUAUGACAAAAAGUCAUUAAUUAAUAAAUACCAUUACACCAGUCCGCACACUGCAGAAAGCCAAAGCAGUUUGCUGUGGCUUUCUGCAGUGUGCAGACCGGCAUGGAGGGCAGGGUUGAGGAGUGGGUGGAAGAUGAUGUGGAGGAUGAUGAGGUCCUAGACCCCACAUGGAAUCAAGGUCAUGCGAGUGACGUGUGCAGUUUGGAGGAAACAGUUGAAGUGAUAAAAAGAACCAUAACCGAUUUAACGAUCCAUUCACAGUUUCGCAGUCUGGUCGCACAGAGGCACCAGCACAGCAUAAGAGGGAGCAGGGUGCAAAAGCCGGGCGGCUGUCCCCUAGCGCUCGUCGGCAUGUAUUAUCUUUAGAAUUCCCACAGUUAUCCAAGUAACAGUUGAAGCGAUAAAAAGAACCAUAACCGAUUUAACGAUCCAUUCACAGUUUCGCAGUCUGGAGACCGGGACCCAGACACUUUCUGGGCGGCGGUUGGACGACCGGGACCCAGUAUGCCUGAUGGUGAAGUUUGGAGUCACAGUGUGGAAUGGAUUAGCGGGGUCUGGUAACCGCACGCCCCCUGGUGUUGAGCACCAGCGUUUGUGCGGCCAAAUACCAAGACCCUGAUGCAGCUUCAGUAAAAAGAGUACUGGAUACCAGAAGCCAUCACCAGACUGAUCCGCAACUUGGAACAGGAUGUGACAUUCACUGAAGCGGCUGUGCGCGCUUUCGGCGUUCUCACCCUGCUGCUUCUCGCCUGUCUGUGCUGCAGCGACGUGCCCACCAGGUGGAACUCCACCUUGCACAUGCUGGAGAGACUGUGCAAGCAGCAGCAGGCGAUAGUGGAGUUUCAGCUGCAGCACGCACGGGUCAGUCGCUCUGCGGAACAGAGUUUUCUUUUUUAUAUGUCCCAAUAUUUUGGUGGCUAACCCAAUAAAAAAAAAUAUAUAUAUAUACAAAACAGUGUUGGCUACCUCCUCCACCGCCACUUCCACCUACACUGCCAUGGUCACUGCCUCCUCAACCUAUGGGUCACUUAGUAUAAACUAUGUACACAAUAGCAGAGGCUUGUAAAGGCCUUUUCUCCAUGCAUCAGUAGUUGAGCUCAGUUUGAACAAUGAUAGAGAAUACCCUGCACUCCAACCCUCUCUUAAAUGGAUAAUUCUGUUGAUCCUCCUGACAGCCAUGCUUUAGAGUUUGAUUUAUUGUAGAAUAUUGCAUAUUCUAUGUUUCUAUUGAUUAUAUAUAUGGAUGUGUGGAUUGACAUAAGUAACAGAUGGUAUCAAUAAGUCACAAGGCUUUCUUUGUCCAAGAGCUCUGGAAUGUGGAUUUGGGGGUCUUGUCCUUAUAUGGCUAGAGUUAAACGCUGACGUUAGUAUGAGCACUUCUAUAUAGUAACAGAGGGACACAAGGUCAUUCUCUCUUGGCUCUUGGCUCUGGGCUCUCUCUCUCGAUGUAAAGAUGUAAGAAUGUAAAGAAGUCCAGCAAUUACCAUCUGCUGUUGAAUGUCCAUUAUCCUGAAACAUAAUUUAUUAUGUAUCAGUAACUAAGAAUAAACCUGAAGAAACCGUAAGUCAGAUUGCGUAUUAGUACUUUUCAAUAAUAUAGACAUAUAUUAUUGUGGCGAGCAUUUGGCCCAAGACUAUAUAUACAAAAGACGUAUAUAUAUCAAUCAACUGAAGACAAGAAGAAAUUAAGAAGAUUUAACAGUGACGAUCGAUUCCAAACAAGAUUUUACAUUUAUGUUCUUCCAAAGCUAAAAUCAAAGAUUCUACCUAGUGCUAUUUUAUGGCUCAGCUGUAUUUUUAAUUUUUAUGUUAUUUUAAGUGAUUUCCAUAUCCACAUUUGUUUGCAGGGCACUUGACCUACUCUUACCCCCAUUUUACAUUCCAGGACUUUUUUAGAGGCAUUUUUGUGGCCAAAAGUUCGGGUCCCCAUUGACUUCAAUGGGGUUCGGGUUCGGGGUCAAGUUCCAGACCGAACCCGGACUUUUUUUCAAAGUUCGGCCGGACCCGAACAUCCAGGUAUCCGCUCAACUCUAGGUAUGAGAUUUUAUGAGAUAAGAUGUGGCUGAUCCGUGUUUAUCAGAGUGGCUGUGCACCAGUUGAAACUCAGUAGAUAUGAGAUAUAUACAUAUACAUCUCUUUUUAAAUCUCACUUUUGUGUGAUAUCUAUGUACGUUUAAUAAAAUAUGAACGGGUUUUAGAAUGUUAUUUAAUUUAUUAUGUGAUUGGCAGAGACUUUUGAAAGUUAGUGUGCUAUUAAGCAUGUGAAGAAUUAUGCUUCCCAAACCCAAUAUGGCGUCUUUGACUUCAGAAAGUUUUAUGAACUAUACAGAAUUCGGAAGUGUGGCAGAACAGGCCUCGCAACGUGUUCUUGGAGAGGGCUGCUUGCCCGCCUCCUUCCUUCUGACUAUGGCCAUGGGAUAUAUGGCAUUUGAAAACACUAUUUGUGCCCUGUGACAAAACUGGAGAUGGUGCACAAAUAUUACUCUUGUUCAUAUUUGUUAUGAUUCCCUUCGUUUGUUGCACUGUUCCCCAUAUGUUUCAUCUGUUGGUCCGGCUGGAUAGACUGCCAGACAAACGGUGGAGUUACUGGGUGGCCACCAUUUCAUGUUUUAGAGGCACAUGGUGAGAACAAUGGAUGAAGCACAUGGUGAGAACAAUGGAUGGCAGCCAUUUUAACUCACAGACACUGUUCGGACUUUUCUACAUGGUACCAUCUCGCCGGUAUUUGGUUCACAAAGACAGCGUGCAGUAGUUUUAAACUAUACAACAGGGGACACAUUAUACAGUAAUUAUUUUUCAUAUAGCCUGUAUAUGUUCUGUGGAAUCUGCAUUAAACUGUUAUGGGGUUAUUACAUGUUUUGGGGUCCCUUUGAUAUGUUUUAUAAUACUGUAUUUCUCUGCCUGUAAUAAUUAUAUUAACCAUUGUGUUCAGUAGUCAUAUCACAGGUAGAGGGGAGGAUUUUGUGUGGGAGUGUGUGUGUAUUGUAUGGAUUGAUUGGUUGUAUUUCAAAACCCUGUGGGCAGUACUAUGUUUGUGGAUUGUGAAUAAAAGAGGCUGUAUGUGCCAGUACAGUCAGUUCUGCUUGACCUCAAAGCGAAGUGUCGUCUCGUUAUUGGGGGAAUUGGAUUGUAUGCUGAUUGCCAGGAGUGUAAGCUGAUUGUAUGCUUUUCCUGUUCAGCUCCUUACAGCAUUCAUAUGCUUGAGAGCAUUCGUAUGCUUCUCCGGUUUGGUGGUUGUGGUGUCUGCUGCAGUGCUUGGAGUCCUUGGAGUACCUCAACUGAGGUACUUAGUCGGGGUGCCAGGUGAUCCGUUACAUUCGUGGCAGCAGUGGGAUGGCGUCCUAGUGCAAGGAGAAGCAGCUUGGAGACACUGAUAACGCUUGGAGUUACAAAUUGAGGGCAACGCUAGUAUCUGUACAGCGCCCCUGGCUACAGCAGGAUGGAAUCGGCUAGUUUUCGGACAGCGUUCCAUGAUGAGGAGGAGGAGGCGGCCGCGGACUACAGGGAUGCAGACAGAAAGGAACUCUAGUAUGAUGCCCUGGAAGAUGCCCAGUGGGGGCGAGGUGAGAGUCUCCUCAGUGAUGAGCAGCGGCUACAGAAGCGUGUGGUGAUGCGGAUGUAUCUAUUGGGAGAGCAGCCCCUGGAUGAGUGGGUGACAAGACUAGAGACCCUGGUAUGGCGAGAGAUCAGGCUAGACAACACAUACCAGGCCCUCUGGUGGCAUACCGUUCAACUUACCCCCUGGACGGCCGAGCACGACUUACCAGAGGGGGAUGAUUAUGAUGGCCCGGGUUUAUUAUGGGAUGCCUUGGAGGAUGACAUUGAUCUUGGCAGCACGGAGGGGUCUAGGUUUUGGGACAUCUACGACUAUCGUAUGGGCAUGUAUGUCUGGGCUGAUGAAUGCGAGGUGAGCAAAGACAUGACCCACCUGGUAACAAGGGAGUGGGAGCUGGAGCAGGACUACCAACACCUGCUCAGCUUCGUGCAGCCCCAACCUACCCGACAAGCAGAACCAGACCUCAUUGACUGGUCCUGGGAUUACCUCCAGAUGGUAGGUAGAGAUGGGACCGAGGUCUCUCUACCGGCCCUACAGGGAUGCUGGGCAACCAACCCAGAUCUCCAGCGACAGUGUGAGUCCCAGGGAGCCGAAGGUGCCGUCCUUCCUCCCCAGCGGCAGUGUGAGUUCCAGGGAGCCGAAGGUGUCAUCCUUCCUCCUCAGUGGCAGUAUGUGUCCCAGGGAGUUGAAGGUGUCAUCCUUCCUCCCCAGUGGCAGUAUGUAUCCUUGGGAGAGGAGACAACUGAUCUCCCUCCCCAGCAGUCCAGUGCGUUACAGGGAGAGAAGGGUGUCAUCCUUGCUCCCCAGCGGCAGUAUGUAUCUCAGGGAGCUGAAUGUGUCGUCCUUCCUCCCCAGCGGCAGAGUGAGUUUCAGGAAGGGGAGACAACUGGUUCCCCAGAGAUGAUAAUCCCCACACCGGCGCAGAUGGGACCGUGGUCUCUGCACCCAAGCUACAGGGAGUACGGACAGUCGGUCCUACUCCCCAGCGGCAGAGUAUUAUAUUGGGAGUGGAGACCAUCGGUUCACCUACCCAGCGGCAGCCUAGCCCACAAAGGGGAAAUGCUAAGCCACACACCAAUGCAGAUGGGACCGUGGUCUCUGCACAUGCAUCACAGGGGGUAGGGAUGGUCGGUCCUGUCCCCCAGCAGCAGGGUUGUUCAUCCAAAGGGGAGACAGCCUGGCUUCCCCUCCAGCAGCAGCCCCAGGUCCGGAGUGAGGAGCCUACUAUGCCGUUCCCUCACCUGGGCGCCAACUAGGCUACUCCUGUGGUAGCGCUGACAACAAGGCAGAGUACCGCUGGUCUCUGCCCACUUAGCAACCCACCGAUCCAGAGUGCUAGUACCCCCCAGAGCCAAGGUGGAGCUCCUGGACAUGGACAAGCGACCCACUACCCCAGGUAGUAGUAACCAAUUUUCGUGCGUGGGUUAUACUGCGGAUUCUGUUUUGUGGGUGGGUUGCUGGACUAACCAGGGCACUGACCAGCAGGAGGUCAGAUACACUGUUAGUCUGGUGGGUAAAGGGGAGAAAUGUGGCGGAACAGGCCUCGCCACAUGUUCUUGGAGGAGGCUGCUUGCCCGCCUCCUACCUUCUGACCAUGGCCCUGGGAUAUAUGGCAUUUGAAAACACUAUUUGUGCCCUGUGACAAAACUGGAGAUGGUGCACAAAUAUGACUAUUGUCCAUAUGUUUUAUGAUUCCCUUUGUUUGUUGCACUGUUCCCCAUAUGUUUCAUCUGUUGGUCCGGCUGGGUAGACUACCAGACAAACUGUGGAGUUACUGGGUGGCCACAAUUUCAUGUUUUAGAGGCACAUGGUGAGAACAGUGGAUGAAGCACAUGGUGAGAACAAUGGAUGGCGGCCAUUUUAACUCACAGACACUGUUUGGACUUUUCUAGAUGGUACCAUCUCGCCGGUAUUUGGUGCACAAAGACAUUGUGCAGUAGUUUUAAACUAUACAACAGGGGACACAUUAUACAGUAAUUAUUUUUCAUAUAGCCUGUAUAUGUUCUGCAGAAUCUGCAUUAAACUGUAUCUUCCAAACUACUGAACAGAUCUGGGUGAAUGGAUAUGUGGUUCACCCAGAUCCCCCUGUUCCAAGGAUAUACUUUUUUUAUGGGGUUAUUACAUGUUUUGGGGUCCCUGUGAUAUGUUUUAUAAUAUUGUAUUUCUCUGCCUGUAAUAAUUAUAUUAACCAUUGUGUUCAGUAAUCAUAUCACAGGCAGAGGGGAGGAUUUUGUGUCUGAGUGUCUGUGUGUAUUGUAUGGAUUGAUUGGUUGUAUUUCAAAACUCUGUGGGCAGUACUAUGUUUGUGGAUUGUGAAUAAAAGAGGCUGUAUGUGCCAGUACAGUCAGUUCUGCUUGACCUCAAAACGAAGUGUUGUCUUGUUAUUGGGGGAAUUGGAUUGUAUGCUGAUUACCAGGAGUGUAAGCUGAUUGUAUGCUUUUCCUGUUCAGCUCCUUACAGCAUUCAUACGCUUGGGAGCAUUCGUAUGCUUAACGUUCAAACAUAUUAUUCAUUCUGAACUUUUAAUUUGCUAUUUGUUGCUGCUAUUUGCUGUAUUUGCACUUUAUUUUUAAGUAAAUUAAUGCUCCAUUUUGUGCAGCCCUUUUUAUGUGCAAAGAUAGGUGGUUCUUUAAAUAGCUGCAAAAUAUGCCAAUUUUUACAGCCAAUGUCCUAAAUUUGGGAGGAAAAUGGUAAGUUCUUACACAUGAAAUUAAAAAAAAAUAAAAAAUCUGUUAGACCUAUUUCUAGGUUUAGAGAAGAGUAAACAUUCUCUGUUCAUGGCUUUAUCUUUUUGUUUGGAAAUCUGAACCAGGCAAAGACUGUAACCUCUCUCAAUAAACCUAUGGGACAUAUGUGUAAGGUGUGUUUCCACUAGUGUCUCAUUGCUAACGAUUCUGCACACCCUGAAAAAUUGGCAAAUAAUUGAACAAAGCUGUUUAGAAGGGGCAAAAUGCUGAGCAUGCAACAAACUGUUGGAAUCAGUGGGUUUUUUAAAAUAAAUCAGUGCUCAAUCUGUCAGUCAAUAUCCCAACUAGGACAUCCAAAAAACUGACUGUCUGUGCAUUGAUAUCUCUAGUAAACUUGAUCCAGAGUGACACUGGUUAAGGUACUGAAGGAAGAUGUCAAGAUCUAGCUUAGAGCCCCUACAGACCACAAUACAGUCAUCAAUGUACCUUAACCAGGUGACUACAUGAGUCUGGAAUGUAGUGUGACAAUACAAAAAGUUGUCCUCAAGUUCCAUCGUGUAUAAGUUAAGUGAUACAGCAUGACAAUGAAGAAAAUCUGCAUUUUGGAGUGGCCCAGUCAAAGCUCGGACCUUAAACCCAUAGAGAUUCCAUGGAAUGGUCUCAAGUGAGUUGUUCACAUAUAAAUAUGGCUGAGCUGAAGCAAGAAAGAGUGGUCCAAAAGUGGUAUUCUGUGUUAAGUUCCUGUUUUUUACCCAGGUUAUCCUUCUAGAUACAGGAUGUAUUUGUGUACCAGACCUGGCUUGUAGGACAACCCUUUUUGUGUACUAGACCCAGCUUGUUCAUAAACUUGUUCCAGUCUAUAAUCCUGACCUUGGCCUGUUUGACUACAUUUGCUGUUCCUGUACUAGCCUUUAUUUUUUUGUCCUGUACAUAAUUUUGUUUAUUUCAAUUUUUUUGUGUUCUUGGUAAUUAAGUAUUUUCUAGUUAAGUCCUGUUACGCUCUUGUUCCUGCCACUCUAAGGUCUGGUAAUAUUUGUGUCUUUCAUGUUUUGCCUUGUUAGGAUUGCAGCCUCUCAUCUUUCUAAGGGUCCUCUGGCUGAUCCAGGCAGUUGGCCAUACUGGCCAUACCUUGUCCGUCACCCGUUAAAAUUAACCUUGGAUCGCCACUAUCGCGGCGAUCGCGGGGUUAAUGGUGCUCCGGUCUGCCUUUGCAGAGUGCACUAAACCCAGGGUGAGGCUUGCUGGAUGAGUAUUCUCCCCUGGUGGAGAAAUCUUCAAUGCUGAAGUUGAGGCCUACUCCGGCGGUGAGUGGAGCAGACGGCUGCCGCCCCGCUAUCCUGCUAAACAGUGUCCAGCCUGGGGCUUUAACCCUCGAGGAACUGGCUCCGUUCCCCCCUCUGGACAGGCGGGGGUGAUCCUCACCCUGAAGCCCCGACCACUACGACUGAGACUAAGGGGCAGAGACCGCGCGCCUAACCCCAAGAUCUGAGUGCAUGAAAGAUGCCCACCCCACAAAUGCCGCAACCAACGCGGUUCAGCAGCACCAAAUGAUCAGACACCCACAAAGUCCAGCCGCACGUACGCAUCCUGGCACCCUAACGGGACACCUACCUCGGGUGACUCUCUUCAAGCUCCCGGCUCCGGUAAGCAACUAGCGGUGGGAAAAGGGGCACAGCAAGCCAAGCCAGCGCUUGCCCGAACAGCAGGGACCAUCAGCCCCCACUCCGCACCACGCCACCCUCUAAACACACCGGGGUCCAGGUCCAGCGAGCCGGAUGCCGCACAUCAAUCCUGGCAUGUCGUGCAGCACCUGUCAACCAGCCCUGCAGCAGCCGCAACAAAGGCAGACCACCGGACAACAGCGUGAACAAGCUGAAUCCUGAAUCCAGGGCAUGAAUUAACCAGUCACAAGGGGACUCUCUAAAUAUGACCUAAAUAGUCUUCACCUGUCUCAGUAUAACUAUGGCAAAGUCGAAAUAUUACCUGUUUUAAUGUGCCUUACUACUUGCAUUCAUAUGUAGCUAUAGUGGUCUAAGGGGUGAUGCUAUAUCUCUCAUAUCUAAGCAUGUACCUAGCUAAACGUAAACUGAAUAUACUGCCUGCAUGUAACUUUAUCUUUCACCUAAUUUACCAAAAAAUGUGCAAUGCCUAGCAACUACCCUAUUUGUUAUAUAAGCCAAGCAGCUCAAGGAAUGCCGUUGGGGUACCUGGAGCCAGUUUGUAAUUUUUUUUAACCUGCACAGCAAAAAUAAAGAUAAAAUUUUUUUUUUAAAUUAAAAAUUAAGCUAAAAAAGUUUUAAUAACGUUUAAGUAAAAAAAAAAAAAACCUUUACUCAGUCCAAAUAAAAAUUAACCCCUUCCCUGCCAGUCAAUCACUGCCUACAGUGAUCAAAAUACAGAUCACAGUAUUAUACUGUGAUCUAAUUUUUUUUAACCCCUGAGGAUUAACUUGUAUUUAUUUUUUAACCCUCAGGGGUUCAAUUUAUUUAAUUAUUUAAUUUAAAUAUCUUAUAAUUAUAUAUUUUCCUAGCUGGGGUGGGUGGGAGUUAUGGGAAAAUGGGGAAUUUACUGUUAGUGCUGCUUACGGCUAGUUAGGGGUUAACAGUAAAAAAAAAGCUUAGAAAAAUUUUAAAUGUGUAAAAAAAAGUUUUAAGAAAGUUUAGGAAAGUUUUAAAAAAAAUUAAUAAGCAAAACAAAAGUUUAAAAACUAGUUUUUUUUUUCAAAAAGUAAAAAAAUACAUUUAAAAACGCUCAUUACCACUACACCUUGAACAAACUAGAGAAAAAAUUACCCCACGCUAAGGUUCAAAAUAUGCCUUUUGAAUUACCCCAGGGUGUAUUCUUUAAUAAAUAGUAUGUGUUUGUGGGGAAGUUUCAAUAACCAACCGUCUAAACUACUCCAAAUUGGAACAUGGACUCAGCGUAAAACUUCAAAGUUAGAAAAAAACUGAAUGGCUGCGUCUCAAAUGUGCCCCUUCAACAAAGGCAAAGCGGAAAAUGAUCCCACGCUAAGGUUCAAAAUAUGCCUUUUGAAAUACCCUGGGAUGGUUUUUUUUUUUAAGAAAUGGUAUGGCUUUAUGGGUUAUUUGAAUUAUAUAGCCUGGUAAAAUACUCUAUAAUGGGACAUGGGCACAGCGUAAAAAUGUAAAGUUUGAAAAACACUGUAAGAUACCAGUACAUAUCCUAUUUACAAAGUAGAUCGUUUAGUAUAUUUAACCAAUAUCAAUCAAAAUUACUACACAAGAUAAUCAGUCCUGAGGUGUCACCCUUAGUUAUAUAAAGCAGUUCCAAAUAAUACUGAGUUUAACUAAGGAUACUUAGUUUAACUAAGUACUUUGUAAAUAUGAUCUGUACUGGUAUCUUACAGACAGAUUUGUGACUACUGACCCAAUUUUAAUAUUGCUUGUCACACUUGUUUUAUUUUAUGUAUUAACAUAUUAAAAGUUAAGUUUUAUUAAUAGACAUAGAAAGACUCAAUUUCGAUAUAUAUAUAUUUUUUCCUAACCUCUUGUUACUACAUAUUUUUUAUUUUUGCUUUAUUUCCAAUUCUUUUGCUGUUUCAGAUAUAUAUUAGGGGUUACCCCCCAUUUUCUCCUACUACCACUAGAUUGUUCACCCUCUAAUUAAGUCUCGAUUAAAGCUUUUGCUCUGCAUUUGUUUCACGUUCCACUUUUUUAAGAUUUUGAUGCUGUCUAAUCUGUCGACUGUUCUCUAUAAUGCAGCAGGAGAUUGUAUUUUUGAAGUCUGAGAUUUGUAAAUUAUCUGGUAAACAAACUCAGGCUGGAACUGCUACAAAGCCACUGCCGCAGAGACAUACUAGGAAUGACAUAUGGAUUACUGUAGGAUCUGAUAGACUUAGAGUUGUGGAUAAAAUGCAUACUGUUGUCUGUUGCUCUACAUUAAUUUUCAGCACUUUCAGAGUGUAGUGGUGUUAUGGAGACAAACUCAGGCCCCGAGUGUAGUGGUAUUGUAGUGACAGGCUCAGGCCCAGUUUGUAGUGAUGUUAUGGAGACAGACUCAGGUCUUGAGUGUAAUGGUAUUAUGAAGACAGUCUCAGGCACCAAAUUUGUGGAACCACCAUCCUCUAUGUCAAAUUUGUGCAAGACUGCAGCCAAUGACAAAAAGGAUAAGGUGAGGCCUGAUAGAAAGCAGUUGUUGUUGGGGGAUUCUAUCAUAAGAGGUGUGGAGCUGGACAAUAGAGGCCUUGUGAGAUGUCUUCCUGGAGCUACUGCUCACAAAGACAGGAUACGUAUUUGUAAUAUUGUUAAGUUAGCAAAGCAGGAAGGGAAAUUGGAAUUGACAUCUAGGUACAAAUGACUUGGCUUGCAAUGAGGUUUCACAGGUAAAGAAAGUGUUUGUGUUUUUGCCAAUGAUACAUGGCAGGUUCCUUCCACACUGUCAUCCUCGAAGUUCUGCUUGUGCAUAACACUCAGAAUGACAGGAGGAUGCGUAUUAGAGACUUUAACUUGUGGCUUGGAGAUUGAUGUUGGGAGGAAGGAUUUGGUUUCAUUUCUCAUGGUAGCUCUGUUUGGAUUGGAAAUAAACUGUACAAAAAAAUGGUUUGCAUCUUCCUUAGAAGGGAACAAAUGUUCUCAGUGAGCAGUUCAGAGGUUUUGCUAGGACGUAUUUAAACUGGGAGGGGGGACAAAAGGGUUAUAAAACAUCAGUCCAAUUGCCAUCCAAAACAAGGACAGAAAGUAUAUGUAGCAAGUGUGUUAAAAAAUAAAGUUCGAGUCAUGUCUACAAAUGCUCCCAGUUUAUGAAAAUAGAUCCAUGAACUUGUGGCAAUAAUGGCAACUGAUAAUGUACAUUUAGUCGCUAUUACUGAGACAUGGUAUAAUGAGAGAAAUGACUGUGAUAUAUCAAUACCAGGGUACUCUUUAUAUGGAAAAGACAGGGAAGGCAAGAAAGGGGGAGAGGUGGCCCUGUAUGUGAAGGAUAGCAUAAAAUCUAGCAUAUAAAGGCUAGUGAGGCGAACAUAGAGUCCGUUUGGGUUACGCUAGAAUUUGGUAAUCACACAGUAACUCAUGUAGGUGUGAUUUAUAGGCCUCCAGGACAAAUAAAGGAGUUAGAUAAUAUACUAGUUGAGGAAAUAGCUAAAAUGACAAUGAAGGGGGAAGUUAGCAUCAUGGGUGAUUUGAAUCUUUCUGAUGUGAACUAGAAACCAAAGUAGCUGCUUGUGCCAGGAGCACACAUAUUCUAAACUCCCUACUGGGAUUGUCUUUAAAAUAAGUAGUUGAGGAGCCUACUUGUAAAGAGGCCAUACUAGAUUUAGUGUUAACAAAUAGAGAUUUGGUAUCAGAUAUUAAUGUAGGUUAAAAUUUAGGAUCCAGUGAUCAUCAGUCAGUGUGGUUUAAUAUAAGAACAGUGACUGAGUCACACCACACAAAAACAAAAGUUUUAGACUUUAGAAAAAACAGACAUUUCUAAAAUUAGAAUAUGUGUAAAGGAGUCAUUAUCAGACUGGAGCAAUUUAAUUGGAGUCAAAGAGAAAUGUUACACUGCUGAAGGCAACAACAAAUUGCAUUAGGCUUGUCAGUAAAAGCAAAAAUUAAAAAAAAAAACACUGUGGUACUCUGCAGAUGUGGCCAAAAUAGUGAAAAACAAAAAGUUAGCAUUUAGUAAUUAUCAAAAAGCCAGAGUGAGGAAGAUCUAUAAGAUUAGGCAGAAAGAGGCUAACCAACUUAUCAGAACCUCCAAAUCACACACAGAAGAGAAAAUAGUACAGUCAGUAAAAAGGGGACAAAACAUUUUUUAGAUACAUAAAUGAACAAAGGAAAGUAAAACAAGGAUUAGUUAGAUUAAAAACAAAAGAAGGAAGGUAUGUAGAUGAGGAUAAAGGUCUACCUGACUGCCUCAAUAAAUAUUUUUUUUCAGUAUUUACAGAUUAAAAUGAAGGAAAGGGGCCUCAGUUAGGAAAAAGUACAAAUGAGUUGUGACAAGACCAAUCUCGCCACAUUGCAUUGGAGAAGCCUGGUUGCUCGCCUGUUGCCUUUGGAUUAUGGCCCCAUGUUAAAAGGCUUGAUUUUCCCCUGCAAAGACAUGAAAGCCGGGUCAUUUGGUGCUUGCCCUGUUUGAGCGGUGAUACCCCAGAUAGCUAUGCCAUGGAGGCCAUUCGUAUAAUGAAAGACUAUGGGAAAGACUUUGGCUCCAAAAUGUAAGUUUUAUGUGAAUGUGAUGCAUACUUUUCAAGUUAUGAAUAAUGUGGAAAAAUUGUAUUUCUCUUCUUGUUAUAAUUACAUUACCCAUUGCGUAAGGUAAUUGUAUCACAGGCAGAGGGGGGGUUUUGUGUGGGAGUGUCUGAGUGUAUUGUAUGUGUUUAUUGGUUGUGUUCCAAAACCCUGUGGGUGGUACUAAUGUGUAAGAAUGGGUAUAUAAGCACAAUAAACCCACAGCUCUGACUGUUCACUGCUUCACCCUCAACACGGAGCCUUGUCUCGUUCUUGGGGGGAUUUAUUGUAUGCUGUUCCAGUUUGACUGCUAGGAGUGUGAACCUAUUCGUAUGGUUUUUACUAUUCGGCUGUUUACGGCAUUCAUAUGGUUUCCUAUUUGGCGGAUUGGUGUUCUGCAGUAGCUGUGUCUGUGUCUCUGGAAGGGGAAGAUCUUCUAAACGGCGGUUUAACCCUUUUAUGAAGAGGGUGCCGUUACAAUUGGUGGCAAGCGGCUGGAUCGUUCCUACAGCCAGAAGAACAGCUACAGGAGACACCAUUUCUUUGGAUUUUACAAAUUGAGGGCAACGCAUGUACAUGUACAGUGACCCUGACAGCAUCAGGAUGGAACCAGCAGUGGAGUACGAUGAGGGUGUCAUGGAUGACCGACAUGCAGUUCGCAAAGGCAUCUGGUACCAGGCACUGGGCAUUGUGGAGUACCAGCGGGGCGAUAGACUCCCCAAGGAAGACCAGCGAUUGCAGAAGCGACUAGCCGUGCGGAUUCCCUUCCUGGGGGAGCAGCUCCUGGAGGAAUGGGUGAAGGAAUUGGAACUCCGGGUAUGGCAGGAGAUUUGGCUGGAAGAUACCUACCAGGCGCUCUGGUGGUAUAGGGCACAGUACCUGCCCUGGACAGCCGAGCAUGACAAGCCAGAGGGAGAGGAGUUUGAUGGUCCUGGUUUGUUAUGGGAGGCUUUUUCAGAGCCUGAGUUUGGGAGCUCUACACAAACUCAGUUCAGUGAUCUCUUGGAGUGGAGGGAGAGCAGGUAUGACUGGGACGACACUCAUGAGAUUGAGCAAGACCUGGUCCACCUAGUGACCCGAAAGAUGGAGCUGGAGCAGGGCUACCAAGAUCUGUUCCACUCCAGUGAGAAGGCUCAGCACCAGACCCAUUCAGCUGGGCAGAUAUUGCAGAAUGUUACUGGGAAGAACCCCACCGGUCCUGCAGGGAAUUGGGAGCCCAGUCUCCAUUCCCCAGCGGGAGAUAUUGCAGGGAAUUGGGAGCCCAAGCUUCAUUCCCCAGCGGCAGGCUGAGUUACAGGGGACAGAGAUAGUUGCUUCUGUCCCCCAGCAGCAGAGUGAAUUGCAGGGAAUUGGGAGCCCCAGCUCCAUUCCCCAGCGGCAGGCUGAGUUACAGGGGACAGAGAUAGUUGGUCCUGUCCCCCAGCGGCAGUGUACCUUGCAGGGAGAGGAGAGCAGCGUCCUCCCUCCCCAGUGGCAGGGUGAGCUACAGGGAUGCUGGGCAGUCGGCUCAGAUCCCCAGCGGCAGUGUGAAUUACAGGGAAUUGGGAGCCCAGUCUCCAUUCCCCAACGGCAGUAUGAGUCAUUGGGAAUUGGGAGCCCAGUCUCCAUUCCCCAGCGGGAGAUUCAGCAGGGAAUUGGGAGCCCAGUCUCCAUUCCCCAGCGGCAAAGUGUCCUACAGGGAAUAGAGAGCCCAGUCUCCUUUCCCCAGAAGCAGGACUCUGUAUUGGGAGCAGAGACAGUCGGUCUCCCUCCCCUGCGGCUGGAAGCAUAUAUGGGAGAGGAGCUUGUUACCCCUUCUCCCCAGCGGCAGCUUAACGUACCAGGGGGGACAGUAAACCCCACAACCGUGCAGAUGGGACCGUGGUCUCUGCACUUACAGCACAGGGGGUAGGGACGGUCGGUUCUGCCCCCCAGCGACAGGGCUGUUUAGCCAAAGGGGAGACAGUCAGUCUCCCCCUCCAGCAACCGAGCGGUGUAACCAAAGGGGAGACAGUCGGUCUCCCCCUCCAACAACCAGGCUUCAACCAGGCUACUCCCGUGGUAGCGCUGGCACCAGGGCAGAGUACCGCUGAUCUCUGCCCACUCAGAAAGGCAGAUACCCUGUUAGUCUGUUUGGAAAAGGGGAGAGAUGUGAUGAGACCAAUCUCGCCACAUUGCAUUGGAGAAGCCUGGUUGCUCACCUGUUGCCUUUGGAUUAUGGCCCCAUGUUAAAAGGCUUGAUUUUCCCCUGCAAAGACAUGAAAGCCGGGUCAUUUGGUGCUUGCCCUGUUUGAGUGGUGAUACCCCAGAUAGCUAUGCCAUGGAGCCCAUUCGUAUAAUGAAAGACUAUGGGAAAGACUUUUGCUCCAUGGCAAUUGCACUGUAUGUGUGUGCUCUGAGCGCCAUUCAGUAAUAAUGUGCGCUCAGAUCUGAGCUGUCUGGGGAUAUGUUGAAUGUACCUGUUUUAUGCAAUGGCUGUACAGUUAUAUGUUUGUAUGUGUUUUAUUGUCUUUUGCUGCCAUGUGUUCAAUGGAGUUUUGCCUCUGCCUUUGGAGAUAAUUGGAUUACUUCCCAAUUAUCUCCAGGAUAGAAGACUUUGUGGAACUGGUUUUGGGCAGAAAAGCCAUGCUUCCUUUGGUCACAAAGGACUACGAUCUAUCUUUUGAACCACUGGACCAAUUUGGAUGAUUUUGACAUAUGUUUGUAUUUGGAGUAUGCUGAUUCUGAAAAUGUACGUGAAUGUGAUGCAUACUUUUCAAGUUAUGAAUAAUGUGGAAAAAUUAGGGAUUAUUCUAGCCUCAGUGAGGGAAUAAUCUAAAUUUUAUUAAAGACAGGAGGCGAAUAUUUGCUUAACCUUCUUUACUGAAAACCUCCAGCAGCAAAGAAACAGUUAACAGAACUUUUCAAACAACCAAUAAGAACAAAACAUCAGUAUAAACCACUGAGGCAGACCCUCCCACUUCCUCUUUCUUUGAUGAGGUUGAGCAGGAGAGCAUGAAGACCAAACGAAAGCAGAAACCGGCAAACUCAGAUGAGAAACCGUCAUAUCCAGAACAGUUCAGAUCACACUGUAAAAGAAAAGAAACAUUGUGAAAGUAAACUGCCAUAGCAGCAUGUCAUACCAAACACAAUCAGCGCAUCAAUAGACCACAAGCUGAUAAAUAAAUGUACACUGAUAACCAAUUGUAGUAAAAAAGUGUUUAUUAAAAUAAAUUUGAGCCAUACAUGAAAACGCAUACAAACGAAACCCAAAUUAACAUAAAGGCAAAACAAAUCCAAUUCCCGGGUGGGAAACAAUAAGGGUGGGAAAUAUUUGCCUCCUGUCUUUAAUACAAUUUAGAUUAUUCCCUCACCGAGGCUAGAAUAAUCCUGAAUUUUAUGUCAGGACAGGAGGCUUCAUAUUUGCAAUUUUAACGUCCAGACAUGAAAACAGAAGAAACAUGAGAGCAUGGACGAAAAUAAAAGGUACGGAAAGUCGACUCUCUAGACCAGUCAGCGGCGUUGAGAAUAUCCACAAGUGACCCACCGGCUUCAAGAGCUGCUGAUGCAGCAGCGCCCCGAACCGAAUGAGCCCCAAAUGAAUUAUCCACGCCCGCCAAAGAGAGGAGCCAUCGAAUCCAACGAGCGAUCGUGGGUGCAGACAAAGCCCCAAACGGUCGGACGUAGAAAAUCAAUAAUUGACCACGCGCGGAAGGCCGGCAUAACGAAGUCACAGAGAUAUAUGUCCGUAAACAACGUGCCACACAGAGACGUGGUCUAUCUGGAAAGUAGGGAUAGGACACUGAGGACGAAUUAGAUUUCGUCCUGCGUGUGAUAGACACAGAGACACCAUCCGGAGAAAAAGAAAAAGAUUCUAUGUCAAAGGCCCGGACAUCCGAAACCCGUCGAAAAGAUACAAGGCAUAAGCCUUGGCAGAGAGCUGGCGUAGAGCUAGAUCCCCAUUAUCAGGCCAUUCCUCAAGGAAACGUAAAACGAGGGAUACGUCCCAAAAUGAGGAAUAGCGAGAAGCAGGGGGUCUCGAAAGUCUCACCCCUCGGAGUAGUCUGCAGACCGAGGAUUCUCUACCAACCCCCGAGCCUUGGAAAGGAACAUAAGCCGCUGAGAUAGCUGAGCAGAAAACAUUGAUAGUCCAAUAAGACUUACCCUGAGAAAACAAUUCAACCAGGAAGUUCAGGACAGCCAUAACAGGGGCCAUAAAGGGAUCCAAACGUCUCUCCAGACACCAGCCAUGCCAGGAGCCCAAGUGUCCCAGAGUUAUUCUCUAGCCGUAGUCGAUAGUCCCGACACAUCCCAGGAACCCCGGAAACAGUCCAGGCCACCAGGGUUAGUCGAUCCUCCAACAUCAACGAAUGUGGAUUCCCCCCUGGGUCCCGUAGGAGGAAUCUGGAGGCAGACAGUACUAGAGGGUCCCUGCAUGAUAAGUCCAGCAGCAGAGGGAACCACGGCUGACUUCUCCAUAGAAGUGUCACCAGUACGAUCGACACCUUCACAAGCUUGAUGCGAUGUAGCGUCCGCAGGAUCAUGGAGAAGGGGGUGUAACGGACCGUUUUGCACACAAGGGGUAAAAACCAUUUAGGCGAUCGUCCCCCUUUCCGCUAUUGUAGAACACCAAACUCACGAACCGCCAAUAAGUGAAUGAUCCAAACUCCCAAACGGCAUCCAAUAUAGCACUCCAAACACACGAACUGGAACCAUACGAAUAGCUGCUAGCAGACGAAUAGGAAAAGCAUCCAAGCGGCUUACACUCCAAGCAAUCAGUCUCUAUCAGCGUCCAGUAAAUCCCCCCAAAGACGAGACAAGGCUCCGUGUUGAGGGUCAAGCAGUGGUCUGUUUAAUGAGGGCUACCUGCACAAGUAUUUAUGCAGGUCUCCCACCUGGUGGACACUCCCCUAGGGGACCAAAUGGGAGACUGUAACAAAAGACAGACAAGUUGAGAAAUAGGACACACAGUCACAUUAUAUUCCCACAAUGCAUCCUGGCUUCCUCCCCUCUGCCUUGGAGAUAAUUGAGAAGUAAUUCAAUUAUCUCCCAAGACAAAGGCAAAUCGCCAUUAUGCACGUGGGGAUACUACAACACGAAUUACUAUUAAAAUACACUAUGUAAGACACAAUAAACUUAUACAUUUAACAUAUCCCCAGAUAGCUUAGGUCUGAGCACACAUUAUUAAGCGAAUGGCGCUCAGACUAUACAAAUACAGUUCAAUCGCCAUGGAGCCAAAGUCUUUACACAGUCAGUUCUCAUGCGAAUGGGCUCCAUGGGAUUCCUAUCUGGGGUAUAACAUAGACAAGUAAAACUACCGAACACCGGCCGUUCAUGUACUUCCACCAAACAAGAAGGGAGGUCGGCGGCUUCAGCGGUGUUCGCGCAAAACUGUGUCCGAUUUUACUUCCUUGAAUUAAGCGUCGAACACCGCUGUGCGUUCGCAUGUUUAAAAUGGCCGCGACCUUGUGUUCGUUAUAUGAAUGGCGGCCACCCAGCAUUCGCCAAUUAAACUGCGGUUAACCGCAGCUUCAGGGAGGUUAAUUGCCGGCACACUCCAGCUCCCAGGUGGUCUAUUCAUUCGUGCGGUUGUUCGGUAGAUUGAAUCUAUCUAUGGCAGGAAAAAGCCAUUCACAGGUUUAUUGGUUUUGCUAAUUACUACAGGAGAUUUAUCAAAGGGUUCUCUUCUGUGAUACAACUUUUGAACUUCUUAAAAAAACAUUUUCUUCAGCUGACAUUUUAGUACAUCCUGACACUAGCAAAACCUUCAUACUGCAGGUUGAUGCCUCCAAAAUUGGUGUAGGGGCUGUUCUUUCUCAGAGGGAGAGUCAGGAUACCCCUUUGCAUCCUUGUGGGUACGUCUCUAGAAAGUUGUCUCCAGCAGAGUGUAAUUAUGAUAUUGGUAACAGAGAAUUGUUGGCCAUUAUACUAGCGCUUAAAGAAUGGCGACAUCUUUUAGAGGGUUCCAAGGACCCCCUUUGGAUCAUAACUGACUGUGACGAAGUGCCCUUCGCACCUUGUGCCUGGAGGGGACUACUGGCUAGCCUCCUGCCUUCCGCCUAUGGCCCAUGUGCUGAUAGCAGUAUUUUCCCCUGCAGAAAGGUUUAUUUGUGUAUUUCUGCUGGGGCGUUCUGGACUUUCAGUAUGGUAGUAGUGCUAUCCCAGAUAGCUAUGCCAUGGAGCCUAUUUGUGUAACAAAAGACUAUGGAAAAGACUUUGGCUCCAUGGUGAUUGAAUUGUAUGUAUGUGAUCUGAGCGCCAUUCAAUAAUAAUUUGCACUCAGAUCUAAGCUAUCUGGGGAUAUGUUGCAUGGAUAUGUUUUAUAUAGUAAUUGUAACAUUGUGUAAUUUUAUGUCUUUUUGUAACCAUGUGGUUAAUGGAGUCUUGCCUCUGUCCUGGGAGAAAAUUUGAUUACUUCCUAAUUAUCUCCAGGAUAGAGAGGAGGGAUUGUGAUGUCACUGUGGGAGUGUUUUGUUUGUAUUGUCUGUGAUUGGUUAUACUGGGUCCCACCCUGUGGGAUGUCCCCUUGCAUGGGGACUUGCAUAAAAGCCAGUGUGUGGUCAUUAAAAACAGAUCAUCUUGUACCUUUCUUGAAGCCUUGGCUCAUGUUUGGGGGAAGGGAUACCUACACUCUGGGGAUUGCUAUAAUCACUUACUCCCCAGAGUAAGCUCUUGAAAUAGCUUGAUUUGUUCCUGCUACGCUCUCUGGAUUUAGGAGAGGUUCACCCACUGGGAGCUGGAUCCUGGUCGUGGAUCCAGGGUGGGUGGAAACGGCGAGACCCCGGCGCAGCUGUAUCGCUGGAAGUGGGGUCUGAAGUGCUGAUGGUGUCGGUUAGAGUGCUUGGAGUCCUCGGCAAGCGCCAGGAGCAUCGAUUGGCAGAGGUACUCAGUCGGAGUGUCAGUGUACCGUCACACUGACCACAAACAUUUGGCAUAUACAAGGGAUGAUAAACGAUUGUCUUCUAGACAGGCUAGAUGGUCUUUGUUCUUAUCUCAAUUUAACUUUAUUAUAACUUACAGACCUUGUCCCAAAAACGUUAAAGCUGAUGCCUUGUCUAGACAAUUAGACAUUGAAUCAGAACAAGAACAAGAGACAUCUCCCCUAUUGUUCCACCUGAGUGUAUCAUUGCUUCCACUGUUCUUAUCAUCCCCUCUGCUUGGUGCUAUCAUGGAGGCUCAAUCCCAGGCACCUUGCAAUAAGCCUCCUCAUAAAUUGUUUGUUCCGUUGAUCGAAAGACAGAAGGUAAUGAGGGUGUUCCACAACAAUGUGACUGCUGGGCAUCCAGGCUUUAAUAAGUCCACAUCUGCUAUGCUGAGAUAAUUUUGGUGGGAUUCACUCAGGAAAGAUGUCAAGAAAUACGUACAGGCCUGUUCAGUAUGUGCAGUUUCUAAGGUUCCUCAUAAACUUCUUUGUGGAUUAUUACAUCUGUUUCCUGUACCUAGUGUUCCAUGGUUUCAUUUAUCCAUGGAUUUCAUCAUGGAACUUCCUAGUUCUAAUGGUUAUACCACAAUCCUUAUGGCGGUUGACCGCUUUUCCAAGAUGGCUCAUUUUGUUCCUCUCCAAAAAUUGCCUUCCUCUCAAGACCUGGUUCUUAUCUUUAUACGGGACAUUGUCAGACUACAUGGUAUUCCUCAAAAUAUUGUGUCUGACAGAGGUUCCCAGUUUGUAUCUCAUUUUUGCAGGGCUUUCAAUAAAUAGUUGGGUAUUGACUUGUUAUUUCCUUCCUCCUACCAUCCCCAAACCAAUGGCAUGGCAGAGAGGGCUAACCAAUCGUUGGAAUUCUAUUUACAUUGUUUUGUGAAUAGCACACAAGAUAACUUGCCUGAAUUAUUGCCCUGGGCCGAGUUUGCCGGGAACAAUGCUACCCAUGACUCUUCUGGACAUAGUCCAUUCUUUGUCGUCAUCCUACUGUCCUACCAGUAUUUGUUUCUGACACAGCUAUCCCUGCUCUGGAUGAUCACCUUACUUCUAUUUGUGAGACUUGAACCAAAGUUCACUCUGCUCUCGGAUCUGCGGCUGCUCGUUUUAAGUUUCUUGCUGAUAAACGGCGGGGUGCCAACCCUGUUUACCAGGUGGGUGAGAGGGUUUGGUUAUCAUCACGCAACAUCAAACCAAAAGAUUCUAGCAUGAAAUUUGCCCCCAAAUUCCUUGGUCCAUUUCAUAUAAUUCGGAGAAUUAACCUUGUUUCAUAUUUUCUGGCACUUCCUGCCUCCUUACGUAUUCCUAAUACAUUUCAUGUUUCGUUACUCAAACCGCUUAUUUGCAAUAGGUAUACUGUCUCAAGUGUGGCCCCUACUCCAUUGUUUCUGCUCAGCAGCUAUGCGCCAGUAUACCUGAGUCUUGCAACAUGUUGGUGGACGCCGGCCACUGCAGAUCCAUGCCAUUUUAUAGCCCCACGUCCGUCCACGGCCAUGACGAUGUCAACGUGCGUGUGACGUCACGCACCUUCUUGGGUCAAAGGCCGGUUAUGGCCAAUCGGAUCCGUAGGACACUUAUUUAAACACAUUUUUACUUCAUCUCAUUGAAACUCUGUCGUGAUUUCCCUUAGUAGGUUAUCCGCGAGUGUGUUCCUGAGUGUUUAUUUCUGGUUACUGACUUUGGGUUUGUUUUGAUUUCCCUGUAUUCUGGUAUCCUUGACUUUUGGCUUUCCCUCAUCGUUGUGUCUCCUUUUGUGUCCCUGACCUCUACAAGUAUUCUGACUAUUCUCUGGUACGUUAAGUCCGGCCAUUCUAAGGCCCAGUAAGACGUUACCUUUAGUCCUAGGUGUGAUAUAAUUGCUAGCUGGAUCCACUAGUAAUCCUGACACUGGGGAACUAGACACAUUAAAAAGCUGCCACCUUGGAAAUCAUCCAAAACUGACCUCGGAAACUGGCUCCUUCUCCACAGAGAUUUUAUUGGCCACCAUAGUCACUCUCCCCAAGCCUUGUAAGCUGCCCACUUCCUGCAAAAACUUCAGACCUAUUUCCCUCCUCAACACAGAUGCUAAAAUGUAUGCCAAAAUACUUGCCAAUAGAUUAAACCCCAUCCUCUACUCACUCAUCACAGAUGACUAAACAGGCUUUGUCGCAGUAAGGCAGGGACAAGACAACACAAGAAAACAGUCAUUGGUGCUUGAGUAGUUUUGGGGGUCCAGUGGGGGUGGUCUGCUCUUGGCAUUGGACGCUAAGAAGGUGUUCGACUGCCUUGCCUGGCUUUCUGAAACAGUUGUUAACCUCCUAUGGGUUCCACUCUUAAGUUAUUAAACAUACAUUUGCAUUAUAUGCUUUACCUACAGUACGGGUACUACGAAGUGGUUUUAUUUCCCCAACCUUCCCUUCCACCCCUCCCCACUCCUUUAUUUACUGGCCUUGGAGCCUUUACCACAAACUAUACAGGAAAACCAGGGUAUACAAGGCAUGAUAGUAUGUGCUAGAGAUAUUAAAAUUAGCGCUUUCGCGGAUGCUAUUUUACUAUUCCUUACCCAUCUGACAGACUAUCUUCCUCCCUUACUCACUCUGAUUAAACAAUAUAGCAUGGUAUCUUAUUAUUCCCUAAAUGACAGCAAAACCCAAGCUUUAAGCAUAUGCUUAAUCAGUAGAUAUUGGUGUGGUGUAAGUGACAAGGACCUACACCUAUAAGUGGAGCGCUCAAACACAGAUAAAUCUUACCAAAACGUAGUCUCAUUCAAUGGUAAAAUAUGGGGUACAUGUCAAAAUAAAAUACAGAAAAUACAAUAUAGUGUAGCUGACUGAAGAAGCUCUAUUUGAGAGUGAAACGCGUAUUGGCCAUUUUUAAAGGACUUUUAUUUGAGGACUUUUAUCAUCUUUGUUUUUAUGUUUAUUUUAAAGUAAUAAAUUUACCAUUUUCAUUUAAUACCUCAUCCAAGUUCUUUUUGGAGCCUCCAAGGAAUCCUCACAGGGGUAGUGCCAUCCCCAUUCAAAUUGGCACAAAAUCCACAUACCUAGAGCCGGGAUUCGUAGGCUCAGGACCAGGUGAGCACCUCAUUUAUUGAACACAUAUCUGUGUCAUUUAUCACCAGAAGUCUACACAUCGGUUUGCUUUCUUCUCUUUUUUCGUGUUCUCGAGAAAUUCUUCAAGCCGAAGUAGGAGGGUGGUGCUACCAUAACAGCACACAAGCCUUUAUACGGAGCCAGUGUUUUCUAUAUACAGGCUCCUUGAAAUGUGAGUGUAAUAUUCAACACAAUAUUAUUAUAAUCACUGUGAAGCCAUUUUUUAGUACCAUCUACACUAUAUUGUAUUUUCUGUAUUUUAUUUUGACAUGUACCCCAUAUUUUACCAUUGAAUGAGACUACGUUUUGGUAAGAUUUAUCUGUGUUUGAGCGCUCCACUUAUAGGUGUAGGUCCUUGUCACUUACACCGCACCAAUAUCUACUAAAUUUAUUCAGUGGAAUAGAGGAUAUUUCCACACUAGUGUAUUGAGCUGCCUGUAAAUCACUUUUUGACUCUUUUGUGCACUUUUGUUAUACACACUCCUCUGUAAACAGAGGCAACCUUUGAUUGGUAUUCAUAUAUGCUUAAUCAGACCUAUGAUUUUAAAUGAAGAACUGACAAUAUUGAAUAUCUAGGACUCAACCUUUAUCGAAAACCCUGCAGACCUUUAUGCAGCAAACUGUUUUAGAGUUUGGAACAACUGUCACAGACUAUUGCACAGUUGGACACCACUGUUCCUGACCUGGACUGAAUGAAUUGUCACAAUUAAGAUGUCACUACUCCCUAGACUCCAAUAUAAUUUCCGCGCCUUGCCGUUACAACUACCACGUACAUUUUUUUAAAUCUGUAAAUAGCCACCUAAUGAAGUUUGUGUGGGCAAGAGGAUGACCUUGAGUGUCCAGCCGCCAAACUGGAAGGCAUGGCAUUUCCUAAUAUACCACAAUUCUGACCUGCUUUUUUUUUUUUUAAACAGAAGCCCCUGUGGCGGACCGGCAGUAUAUCGCCACCAUGGAUUUCCGUUUCCAAUGUGAAAUAGCUCUAUCCAAUAGUGAAGGGAAAUAUCUCUAGUAUAGCUUUUCCCCCAUACAUUAGUCGAGAUCCAAAAAACACUCAGAUGGUGAAAUGGAAAAUUAUCGCUAAUAUACUGAGAAUUUUAUUAAUUGUUCCAAAUAUCUAAAUUAAUACCAGAUAUGGUAUUAACUGGUAUAUCUUAAUAAUUUAGAUGUUGCUCCCAAAGUACAAAUGAAAUAGGAUGAAUCCAAAAUGGAGUCUACUCACCAUAUGGGCUAUUCCAAAAUGGAGUUAGUCACAUGUGGCAUGCAUCACAAUGGGAGUCAAAUAACACUCUCCUGAAAGUAUUACCCAAAAAACAAACAAAAAGAAUGUACACUCGAAGAGAUAUGAUUUAACAAUUAAUAUCCAAACUGACACACAUCUUGGCCGCAUGGCUCAGACAAAGAAAGUCUCCAAAAAGGUGCUCACUACUCCCCCUAAUGGUACAAUUCUAAAAUGGCACUCAACAUAAUAAACUGUAUUAAGUGAUUUCUAAUGAAUAAGACCAUAAUAAACCCGUGUCCAUUACAGAUGGGUUCAGUGGUUUGGAAUUGCCAUCAACGUAACAUUUUGACUGUCCGGCCACGAGUUAGAGGCCCAAAAUAGUUCCAGAUAAAUCGUGGAAUUGUCAGGUCUCAGUUCGAGGAUAUCCCUAUGAAAACUACACAAAAUAUCCGAAUGCUUUCAAGCGUCGACUGCUCCCCCUCGACGGUAGUUCACAUCUCCCGAAUGCCGUUCGUAUAAGUGGUCGGGAACUUGAACGGGCAGCAGUUCCAUCUUCACCACUGUUCGCAGGAGUGCCUAGUCUAAAUCAGUUCCAAGCACUUGACAGCCAGGUACCACUGCCUGCGUUCGGGAUACAAAAUGGCCGCCAUCCAUUCUGUCGACUACGUGCAUUUGGUUUCACAAAUGCGCCCACCCAGGGUAGCAUUUUAUUCAUAGUUUCCAUUGUGGUUUUGCCUGCCACGGAGGGGGAGAUGCCCUGGGGAGACCGGCGACGGCCUCCACAUGUCCCGAGCCCGCCCAGCCCACAAUGCGUGACGAGUGCUAAAUGACAAUAGUACCGGCGGAGGGGUGACCGGGGGGGGGAACUUGCUACGAGUGGGGGGAGGGGGGGGGGGGGGGGAUCGAGACAGGGACACACUGGGCGCGAGCCUAGCACAAGAGCCACGUUAACCAGGGAUGGACGAUUAGUUAACACUCCCGACACAGGACGGAGUGUAGAGGCACAGAAGGGGAGGGGGGAGGAGAGAAGGGAGGAGGGGAGGGAGGGCUGGGGAGACCUAAGCUGUACGCUGCGGGAAGGUGGGCAAGGUGGUUCUAGAGCUCGAGGGACUAGGGACGGGGGGGACGAUACUGUGGAAGUGUGGGAUAACAUAGCCAAGGGGGGGGAGUAGGGGACAACGAGGUGUAAUGGAUCUAACUCGGUCUUAGGACUCACGAAUACACUGGAGGGACUGGAGAGGGGGACAGCCUCGGGGGGGCGCCCGCCAAGAGGUGACAGGAGACCACUCCAUAAAACUCACCGGCAGUGGUUGUGGGGGCACCAGACGCAACGCCCACACUAACCUGCUAUCAGGAAGGGCUUGCGGCACAGGCCCUGACGCAUAGAGCUUGAGGCGAAGAGCCUUAGGAACACUAGCCAUAGCGAAAUGAGCAGGGGGCGUGAUGGGCAACAAACUAAUACUCAUAUACUGGCCCUGGUAUUCUAUAUCGCUGUACAGAAGCCGGUUGAGAGGGUAAGGGGGGGGGUGGGGUGGAAGGUGACGAGAUGGCGAGCAGGAGGGGGAGUCCUAGCAGAGGGGGAAAGGGGACGCAGCACUCGGGCAUCGAGGCAACCGCAAGACGUCUCCAUCAUGUAAUUGAGUGCCGGGGAUUUCCUUCUUGUACUAUGUUCUGUUCUGUAUUCAUUACCUAAAAUACUAAUAAACACGAGAUUGUCAAAAAAAAAAAGAAAAAGAGUAAGAAGAAGAAGAGUGGGGAGUAAGAAGAAGAAGAAGGAGGAGUAAGAAGAAGAAGGAGGAGUAAGAAGAAGAAGGAGGAGUAAGAAGAAGAGGGGGGAGUAAGAAGAAGAGGGGGGAGUAAGAAGAAGAGGGAGGAGUAAGAAGAAGAAGGAGGAGCAAUAAGAAGAAGGGGGUAAGAAGAACAGGUGGGGGAGUAAGAAGAACAGGUGGGGGAAUACGACGACCAAGGGGGGAAGUAAGAAGAACACAGGGAAGAGGGGGGUAAGAUGAACACAGGGGGUGUGAGGAGAACACAUAGAGGGAGGAGUGAGAAGAACACAGGGAGGGUGGAGGGGGGGAUGAGAAGAGCACAGGGAGGGUGGGUGAGUGUGAGAAGAGACCGCUAGGGGAGGGUGGGGGAGAGGAGAGACCACUAAGGUGCAGGGGAGAGCUCUACGGGACAGAAGGGGCAGCUCUAUAGGACAGGGGCCAAGACAGGGAGCUCUUUUACACUACGCGCGCGCACACACACACAAUGCAUCCCUAUACAUACACAGAAACACAACAUGCUUCCCUUACACACAGAGAAACACACAAUGCAUCCAUUACACACACACACAAUGCAACCCUUACACACAAAGACAAUGCAUCCUUUGCACACAUACACAGAAACAGACAAUGCAAACCCGUACACACACAUGCAAACACACACACUUCUUUUCUUACAUACACACAGAAACACAAUGCAUCUCUUACACUCAAUGCACACACAUACAGACACACACCUUGCAUCCCUUAUGCAUACAAACACAGAUUCACACAAUGCAUCCCUUACACACAACCAGAAACACAUAAUACAUCCCUUAUACACAAAUACACACUGCUUCCACUACACACAAACACACUACAUCACCUGCACAAACUGGUAACCCUAUACACUACAUACCAUAAGCACACAUAUUAGAUCCUCUACAAUAACACAUAACACAUCCCCUACACACUCCACUCCCUGUGAGCGAACUCAUGGGUGGGUGGAACUUAUGAGUGGGCCUUAUGGGCAUACUCACCGUCAGGCCCUGGGGCCCAGACCCCCCCAAAAAAUGGAGCUGCUUCCAAUUCUCCCAGAACAUUGAAUUUUGUGACCACAACUGCAAACAGCCUCCAGAGAUCCUGUUCUACACCAGACCAGUGGAGCCAAACUGCAGCCCAUCAUCAUCCUCAUCUGCUUGUAAGUAGGCAAUCUAGUAUAUUAUUAGUGACACUAAUCUAUAAUGUACCUCACAUACAAGGGACACUAUAGCUUAAUGAAGUGGUUCUGGUGUCUAUAGCUGGUCCCUGCAGGUUUUAAUGUAAACACACACUGUGUGCAGCACUGGCGUUAGUUCAUAUGGGUGGGGCAUUGUGAUGUCACAUGGGGGGGCAGCAAAUUUUUAUUUUGUCUAGGGCGGCAAAAAUCCUUGCACCGGCACUGAUCCUGGUCAGGUGCACCAGUCUACUGGUGACCCACAGGAGGGGAGUGCACUGAUUGCACUGCACUCUCCUCCUGUCCAGCCCCAUCUUUACCGCAGUGCAAGUGCCCUCUGCCCCUAAUUUACAGUGGCUCACACUCACAACAAGCAGUGCCUGGAGCCGUGAAGGAGCGGGUAUGGCAAAGAGCUACUGAUUAGCAUAACAUCAAUAUCCGUUAUAAAACCAGGAAAAGGUGGGCAUGGAUGGUGAACUGAUUUGGUGGUGCAAUGGGCCACUUGACUGGUUUUGCCCCCCAGGCCUAAGGCUGCCAGCCCUCCCCUGAUUGCAAAAAACUUUUAACCCUACUCCUGAGUCUUACAGGAAAAAGUUUAUGAGUAUGCAGCAAUGCCCAUCAUCCAGCUGCAUUCUAUAUGUUGCACAAUUAGAAACCACAUUCCAGCAAUGGGUAAUGGGAGUACAAGCUACUACCUAUGAAGCCCUUAAUGACUUAAUGGUCCUGGAGCAGUUCUUGCAGACCCGGAGCCCUAAUGUACGAAAGUGGAUUUGGAAAGAAAGCCAAAAAAUGCUAGGGCUGCUGCAGAACUGGCAGAUGACUAUGCCAACAUCCAUGCACCCACAUCCAGGCGUGGACUGGUGUCAGCUGCUACUUCGACCUGGAGAGAAGCUACAGUUCAAUCACCACCUGUAAGAUCUGCAGUGAGAACUUCACCGCCGACUGCCAGCGUAGCCGGGGCUAUGUCUAGUGAGUCAGAUGCCCGCCGUUAUUUUCGAUGCAACCAGAUUGGUCAUCUGAGCAGGACCUGCCCCACUAGGAAUAUACCCUCACCAGCCCGUGGAGGGGCACCAUCAGUUUUGCUUGUGGGUGGGUCCGUGGGGAAACGAGACGAUAACCUGCAGAGUGUAAUUGUGGGUGACCGAGUGACCAUGGGACUGAGAGAUUCUGGAGCUUCAUUCACCCUGGUGCGCCCUGAAGUCGUGAAUAUGGAGGACAUAAUCCCUGGAAGAACCAUGUCCAUCAAAGGAAUUGGGGGUGUAUGCCCCGCUGUGCCCUUGGCACGUGUGUACCUUGAUUGGGGUGCGGGCAAAGGUUUGCGGGAAGUGGGGAUUUCAGAGGAUAUCCCUGUUAAUGUUCUGUUGGGGAAUGAUUUGGGCAGGAUGCUCUGUCACUAUGCUCCAGUGGACACUGUUUGUGAGCCAGAAGGGCUGACUGCUCCACCUAAGGUAUUGUGUGAAACUUUAGGAGACAUUGUGAACUGUGAUUGCUGGGAGGGAGAGCAGGGUGUGGAUAAAUAUCUACCUGUAACUGAACCAGUGAUGUCUACCAAAUGUGAGAUAGGGGUGAGUAGUGAUGUGCCUGUAUCAAAAUACUGUGAGGCUAGGAUUUCAGAGAGUAAGGGGGAGGAGGAAGGUGAGAGCCAGGGAUGUGUACCACUAGUCGCAGUGGUAACAAGUCAACAGUGGGUCAGGGCUGCAGCAGGACAGUCUGAGGUGCUAUGUGAGAUUGUGAGAGGAGGGCCUGCCUUGGAGAAGAAAUUAUGUGAGUGUGUGCAAAAUUCUGCAUCUGAUCAAGGGGGGGUCAAAUGUGUCCUGUGAAAAUGUAUGGGAAAAGCCUUCCAGCGAGAGGGGGCUGAAUGAAUAUAUGUGCCUGAAGCAGAUGUAUGUGAUGUGGUGGGUGAAAAUGUGAAGGGACAGCAAGGCUAUGAGGGAGGGCAGAGGGUGUGUGAGCUUUACUCUGCGGCAGGCUUAGCCAGUUUCCAAAGUUCGGUAUGUGUGAUGACCUGGAGUGAAAGUGAGGGGCACGGACAGACUCAGCCUGUGGGUCCAGGAAGGAUGGCUGCAGGGAAACAUAUUGUUGGAGGAACCAGGAACCUUGUCAGUUUAUCACAACUCACGCAUACACCUAAGCAACUGUCUGAUUGUGAACCAAAGGUUAAUGGUAGACAGAUAAAUCAGCCUGUGGCUGAAUUUUUCUGUCCACCAUCUUAAGGGGGAGGUGUCAUGCCAAAAGCAUGAGUUGGUGUUUGAUGUGUGUUUAUAUAUGUUGAGUUGUUUUUUUGUAAACCUUGGGAUGACAUUUAUUGUGGUCUUUGAUCUUGCACCAGGCCUACACCAUAAAACAUCUAGAUAGCCAUCACCAGAGCUGGACACAAGGAAUUUCAUAGAGUGGGCAAUAGACUGCCAGACCAACCCCCUCUGAUCCCCCCCCCCCCAGGGGUCUGCCCACUGAGAAACAACUAGUUUAGAUAUAUGAGGGUGUUGGACUAUCCAGGGAGGUCAGUUAUUCAUUUUUCUUUUGUCAGUAACUUCUAGGAGACCUAUACCAUCUAAGACUCCCACAAGAAUUCUAUAUGGGGUAAAUAUAUGUAAGGAAUUUCUUGUGUUUUCUCCUAUUUUAUUUUAUGUACUGUUUUGCAAUUUGUUAUCUGUAUGUCAUUUAUUUCUGUAUUUUGUACUCAGCACUGUGAAUCCUUUUUGUCAGAUUAAAUGUUUACUUAAUCAGCUUGUGUCUCUGUUCUCUAUGAGCUUCACUCUCCAGAGGAAAGCUCAGGUAAAAACGUUACCAAAAAGGGUUAACUGUAUAUGGUUUAUCAGUAAAAGUAGAACUGUGAUACUAUAAUUCUCCUGUGUGUGGGGUAACCUAAGACGCCCGGGUUUAAAAGUCUUGGUGGUGGCAGUAAAGUGUGUACUAAGGGAGUUAGUGUAGAAGGGAUUGCAGGGGUUAAUUGAGUGGUUGCUGGGACUAGCAACAGGUAACCAGGGGUCUGGUGUUAUUAACCCUGUCACUUCCACACUCUCCCCACUGUCUCGGCUGGGCCUAUAGCCCACGCACGUGACACCCUCUUUUACCUGACAUAGCAGGGGGACUUCUGGACGUCAGGCGGGCGCAGUGUCAGACUGAGCGCCGGGUAGUCAUGCGACACCCGGCGCUCCUGCGCGGAGGGGGAGGUGCUCCCCUUCCCAGUCUGCAGUGUGUGCGGUUCCCUGAUGGAGCCGCACGCAGCCCGAGGGCACCUGCGGCCGGUGGGGGUUUUCUCUAUAACCUGCCCCCCCGCAUGAUUUGCUGGGGGGGGAUGAGUCCCUCCCAACCCCCCCUGUUCUUACACCCAUGGUCACGCUUAGACUCUUUAAGUAGCUAUGAGAGAAUGGCAAGUCGUUUGGCAGGAGUGGAAGGAAAAUAUAUAAAAAUUUGGCUAAAAUGGUUUAGUGUCAGGAAUUGUAUUUAUAGGAGGUAGGCCAUGGAUAAGAAGUUGUUACAUACAUUAAUUUAAUUGAAAUAAAGUAAUUUAAUAGUUAACCGUGAAAGCUAGAGGUAUAUAAAGGGAAUUUAUGUUUUCAAAUAAGCCUGGUACAAUGGUUUAAGUAAUUUAUAAAGGUACACAUAAGAUCACUAGGUAAUGUAAAAUAUGAUAGCAUUUAUGUUUAAGAAUGGAUUAAGGUAUGGAUAUACUAGAGAUCAGGUUUAUACACCACUAGAUAAUGUUUGUUAUUGUUUGAGAUUUGUUUUUAGGUUUUGUUAUCCGUGGGUUUUUUUUUUGGUGUUUAUGCUGUUUGCUUAUGUGAUUGUCUAAUUAUGUAUAUUGAAAUCUAUAAUAAAAACUUAUAUAUUAAAAAAAAACAAAAAACGCCAGUGUAAUUAUUGCAGUUUUCAUAAAGGGGAGGAGCGUGGGCGGACCCUGACCCAGCGCCGAGGGACAUUGGUGCUGGAUACAGGUAAGUCACUGAAGGGGUUUUAACCCCUUCAGCAACUUGGGAUGGGGGGUUGGAGGGAGAGGGGACCUGCAAUGCCAGGAAAAUGGUUUGUUUUCCUGGCACUGGAGAGUCCCUUUAAGCUGUAUAAGUUCCAAAACUUCCAAAUUUGCAUUAAGAUAUGCUAGUCAAAUCCCUGGCACUCAAAGGGUUAAUAUCACAGAAUUAUAUUGCAUUACUGGCCAUCCAACAAUUAAACCAAAGUUUUGUUUCUUUUGUUCCCCCCCCAAAAAGCAAUUUUCAAAAGGAAUACAAACCUGUAUGUAGAAAUGUAGAAAAACAAAUAAUUUGAACCAAAAUCUAUAAAGUGUAUAUGUUACAGUUAAGAAAUGAGGAGCCCCCACCACCACAAGAGAGCUAGCGCUUCCUGCACAUUAUGCAGCAACACCCUGAAAUGAUCCCAGCAGAUGCUCUCCACUGUUCUCAAUAUCAUCAUAUAUUUGAAGACGGAAUCAGUGGUCCAUGAGCAGACCUCUCCUUGGUCUCUUCCUCCUCAACGAGAGAAGUAUUUCUCGGACUUACGGAGCAGCAUUGUUAGUAGCCAGCCCCCUCUGAAAAGCAACAAGCCAUGCGUCUAUGCUUUGAGAAUUUGAUGGUGGAGGGCAUUGAAAGGAACUUGCUCACAAAAAGAAUCGAGACAAAAUCUUUCUGCCUUCAGAUGAGAAGUGAACGACUCUGCAGAGUUUGCACUGAAAGGGUGAAACAGGUUCUGCAAGGACGAUUUUUGUAAUAAAUAAUUCCUCUUUUACUGAGGGAAAGAAACAAACAUUUUGCACUUUAACUAUACGGAAGCAGUUAAUGUGCACAUUACCUAGGUAAAGUACGGAAAACUCGAUUCCGCACUUUAACAGAGCAAAUCAGUUAAUACGCAGAUUAACUAGGUAAUAUGCACAUGAACUGAUUUCUCACUUUAACUGUAACAUAUAUAAGUAGUUUUAGUGCCAGGAGUGUCCCUCUAAUAUAAGUUAAUUAAUAGAGGUGAGCUCUGUCCCUUCCAUAGAGGGUGGCUCGCUUCUUGUCAUAUUCCUGGAUUGUAGAGAUUGUCUUCUUUUCAGGAUCUUGUUCAUCGCCGCUCUGUAUUUCUGUGACAUGAUGUUGUAGAGCAUGGGAUUGAUAGAUGCGCUCAGGUAAAAGAGAAUCAUAGCGACUAAAUUGAAAUACUGUGUCAGUUCAUAAAAUAGGUGUUCUAUUCCAAACAAGGCAAACAGGAUGCGGCCAAUGUGAAAAGGUAACCAGCACAACACGAAGGACACAACCACAACAGCUGGGGGGAAAAAAACAGAAAAAGAUAAACCAAAUAUAAAAGAUGUAUUUAUUUGUGAUUUAAAAAUAAAUAAACCAAUAUAUGCUUAAAAAGGAACACUUAAAAAAAACCAUAAUUACAACAGCUGAAGUUAUUAUGGUGCCUGAGCUACUUUGUCACUUAGGACCCCACCUGCCGUCAAUGGGUGGGGGCCAGGGGGUGCAACAGAUCCACCUUUCUUAUCACUUACAAAAGAAAUUCUGAAUCAAACAUAAUGACUAAAUUUCAUCUCAACACAAAUGGACAAAUUCUCAACAUUCUGUUUGCACGAAAUUCUGUCAAUGCAGGUAUGAAUUGGUACAGCAAGAAGGAAGUAUAAACCCUGCCACAUCUCCAGUGGAGGUAGGGCCCUAAGCAACAGGAAUCCGAAUUCAAUGUUAAACAGCCCCAGAGGACUCCAAGCACUAUAACAAAUUCAAUGACAUUAAAUAUUUAUAGUGUCUACAGUGUCUCUUUAAACCAAAAUGUUAACAGGGGGCACCAUCUUUAACUAUUAUUAGAAUUUAUAUAAAGAUCAGAAAAUAUUUUCAACAGAAUAAUAUGUGAGACCUUCAGAAUUAUCUAUAUUUCCUAAAGUACAGUAGCUGCCUGAUCUUUACAGCAACCCAAGAGUCCGAGCUCUCUUUCCUUUCCAAUGGGCAUUUGAUCAGAUCACAUUACAACAACAAUCAUUAAUGCCCUAUGUAUCAGCCUAUUGAACAGGAUUCUACAUUCUGUACAGUAUGGUUGUAGUGACAAAACACCUUGAAGAGGACCUCACUGUUUGUGUUUUUACCCUUCCCUGGUCAUGCACGGAUGGUGGCAGAGUAACUGGGAGGGGGGGGGGAUUGUACGGUAAGAACUCCAGUAUGUAAAACAUUUUUUUGUUUUUGAGCAAAGAGUUGUGUUAAAGGUCAGAUUUUAUUUAAAAAUACACCUGGAUACUUUAUCAAAAGACAGGUACUGAACAGAGAAGAACAAAGCAUCGUAUCACUAAUACUACAUAACUGGUGUGAAACCUUUGAUCAUCUCUCUGCAGUUAUAGAUGCCCAUGUCUUCUGUACAUUCGGCUGGACACUCGGGCAUUUGACCUACCUUGCUGGACAGAAUAGUGAUAGCUUUCAUUUCUGUUUAGGUUUACAAGACAACUUUACAAAUAGUUUUCAUGCUCUUAAUUUAAUUCCUUGAAGCUUUUUUCAACAGUAGAACUUAAAUUGGAAGUUCUGAUUACAUUUUGCAAAGUUUUAAAAAUUAGGUGUGAAUUGUCUUCCACUCCCCCCUCAAAACAAAUCAUGUCAUAAACCCAGCAAAUAAAUUAUUGUAAUCCAGUGAUACAAUUUGGGAGCCACCAAUGCACAUAUACACUCACAGCAUCAUGGGAAAAGUGCUUUUUGUACACUAAGCAUGUCAAACUCGCGGCCCACAAUGGACAUCUUUGCGGCCCGGUGAGCCGCGAGUACAUGCUUGGUGUUAAAGCAGAGUAGGCACCUGCUUUCUCCACAUUGCAGGUGCCUACUCUGCUAAAAUUCUUCCUUCUCCUCAAUGCUCCCUCGCACGCCGUCUGUAGUGAUGCCGGAUUAUGACGUCAUACUCCGGCACCCGGAAUGACUAAACUGCGCGCGAGUGAGCAGUAAGGAGCAGGAAGGAGAUCUCCACAUAGAAGAUCCCCUCUGGAUACCAGGGAAUGAUGUGAGUGUGUGUGUGUGUGUGUCUGUCUGUGUGUGUCAGUGAGUGUGUGUCGGCCUGUGUUGCAAUGGCCGCAGCUGGACAGUGGAGUACCUGGAGGUGCAUAGAGGCACGCAAAGCCACUUCACAUUCCGACGUCGACGUGCUCCACCUUCACAGGGUUUCAAGAAGUAGCAGGAGGAUCAGUUUUGGCACAAGGUGCGGACGGCACCAUUUGGGGUAUACAAUAGGCCGGACUCUGGAGUUGCAUACUGGCAGCGGCAAUGUGAGUGGAGUCUGCUUGUUGGCUAGAAGGGGGUGCUGGAAUUUAGUAUAGGGGGAGGACUGGGAUUUAGGAGAGGUUUUUUUUUAAUAUACUGUACUUUUCACUCCCCCCCCCCGCUUACUCUGUGCAGGUUGGGGCCGCAAUACAUGGCAGCUGCGACCCCUGUAUGUACGCCAGUGCAUGCAGAUACACAUACACUUAAAGGACCACUACAGACACCCAGAUCACAUCAGCUCAAUUAAGUGGUCUGGGUGCCAGGUCCCUCUAGUUUUAACCCUGUAGCUGAAAACAUAGCAGUUUCAGAGAAACUGCUAUGUUUCACUGAGGGUUAAUCCAGCCUCUAGUGGCUGUCUCAUUGACAGCCGCUAGAGGAGCUUCCGCGAUUCUCACUGUGAAAUUCACAGUGAGAAGACGCUGGACGUCCAUAGGAAACCGCAUAUGGGCGGUUUGAAUGCGUGCGUGGCUGAGAGGCAGAUCGGGGCGGAGGGAUCCCCAGCGCCAAGGGAGUCCGGCGCUGGAGAAAGGUAAGUGCUGAAGACACAGACACACACUCUCACGAACAGACGCAUACACACAUUUACGGACAGACACACACUCAGUGACAGACAUACAUACACACUCACUUACAAAACACACACUCACUACCAGACACCAAACAGACACCAAACAGACGCACACAAACUAACACACUCACUGACACACACACACACAGUAACACACUCACUGACACACACAAACAAAAACUAACACUAACACACACACAAAAUGUAAUCCCCCAGCCUCCCUACCUUUGGUAGUGUGCUGACUGAGGGGAUUCCCUGGGGUCCAGUGGUGUUGCUGGGCGGCCGGUCACUGGGCAGGCGCGCGAGGGAGCACUCUCCCCUGCGUGCUCCCUCUUCAGCUCCUUCGCGCGCCGCGUAUUGAUGCCGGAGCCGGAAUAUGACGUCAUAUUCUGGCUCCGGCAUCAGUGGGGUGCGCGCGAGGGAGCACUCAGGGGAGAGUACUCCCUCGCGCGCACGCCAGCCGGGUGACACCAGGGCCAGCCUCGGGGGCCAUGAGGUGGCCGGCUCCUGGGCCCCCCAGGAGAAAAGGCUGGCCACACUGGGUACAUACCGGGUCGCAGCGUAUGUACGCCACUGAUUCUAGGUGAACAAAAUCACUCAAUGAACAUUCACUUACUAACAUAUUUAGAUUCUUUUUGAGAUCAGCAAUAUAUACUACUACAGGACAGAAUCUUAAACCACAAAAACAAGUUUAGUUCUUAGAUAAAGGAUGUCUAGUUUGCUUACCUAACAUUUUAACAGUUUGCUUGUGGUCUUUUCCUCUAAUGCCAGCCCUGAUGCCAUGCUUGCUGUUCCAUAGCUUCCUACAGAUAAGUCCAUAGAGCACAGUCAAAAAAAAUAUGGGUACGAAGAAAUAUAUGGCAGAAACCCAUAUCAUUAAAUGGAAAAGCCCGCUUUGGGCUGACUGCUCCAUAUAUUUACAUUCCAUGGCUUCCUCUGGUUCGGAUUCAGCAGGGUGAUCCACCCCAAACAAGAACAUUAUUGGUCCAGCUGUAAUUAUAGAAAAAAUCCACAGAACAACAAUUACAAUUUUCACCCUCUUCUUUGUAAUGAUUAUCUUUGAUUUCAGGGGAAAGCAUAUAGCAAGGUAUCGCUCCACACUUACAGCAGUAAUGUGAAGGAUUGUGCAAUAAGUACACGUCUCACUCAGGUACACCAGAAACUUGCAAGUAAAGUCCCCAAAAAUAUAUGGCUUAUAUUUCCAAAUUCUGUACAAGUCAGAAGGCAUGCCAAGAAAAAUAAGAAUAUCCGAGAUAGCCAUGCUGGAAAGAUACAUAUUUACUGUGGAUCUCAUGUCCUUAUAGCGUUUGAAAACCAAUAUUGUUAUGACGUUUCCUAUGACGCCCAAGAAAAAGAGGGUGAUGCAAAUUAUCGUUACCGGAAUCAGGAUUUCAAUUUGAAACAAAGUAUCCGUACUAUCUGUAGUAUCGUUAAAACCACUUCCAAGCCUCGUAUCACUUUUGUUGAAAUCCAUUCUCUUAAUGAUGAUGUAACAACAAUUUCUUCAUAUUAUUGAUACUAAAGUCGGAACAACACUCCAUGUGUACGAUCCUUGUUCCAAGAAGAUAACCCAUCUAUUAAUAAAACUGUCAGACUGUGCGAAUCUUAUUCAAAAGCAAACUUAUAUCAUAGUUUCCAAAAAACAUCCUCUCUAUAAACUACUACACUACAUGUUAGGCACUGUUUUUCCCACACCUGUUAGGAGUGUCUUCACUUAAAAAGGGGUGGGUACGCCCCGUUCAUUCAUUAAAAAACGACUUCAUCAUUGCCCAUGCCAUUUUUCAAUACUGCUAUGAAAGAAGAAAGGUUUCAAACUGAUAAUGCUGGGUGUAUUGGGAGCUAAUGUAUUUUUAUGUCCAAUUAGCAGAUUAAAAACAUGUCCUUUGCACCUUAACAGCCCAUUAGCCUCCAUGAAAUCUCAUUUAUCACAAAUUCUGAGACUAUAGAAAAGUACAAUCUGUAAUGUCUCUUUUGGUGAAGCGUGAAAAAUAAAUAUCCAUAUUUAAUCAUCUAUUUUAUCCUUUCUUGUACAUUACCAGUAUUGUUGAUCUUAUCUGAACUUAGCUUGUUUAUAUAACAGCUGCGAUAGACAUGUACUUUGGAUUAAAAUGAAGUGGUUUCAGUUUAAGCUUUUAAGAAAAUAUAAUUCCUAUGAUAAUUGUUCGUACAAUGGACAUGAUUAAAUAAAAUUCAAAUUGUUAAUGAUAUAUUUAUAAAUUUCCAUCAUGUUCUACAUUAACGGUAGCACAGUAUACCUACAGUCCUCAUGUUUUUAACAUUGAUCUCAUUAAAGGACCACUAUAGUGCCAGGAAAACAUAUUCGUUUUCCUGGCACUAUAGUGCCCUGAGGGUGCCCCCACCCUCAGGGUCCCCCUCCCGCCCGGCUCUGGAAGGGGGAAAGGGGUUAAAACUUACCUUUUUCCAGCGCUGGGCGGAGAGCUCUCCUCCUCUGAUCCUCCUUCUCUCCUCCCCGUCGGCUGAAUGCGCACGCGCGGCAAGAGCUGCGCGCGCAUUCAGCCGGUCACAUAGGAAAGCAUUCAUAAUGCUUUCCUAUGGACGCUUGCGUGCUCUCACUGUGAAAAUCACAGUGAGAAGCACGCAAGCGCCUCUAGUGGCUGCCAAUGAGACAGCCACUAGAGGAUUAGGGGGAAGGCUUAACCCAUUCAUAAUUAUAGCAGUUUCUCUGAAACUGCUAUAAUUAUGAAAAAAUGGGUUAACCCUAGCUGGACCUGGCACCCAGACCACUUCAUUAAGCUGAAGUGGGCUGGGUGCCUAGAGUGGUCCUUUAAAGAGACUUAAAAGAAACAUUUUCCUUCCAUUCUUUGCCUAAAUCAAAUAAUUCAAGGCCAUCAUUUUUUGUAUAUUAGUUCUCAUAAGCGAAGCACUGUAUAAUAACUGGCAUAGCCUAUUUGCAUUAUGCUCUACUCAAGCCUUUUUACGAGGCUUUCAUUCGAACUAGGAUGAAAAAAGAUGGAUGUUUGCACAGGGUAGAUUUUAUUCUGAAAGCUGGUUACGUAUUGAAAACAUAAGCAACGCUGCGGACAACUCCAUAUUCUUGAAGUGCGAAACCAUAUCAUGUUUUGGUUAAUGCAAACAUCAAGAGAAAAUUUUACUUCUUUAAGUAAAAUAAUUACUUUAAUUCAUGACCACUUGUCAUGAACAGGAAUACUUUCUAAGUUGUUACAGUAAGGGAUGUUUGGAUAUGAAGGGGUUAAUAGCCCUAAGACUCUGGAUUUACUAACGCAAACUGUUAACUGGAACUAAAGUUACACCAAAUUUACCACCACCCAAUAACGCCUUCAUCACCCCCCACAUAUCAUUACAAUAAUACCAGUCUCGAUGCUUAAAUAACCACUCCACUUUCCACAUGGCGGAGAAAAAAAGGAAAUCACUGUUUAGUGGAUAUACACCUAAUGAAUACAUGCAUGAAUCUUCAUACAUGUAUUCAUUGGGGGUAUAUCCUAAAGGAACUUACGAACUGCAGCCUUGGCAAGCCCUCUCUUUUUCCCGGAAGAGACUUGCAGUCCCUUCACAGGAAAAUAACCAAUUAGAGCUUCUGAAUUGGUACACAUGUGCAAAGAUACAUGUGCAUGUGUUGGCUCAUGCUCACUCGCGCACGUCUGGUCUGAGGUCUGGAGCUGAGGAACUGGUGAGCGGGGAGGCAGGCAAGUAGAGCGUGCCUGCUAGGCAUGUGCAAAAUUUUCGUUCUGCAUUCUGCAUUCAGAAAUUCGGAAUUUCUGACCUUCGGCAUUUCUGGACUUAUCUUGCAGCCGCUUAGUAGAUAACUCCCUAAUUCCCACGGUAUUAGGGAGUUAUCUAACAAAAGGCUGGAAGACCUAAAUUGGUCUUUGAGACAAAUUUACUAAUACUAAGUAAAAAUUACUUAGUAUUAGUAAAUUAUGUNNNNNNNNNNNNNNNNNNNNNNNNNNNNNNNNNNNNNNNNNNNNNNNNNNNNNNNNNNNNNNNNNNNNNNNNNNNNNNNNNNNNNNNNNNNNNNNNNNNNGUCAAAUACCAGAAAAUCUAAAUCAGGAAUGCACAAUCGGAUUACCAUCAGUAUGAAACCACGACAGGGCAAUGAGCAAAAGAAGAAUUGGGUUUAAACACCCUCCUGUGGAUUCGAUUGGCUGUAACUGGCCUUUGACCUCAAAAGCAAUUACCAGGUUUCCAUGUGCAUGAUUGUUGCUCGGCACAACUUUUCCUGUCAGGACGGUAAUGUUGCUCGGCACAACUUUUGCUGUCGACGAUAAAUGCCAUUAACUACAUUUUUAUGUGCGGAUGAAUAGGGAGGGAGGGUAGGGGCUGAGGAGAGACUACUGAUGGAGGGGGGUGAGGAGAGAUCUCCAUGGGAGGGAGGGGUCAAGGAGAAACCACUAAGGGAUGAAGGGGGGGUGAGGAGAGACCACUAGGGGAGUGUGUGGAAGUGGAGAGACCUCUAGGGGGAGAGUGGGGAAGUGGAGAGACCACUAGAGGAAGAGGGGGGAGAGGAGAGACCACUAGGGGGAGAGGGAGGGAGAGGAGAGACCAUUAGAGGAGGAGGGGGAGAGGAGAGACCCCUAAUGGAAAGGGAGGGAGGAGGGGAGAGAUGACUAAUGGAAAGGCAUGGAGGAGAGACCACUGGGGGGGGCAAAGGAGAGCAGAGACCACUAUGGGGGAGAGGAGAGUACACAAAGGGAGGCAGGGAGGAGAGUAGAGACCACUGAUUGGGGAGGAGAGACCACUAAGGGACAGGAGAGAGCUAUGUUGAGGAUGGGGUGAGGGGGGAUAGGAGUGGGGGAUGUGGGAAAGGGUAGGAGAGAGCACUAUGGGAAAGGGUACAGGGUAGAUCACUAAGGGACAGUGGGGCAGGGGAGAGCUUGAAGGGAAAGGAGGGGAGAGCAGGCUGAGGAAGGGGGGAAAGAGAAGCACAAAGGGGCUGGUAGGCCCCUUUCCUAGUCCACAAACUCUUUCACACAACACACACAAUGCUUCCCUAUACAUACACAGAAACACACUAUGCUUCCCUUACACACAGAGAAACAUACAAUGCAUUAAUUACACAAAAGUACAAUCCCUUUUUCCCAAGAACUGGACAACACACAGUUUGGGAGUCAACUCAGCUUUUAUUGCACCACAGCCGUUUUUAUACAAAUCCCCAUGCAAGGGGUUUCCUUACUGACAUUCCAGAGAUUUUCCCCUGGUGGACUCUGUGGAAAAUCUAGUAGACAAUAAUAUCUCCCAUCAUGCUUUUCUGUACUGUAGCGUAAGAAUAUACCUUUAAUUACAUUAUCUCUCCGUACAGAAAAAUAUACAAUAUACCGUAUUUUUCGCUCCAAAAGUGAGGGGAAAUGUCUGUGCGUCUUAUGGAGCGAAUGUGAAGCUUGACUUACCUGUCUUGUAGUGUGGGCCAGCAGCACAGCGCGCUCCGCGGCACAGGAACUUCAAGUUCAGGUUCCGGUUUCCGGUGGUACUGAAAGGAAGUGUGCACACUGAGUGUGCACUUCCUUUCAGUCCCGCCGGAAACUGAACUUGAAGUUCCUGUACCGCGGAGCGCGCUGUGAAGCCGGCCCACGCUACAAGACAGGUAAGUAAUUAUGUGACAAGGGGAGGGGGGGGACACUAUGGGACGGGGGAGCACUAUGGGACAAGGGGGGGACACUAUGGGACAAGGAGAGGGUGGGACACUAUGGGGCAAGGGGAGUGUUGGACACUAUGGGACAAGGGGAGGGGGUGGACACUAUGGGAGGGAAAGUGCACUAUGGGACAAGGGGAUGGACACUAUGGGAUGAGAACACUAUUGGACAAGGGGAGGAGGGGUUAACAAUCACUAUGGGACAGAGGAAAGGGGGGUUAAAAUAACUAUGGGACAGGGGAGGGGGGUUAAAGAUUAUUAUGGGACAGGAGAGGGGAGUGGGUGGUAAGGAACAAAAAAUUCCUUAAAAAAAAAUAUUCUGAACAAACUGUCCCAUAGUAAGAAACAUUAUGGAACAGUUCAGAAUAUUUUUUUUUCUGGGUUUCCUCCUCUAAAAACUAGGUGCGUCUUAUGGAGCGAAAAAUACGG